AGGAGGUGCAGUUUGUACAUCUAAUGAGCUUCAAGGACACUAUAUUGGAGAAAGAGGACUCUCCUACCCACUCCGGAAACCUUACACCUCCAUAACCAUCAAUCUUAAGAUACUGCACAUUUAUAUGUGGCUUUAAUUUCUCGAGCGUGCUUGUUACGUGUUGCGGGUCAUGAGUGUCACCAUCCCAUGUAAACCUCAGCUUAUCAAGGUGCUUUUUACCUUUCAAAUUUGCCUCACCAGCAUCCCGAGCAUCCACCACAUUUUGAAGGUUCCGAAUAUGAAGAUCUCCCUGUAGAUGUCGUAGCUUUCCCAAUUCUUUAAUGCUAGUCUCACUCUGUCUUCCCACGAGAAAGUCCGUCAACGUUUGGAGCUUUGUCAGUUGACCUAUAUGUGGUGGCAUCUCUUUCAAAGGGGUGCCUGUGAUGUUAAGAUACCGCAAGUUGAUUAACCUUUCCAGAGAUUCAGGCAACCUUUCGAUUCCUGUUCCUUCAAGAUUCAGAUGUCGUAAGUGCUUCAAAUUUCCAAGAUCAGGUAGACUAGCAAGUUGUUUGCAAUCUUUCAAGAUCAACGUUUGCAAAUUGAGAAGAGCACUCACUUCUUCAGGCAACGUUACUAAAGAUGACCGAAAGAGAUUCAAAUACCGCAAAUGCUUCAACUUGCUAGUUGAACGUAACAUAUUAGCUCCAUCUCUACAAGCAGACAUGAUUAGCACUCGUAGGCGCCCAAGUGUUGACUGAAAGAUCUCAUUAUAAAUUUCGGGAGGACACCUCAAAUAGCGUGAAAAAGGUCGGAAUGUGCGUAGAAGUUGGGCUUCACGGAUGUUUUCUAAUUUUGUGCUUGAAAAAACACCUUCCGUAUCUACUACGAGUGAUAAAUGUCGAGUCCUUCUGCUGGCCUUGGAAGAAUUAUUUUCCCCCAACCUGGAGCUGAAGCAAAAUUGACCGGACACAUGGGUAGCCAAGUCAUGCAUGAGAUCGUGCAUCACAAAUGAUGAGCGAGAGGCACUUGAUUUCUGGAAAAAGGACCUUGACAAGAGAUCAUCAAAGCACUCAGCACCAGCUCUUUCCAUCUCAUCAUCUUUAGAGUGGACUAAGAAGCCCUCUGCCAUCCACAGGAGCACUAAUUCAUCCUUUUUAAACUCAUAGUCUUUUGGAAAUAUGGCACAAUAAGCAAAACAUUGCUUCAGAUGUGGCGGUAGAUAAAGAUAACUUAAUCUCAAAGCUGGGAGGAUAUUGUCUUUGGGUAAAUCCCAUAGAUUGCUUUCCAAUAUCUUCUCCCACUCCUCGACAUCUCUUUGGGUGCGUAGCAGACCUCCGAGUGUUACUGCAGCUAGAGGAAGGCCUUUACACUUUCUCGCUAUUGCUCUACCAAUUUCUUGUAACUCUUCAUGAGCAGUGGGAUUUUCACCACGAAAUGCAUGUUUGGCAAACAAGGACCAGCAGCUGUCUUCCGUCAAUUCUUUUAGAUGAUGAGUUGGAAGAGUUCUCAUGACCGAUGCUACACGUUCAUUGCGAGUUGUAACAAGAAUCUUACUCAUCCCUUGUGCUCCGUACUUCAGGGGGGUAAGCAACUUGUCCCACUCAGCAUAAUCUUCAUUCCAAACGUCAUCUAAAACAAGCAAGAAUCUCUUUCCCUCCAAUCUGUCCUUCAACAGAAGCUGGAGCUGAUCCAGAUUAUCAGAAGCAGGCUUUGAACCGAAGGCCUCAAGGAUAACAUUGGUUAACUUCAAAACACUGAAAUCUUCUGAAACACAAACCCAAGCUUUGAGAUCGAACCGCUUCUGUACUCUGCUGUGAUUGUAUACAAGCUGAGCAAGCGUGGUUUUACCAACCCCGCCCAUUCCCCUAAUGGGGACGACACCAGGGCUUUCUCCAUUUGCAUCCUCUGAUAGAAGCAACGUCAGUAUUGCUUCCCUGUCAUCAUCUCUACCAUAAACACCAGAUCCAUCCACGAGAGAAGUUGUUGGUGUUCUAUGCGAUGAUGGAUUUUCUACAUUGCGGUUGUUCAAACCAAGGGCUGCCAUUCGUUCAACUAAGGGAUCUAGAUCCUGCAAGAGGACUUUUAAUUUUUCUUCGAUCUCUCUCGACCCCAAUAUUUCAAGUGGGUUAAUGAAAGAAAGAAGCUGACUUGUGAAGGUUUGACCUUCAGCUUCCAACUCCCCCCGUAGAGCUUCAUAUGCAAUCUCAUCCAAGAAGUCGUCAGCUUUAUAGACAGCGUCUUUAAGCUGGUCCAGCCAAUCCCGCACGGCUCUGUUUGUUAUCUGCUUCUCCUCGGCAUCGUCAAGCACCACCCUGAGAGAUGUCAUUGCUGUCUCCAGCUUCUGCAGCAGACUACUACCGUUGACUUUUUGGCCUCUGAAGAAGGCAACCACCUGGGGAGAGGCCAUCCUGUCGAACAACACAUUAAGGAAAGAAGAAAGAAAAGCUCCUCCGACUAAAGCCCCGGCCAUGGUUUCUCCUCUUUGCAAAGUAACGAAGGAAGAGUAAACAAACAAGAAGAAGAAGAAGAGGGGAUUUUGUUCAGGUGACAGAAGGGGAAAGAAUUUGUGUAAAGAACUGGCAAAAGCUUUUUCUCUCUCGGCUUUAACUCUUAACUUGUAAAUGCUUAGGAGUCCAUUUAAGUGGUGACGGUUGUCUCUUAUUGUUUUUUAUUUAAAAAUAUAUUAAAAUAAAUUAUUUUUAUUUUUUAUAAAUUAUUUUUAAUAUUAAUACAUUAAAAUAUCUAAAAAACUAAAAAUUUAUUAAUUUAAAAUAAAAAAUAAUAAUUUUUAAAAAAUUAUUUUUGAAACACGUAUCCAAGUCGCAACUGAAUCGAUAUUCCAUUUUUCUCUUCUUUUGGAAUUUUACUCGGUUUGUCUUUGAUUUAUUUUUCUAGAAAUUAUAAUUUUUUAAAAAAAGGGUUUGAUUGGAAAGACUUCACUAAAUGCUAAAUUAAAUAAAUAAAUCAUAAAUUAUACUUUAUAUUAUUAUGUUUUAUACAAUUAUUUGAAUGAGUGUUACUAAAUGCUAAAUUUUUUAAUGAAUGUUUUUUAUUUUACUAUUACUUUUUUUUAUUAAAUUGUCUCAUUUUUAUAACAAAAAUUAUAAAUUUAAUGGAUUAACUCAGUUAACUUGAUUUUUUUUAAUUAACUUUUUUUAUAAUUUUAUCUUUUAAUAUUUGAUUAAUUAAAAAUCAAGUUUUAUAUUUUGUUUUGUUUGUUUUAUAUUAGAUUAUUCUAACCUCGUAACCCGUAAAUAAUACUUCACUUGUUAACCUAAGUUUACUCAGAUUGUAUUUUAUGUUUUUUUUAAUUGAAUUUUUUUUCCAACUUUAUCAUUCGAUAUUAGGUCAGUUGGGAAUGGAACUUCAUAAUCUAUUUCAAAUUAUUUUCUAUAGGGUUAUCCUAGUCUCAUGAUUAGAGGCGAGGGUUUUGACAUUUUAAUCCAAAUUCAAUUGAGUUGUUUUUUAAUUUUAAGAUGUUAUCUUAGUUUCAUGACCUGGAACACGAGUCCUUCAAUAGUAAAUUUGCUUUUUAUUGGGUCAUUUUUAUUUCAUAACCUAACUCGCAAGCUUAGUAAGUUAACAUGAUUGACUCAAUUUUUUUUAAUUACCCUUUUUUUCUUCAAUUUUAUUAUUUAAUAAUAUGUGUUUAUCAGGAAUUAGAUUUCAUGGUUUGUUUUGAUUUUAUUUUUAUUAGGUUAUCAUGGCCUCACAAUCUAAGAAUGAUGCUUAACGGGUUGACCUAAAUCAUUUUUUAUGGUAUUUUUUAAUUCAAAAUUUUAGAAAUUGCAUCAUCACAUCGGGUUUGAUAUGGUCAAUUAGGGAUUGCACUUUUUAAUGUAUUUUUAUUUACUUUUUAAGAGGUUAUCUCGGUCUUGUAACCAAAGACACAAAUUUGAUGAGCUAGAUCAUGUAAUUUUUUUUACAAGAUUAUCUCGAUCUCAUGACGAGUUAGUUAUGGAUUUGGUGAAUUAACUUGAGUUAUUUUUAUGUUCUUUUUAAAUUUGAUUUCUUUUUAAAAUUUUAUCCUUCAACUUUUAGCUAUUUAAGAUUGAAUUUCAUAAUUUAUUUUGAUUAUUCUCUAUAAGAUUAUUCUCUAUUAUAAUUUAGGUUAUUUUUUUAGGGAGACUUGACAUGUUAGCUCAGUUCAUAUUUUUAGGUUAUUUUUUUAAUUGAAUUUUUUUAAUUAUAUCAUUCAAUAUUUGAUUGCUUAAGAAUUAUACUUCAUAGUCUCGUACCCGGAUAAAAAAGUUUACAAGUUAACUCUGUUCAACCCAAUUCAAUCUAUUACUUUGUUAUCUUCAUAUUAAAAAAAAAUGUCAUUUUGAAUUUUUUCUAAGUCAUAUUAUAUUUUUAUUAGUUGUUUGUAUUAAUUUUGAACAAGCUAAAUCAAUUAAGUUACAUCGGAUCAACCUCCACAUGAUUUAUUUAUUUAUUUUAAUUUUAUUUUUUAAUACUUGGUUGGUUGAGAAUUAAACUUAAUAAUUUGUUUUUUACGUGAUUAUUAUAGUCUCAUAACUCUGGUUCUGAAUUUCAUAAAUGAGUUCACCCAAAUUAAUUUAAUUUAUUAUUAUUUUAAUAUUAAAAAAAAUAUACAUAAGUUUUUGUGGCGUAAAGAGAGAAAGGUUGAAGGAAAGUGACAAACUGCAUAAAAAAUCAAUAAAAAUAAUUUUAUCGGUGGUUGAAGAAGUCUCUCCAGUCCAGUGUCAGGAACAUAACUGGGAACAUCACAGAAAUUUCUUAGUUGGUUUAUAUUUUAUUUUAUUUUCGUUAUUAUGUAAUUGUACCAUAAGCUUUAAUUGAAUGCAGAUAUUGUUUGAUCGGCUACUUGUUGUUGGAAUUUAAAGUGUAAGAUAAAAUAGGAUUAAUAUGAUUAAUUAAAUUUGAUAUUGAAAUUAAAUAUUAAGAGAUAAAUUAAAAAGGAUGUUUAAUUAAAAAAAAUAAUAAAUAAAUAAAUAAAUAAAAAUAAAGGUCAUGUUUAAUAAAAAAAAAAAAUUAAAUAAAAUCAAACGAUAAAAAACAAAAUUAAAAAAAAACAAAUCUACAAAAAAUAAAAAUAAAAUAAAUAAUAAAUUAAAAAAAAUUAAAUUAUUUAAAAAAAAAACCUUUUGUAUUUGACAAGAAGAGAGAGAAAAAGAGGUUGAGAAAAAAAACGUUUCAGUAAUAAAAAUAUUCAAAACUAUUAAUUUUGCCCCAAAUACAACGUAUUAUACACUUAGAAAGAUUCUUUCAAUAACAUGAUACUCUAACAUUUUACAUCGAUUAAAAAUUAAGAGUUUAGAUCAUUUAUAAAUUUUACGUAUCACUUCUCUUCUUUAAAAGAGAUAUCUUUUUUAUAACAAAAUUCUCAAAUGUGUUGGAAUUUUUUUAAGAAGGAAGCUAUGGAGAGCAACAUCUUCUCACGCCGUACAAAUUUGACAGGUAAAAUUCAUGUUGCAUCCCAAAACGACACUCCAGUGAAAAUUACUUUGUUCUAACCACAAAUGUUUUCAAUAGAAAAAAAAUACUCUUCUGGUAUUUUAUUUUUUUUUAGAAUGAGAAAUGUACGAUAAUACUAAUAAAAUCAAAUUAAAAAAUUAAUUAUAUAGAAAAAUCAGAAAAGUUAAUAUUCAAGAAAUUAACUCUAAAUUCAUAUACAGAAAAUAAAAAAUCUCAACAACAAGCUGAGACUAUUUAUGGCGUCAAACAAGCAGCUGCGAGAAUUGACAAAAUGAUGGAGAACAAAAUUUGCUUGCCCUAAUUUAUUUCGCGAAAAUCACAGCCGCACUCUGCAGCCAUUGGCUUUCUCUCAGCUCCAUCAGCCAAGUACAAGCGGACCAUUCUGGAGACGAGAGCAUUACCAGUAUCAAUGGUUUGAUCAUUUGUUUUUUUUUUUAAUUUAGUUGUAACAAUAUUUUGAAUCAUAAUGUAUAUAACUCAUGUAUUAUGUAUGUAAACUCUGAGAUUAAAAUUUUAAAAAGUUAUUUAAAACAUUUUAAUGGAUUUAAAUAAGUAAUAACUGGACAGAAUAAUUUUAGACCUCUACGAGUUUAUCAAAAAGAGGUAAACAUUGACGUAAGAAAUAAAAAAAAUGCUAUUAAUUGAAGUGAAUUUUUUUUAGAGAUAAAUUGAGGAAAUAUUGAUUAUUUAGACUUUUAACAGUGUUAGAAUAGUACCGGUAGCUGGGCAAUGACACAAAAUGACAUGGACACAAUAAGUGACCGCAAAAUUGUAAAUAAUUUGAAAGCUUCAUCUCCUCCCUUUUUAUAUCCGGUCGCCGGCCAUAAAAAGAGAAAACAAGGGUCCAUCUUCUUUUUCCUGCAUUUCCUGUUUCAAUCUCGGCUCUUGUAUGCUCUGGAUUCCAUUUUACUCGGUUUGUCUUUGAUUUAUUUUCCAAGAAAUCUCUGGAUGUUACCAUAUCAUCAGAUCAAUCCGUUAAAUCAAUCCAGCUGUCAAGUUAACCUGUCAAAGAUCAAAUUUUAAAAUAUCGUAUUUUCUACCGUGUCCAAGUGCUUGUGGUGCAAAGAGAGAAUGAGCAAAGAAAAGUGACAAGUUGCACAAAAAGUAAUUAAAAAUAAUUUGAUUGGUGGUUGAAGUCUUUCUGUCAAGUGUCAACAACAUAGUUGGGACCAGCACAGAGAUUUCUUAGUUGGUUCCUACUUUUCUCAAGUACAUCCCUCUAACAUCAUAAUUCCAUUUCCCACCAAAUUUUUUUAAUAUUAAACUUAUUUUUUAUUUAUUAUCUUUAUUUGUGCAGCAGAUUAACCAGUUAAUUUUUAUUUAUUUUUAAUUAAAUUUUUUUUAAAUUUUAUUAUUUAAUGUUAUAUUUCAUUAAGAAUUAAACUUUGUAUUUUAUUUUAAUUUAAUUUUAUUAAAUUAUUAUAUCUCAUUACCUAUAAAUAAUGUUUAAUAGAUUAAACGAGGUUGAUCUGACUUAAUUUUUAUAUUAUCCUCCUCCUUCUCUUUUUUCUUCUUCUUUUUUUAUCAAUAGUUCUUAAACUCGAACCAACCUAAUAGAUCAACCUAGAAUCCAGGGACUGGAUUGGUCAGGGCUUGUCAAAAAACUGACAAAUGCAACUACCAUGUUGACCGGCCAGCGACCCAAGCUAACUCGGACGAGACCUGGUUUUUGUAUUAAAUGUGAGAUUUAAAACCCAUUAAUAUAUAUACACUUUAUGUUCUCAAGAAAAAAAUUAUGUGUUUAAAAAAAUUUUGGUUUAAAUAUUUCAACUUAAAAUGAUAACAUAAUAUCUUUUCAAUGUGGGAUUUAAAGCCAUUUCGUAUAUAUAUUAUAUGUUCACAAGAAAAAAAUUAUGUUUUUUUCAAUGUGAGAUUUGAAACCCAUUAAUAUAUAUACUGUAUAUUCCCAAGAAAAAAGUUAUUUUUUCAAUGUGGGAUAAAAAACGUUUUUGGUUUAAAUACUUCAACUUAAAGGGUUAACAUUGUAUCUUUUUAAUGUAGGAUAAAAAACUUUUUAAAAUAUUUUUUAAAACUUCAUUAUUUAUAAUAAGUAUAACCUAUAUUUACAUGGGUUUUUUUUCUUAAUUUUUACAUAUGAAAUAUCAAAACUUUAAAUAUAUAUUUUUAAUUUUUACGGGUUAAUCUGAGUUGACCCAUGAAACUCGGGACUUAACUCCCGGAUCGAGUUUAAUAACUAUGUUUCUAUCACUUUUCAUUGAUAAAGUAGAUUAAUAAAUUAUAAAUUAGCUGGUGACCAUUACUAUGAGUAUUGUAAAAACUUCAUUGCACAUUCUAGAAUGUUGCUUGGUAUUUGUUUAACUCAAAAAGAUUUGUAAAGCAAAUUAUAUAUAAAAAAUUAUUUUAUUAUUUAAAGACCAGUAAUUUUAGAUAAAUGGAUGUGAUUUUUUCAAAAAAUAUAAAAACAAUCAAUGUAGUAACUCUUCACAGUAAAUGAGAUUAUUAUGAGACAUAAUUGGUUUUUAUCUUCCACCGUUUGACCCUUUACCUUGCUUUAUAUAUAUAUAUAUAUAUAUAUAUCUUCACAUGAACAAAUUUAAAAUUAAACUAGAAAAACAUUGAUGCGGUGCAACGAUGUUUACCUUAUUAGAUUUUGAAUGAUCUUAUAAUUAGACAAAACCUGAUUUAAAUCUAGUUAAAUCAACAUAAAAAGGAUUUAUUUUAUUUUUAAAAAAUAAACAAAUAUUAUUUUAAUAAAAUAUUGAUAAAAGACCCAUAAUUUAAUUCAAUGAUCUUAUCUAUUCGAUGACAUUAUACCUCCAAGACACAUUCCAAGUAAUCAAAUUAUACGAGAAGCAUGUGCUUUGAUUAUGGUUACUUCUUUUUUCUGUGCAAGAUAUGGGUUAUAAUUAAUAACUAGUGACACGAUUGUUGAGAUUAAGUUAAAAUAGGUUUGAUGAUAAUUGGAUCCUUGUUUUACACUAAUGUGUUUGGGUUUGAUCCUUUUAUUUAACUUUGUUGAUGCUUAUACUGGUUACCAAACAUAACAUAGUGUUUUAUUGUAAGUCUAACAUAUAAACUUGAAAGAAUUGGCCUAGUACUUGAUUAGGAAAUGGAUGUUUCAUGCAUGAAUCUUUAAGGUUGCCUUUGGUUAAAUAUUACUAAAUAAAAACGAUAGACAUUGAAAUGAUAUAAACACGUUUGCUCAAGGAGAUGAAAAUGAAGAUAUAAAAUAAAUAUGUAUUAAUUUAGACGGAUUCUUGUAUUUUCAAGGUAUAAAGUACAUAAAAACAUGUCUGUUUCAAUUUUUUAUGUGCUGAGAUUAAAAUAAAAUGAAUUUAGCUUUAAUUAAUAUACCCAAAUUCUUUUAUGCUGAAUCCUCGAACCGUGUCUGAUUUCAAAAAAAUAACAGUUCUGCACAAAAUUACCGAUACUAAUAAAGCAAAUUAACAAGUCACUUGCGAGGAAAAGGGUAGGAAAGGAGCCUGAAGUACCAUGGAGUGCUAAACAGCUAAUGUCCAUUAAUCAAUCAAGUGGAUGACUUUUAGCCUACCAGAAUUGACUACAACAGUUGGUUGUUAAUGCAGCGUGACAAUCUCAGCUCUUUGAUAAACAUCCUCACAUUUUCGAGACUGAUUAUCCUUAAGUUAAAUAAACAUAAAAAGAGAGAAUAAUUAUUCUAUAAAAAAAAACGUUACAGGUAAAGAUCAUGCUACACUAUCUAAAAUACCCAUAUCAUCCUACAGAAAGUUGGUGGUAAUUACGCUCAAACUGAUAAAAAGGUACCAAUUCAAGGCCUAUAUAAAUCAACAUUGGAAAUGCAAUUACAAACAAAGCUAAAUAUAAAAAAAUAUAAAUUAUUUGACAAAAUAAAUAAUUUUUUCCUUAUCACCUAGAAAGUACAAUAGCACGCAUCAACAACACGAGCCCAUGAAACACAAACAUCAAAUUACAUUCUGGUUAUUACAUUUUAGGAUGGUGCGGCAGGACAAAUAACCAACCUUUCUCAUUGAUUUGUUUGAACUAAAAAAAAAGCUUAAUUUAAUUUUUAAAAAAUUCAGAAUUGUUUUUUUUUUAAAUUAUGAAAAUAACAUUGGUAUUAUAAUCUCAAAAAAAAAAGGGAACGUCUAGGAUUUGUUUAAAAAUAUAAUUGUAAUUUUUUAAAGUUUUUUAUUCGGAAAAAUAUUAAAAUAAUAUUUUUUAUUUUUAAAAAAUAAUUUUUGGUAUUUUUAUAUCAAAAUAUCAAAAAACAAUUAAUUAAAGUAAAAAAAUAAAAAAUUUUUAAAAAAACUUUUAAAAUAUAAAAAUAAAAAAUGAUUAACAGCUAUAUACUCUUCUCUGGAGGCACUGGAACAGAAAUAUCAAAUUAAUUUGAGUGUGAUAGACAGACACUUGUUGGGAGUUGUCCUGGUGGACGGGUUCACAUGCGGCCAUUGUAGUAAAUCAACGCCGGGCAAGAUAUCAAUCCCGUAAGAUCCGUUAUGGCAUGAUCUUCUAGAAGCAAGAAACAACCACGAAAUGGAUCAUGUGGCUCCCAUUAGCCCUACCCCCAUCCAUCGAUUAUCAUGCCAUGCCUAGUCUUUAGCUAUGAUUGAAAGAGAAAACACAAAAACAGCUGAUGUCACAACUGGGUCCCAUACAAAAACAUUCCAAUCAGCUACUCAAGUGGCUUGUGAAUUGUGAUAUCCAUAAAACAGCACAACCACCGGUGGUGGCACGAUCAUUGUUUUUUUUAGAGUUUUGUAUUGUGGGGAUGGUAUCUUUUUAUUACGGAGUCAAUUAAAAAAUUGAUUUAAAAUAAAAAAAUAUAAAAUUUUUAAAAACUCUUUUAAAAUACAAAAACAAACACUCAACUAUUCUAAUAGCCAGAGUUUUAAAACCCGGCCCGGCCCGGUGGGUCGAUCCGGGUCCCGACGGACCCGGGCAUGGAACCGGUCCGGGUGGAGGCCAAAACCUGCUUGGGAAUUGGUCCGGCCAGACCCGGUCGACCCGACAAGACCCGGCCUCAAACCCAUUGACUUUUGUUUUUUUUUGUUUUUUUUUUUUUACUAAAACGACGUUGUUUUGAUUUUUUUUAAAAAAUUAAAAUUGUUUUUUGACCCGUCCGACCCAGCAACCCGGUCGAGACCCGGUGACCUAGCGACCCGGUCGAAACCCGGUGACCGGUCAAAACCUGGAACCCGGGUCUUGGACCGGGCGACUACCGAACCGGAUCUUAAAACUAAUAGCUAAGGUUUUUGGAAUUUGACAGCAAAACCGCGUAAGAGAGAAUUUGGUUAUAUGUGAAUUUGACAGCAAAACCGCGUAAGAUAUUUGGUUACACGUGAAUUUGACAGCAAAACCGUGUUUAUGGUGCAAAGAGAGAAGGGGCGAAGGAAAGUGACAAAGAGCACAAAAGGUCAAUAAAAAUAAUUUGAUCGGUGGUUGAAGUCUCUCUAUCCAGUGUCAGCAACCUAAUAGCCGCGACCACCACGGAAAAAUAUACAGAACUCUCAAAAGCCUUCUCUCUGGAUCACACAGUUUCCGAGAAAUUCCAUCUUUGAAAAAAGUUGGUUUGAUCCGAAAAACAUCACUAAAUGCCAAGCUUUUCACGUGAUGUGAUCAGGCAGCAGAAGACUUCACUUUAUUUGUUCUCUCUCCCUCCUUCCAUCACUUUUCAUUGGUAAAGCAAAUCAAUAAAUUAUAAAUUAUAUUAUUAUAUUUUAUACAUUAUAUUUUGUUUUCGUUUUUUUUAAUUUAAUUAUUAAGGUAUUUCACUUGCAUAACCUCUGCGUUUGGCUAUAUUCAAAGGUUUAAGCCGAAAUAGAUUAUAUUAGUAAAUUUAUAUUGAAUUGCUUAAUUAUAUCAUGAAUUAACAUGUUUGGUAUCAAUGUCAAUAGAAAUAAUUGAAUUGACGCAAUUAAUUAAUUCUUGAUAGCAACUUUAAAGGUAAAUGCAAGACAGUUACCUUUAAUCAGGAAGCAACAACGGACUUUAUUGUAAUGUACCGUAUUCUCAAAUACGAUCUAAAAAAAUAUAUAAAAGCGAUUGUAAAGAAUUUAUAAAACAUUCAGCGUGUUUGAUAUUCUUUUACAAAUUAGAAAUAAUGAAUCUAGUUUACAUAAUACUUUCUUGAUAAAAAAAUCAAAGCAAUCUGAAUGCUUGUAUAUAGGAAUUACAUACAUAAAAAGGGUAAAGAACAGGUAAAGAAGGUAUACUUCUUCAAAACAAUGCUGGGUGGGUGCUAGGAUUUAGAACUCUACACCGUUCAUGGCCAUAGCUAUUGCUAGCUUCUUUACAGAUUUCAGAGAACAAUGAUUACGAGAAUUUGCCAAGUUUUGGUUGCAUCAUUCCAUAGAUGGAAUUUGGAUGUUACCCAAGAUAGUAACCUCUUUUGUGAAACACAAGAAAACCAUUGAUGGAAGCCGGAAACUGGAGCACAUCAGGGAACUAACGUUUUUUUAUUUUUCUGAAAUACCUGUAUUGUUUCCUAUACUCUCACCCAGGGAGAUGAAGGCCGCCACAACCUUACAUAGCUUUCCGUCUUUUCUGAAAUUUGCCGUAAACUAUUUCCUGAUCAACUUUACAUUGAUUUAUGUAAAUUGCCUGCUUGAACUUCGACUCUUGAAUACAAAAGCACAAAAGAAAUUGAAAAGGUAAAAUCCGAAAAGGAGAGCUAAACACACACAUCCAAGUAUAAAUGAGUGGCACAACAUACAUGAUAAAUUUUGCUAGAUUUAACUAAGAGAGAGAGAGACAAAGAUUGUUCAACAAGUGCAAUAAGUUUAGAUAAACAGGGCAAAAUCAUUAAGUGCCUGCUCUCUUGAGUGACAUUGACCACUUUCACUUGCUUCUGAAUUUUGAUUCCAAAACGCGGAUGCUUCCUUGUUAUGAACUAUGGUUAUGUUCACUUGCUUCUGAAGGCUUGGGUUGUAGGUUUCUCAUGUCAAUAGAAGCAAUUCCAAGUAAAUCCAAAGAACAUUGGAUUUUCGUUGCUGAUGUUUCAGUUAUCAGCUUCUUUUUUAUUUAAUUUUUUGUUGUUAAUAAUUCAUAUCAUUUUUUUUAGUAGCCAGUAACCCUUUAAUUGCUAAGCCGGUCAUCCAAUUUAAGAACUUAGCCAUUAGCCAUUCCACUUCUUCUUCCUCUUUUCUUCAUAGAUCCAAACGAACAUAAUUUACUCCAUCUGAAAUCUCCUCAUGAGAAAAUUUAAUUUAAUUUAUUUAUUUACGAAACAAGCACGAAACCCAAAUAUCCCUCUCUCAGAUCACUGGUUUACGAAUGGUACGUAAAGAUUUAAAUCCCAAUUUUUCCUUUGAAAUCCCAUAUCUGAUGAAGGAAUUUGCUUUGCUUCUUAAUAAUUUUACCAAAAUGAUCUCUCUGUAUGUAUGCAAGUUAACUAGAGAGCGGAAAUGGCGGAUUAUAUGAAAAUGACUAGUUAUAUGAACAACAGUCUCCACGAUGGAAGGUGUCGCGGGGUCUAUUUUUUCACUCAAAUUUUCAACCAAUAUUUUCUGCUUCGUCAAGGCAAUGUGCUUUUGUUAGUGCACCAGCACCUAGACCUCUAACAAAAGGCUUCAUCCUUUUACCUUUCCAACCUCUUGGCCAUCCUCCUCUGCUUUAGCUUUCUCUGGUUAGCACCACCUCCUGAAGAAAACACAUGAACAAAUAAAAACAUUUAAUUUAUUUCCUAGAAAAAAAACAUCAAGAGGUCGUUAGUUUUCUUACCUGGGUUGUUACAAGCAACAGCACUAAAAUGACUAUCAUCUUGAUCGGCAUUUUGUCAAACAGCUAGGGUGUGUUCUUUAACUGCACUCCUACUCCAUUAUUGCUUGAAAAGGUUAAUGGCCCAAUAUUUGUUCCCGAACAUAACACAAGCCAUGUACAUUUAAAUGAUGUCGGGCAACGAAACAAGGGAGUGUUGAUGAGAGUUGAAGCAAAACUGGAAUCAAACGAAUGAACAAGCCCUUCUAUCAAAGAUUGGACAAGGCAGGGAAAACUUUCAAGCUAAUAAGCGACUUGACAAAUGAACUAAUGAAAAAAAAAAAAAAAAGAUUUGAAAAGACAGAAAGUAAACAGUUUUUUUGAUCCCUCGCUGUUAUUUUGGGCAAGAUAAUGAGUCAUGAAUUUUAUAUUAUCUUUUCUUUAUGUCUGUUUUUUAUCAAAGUAAACUCCAAAAAAGAUAUGACUUACAUGUACUGCAAAAUCAUUUUUUAACUUCUAUUUGAUAUGGAAUAAAGACAAUUUAAGUUUUUGAAUUUUGAAUUUUUGGAGAAGGGAAAACAGACUAGAGAAAGAGAUGGAGAAUUUUUUUUUUUAAUUUUUUAAUAUGCGGGGAAAGAGAAAAAAGAGAAAGGAUGGGGAUUUUAUAUAAUUAAGGACAAUUGUUUUUUAAGGGUGGUGCUUGCAGUUCAAAAUCUGAAACAGAAUGAUGAUUAUUAUUUAUGGAUAUGAAUGAAAGACAAUAAUUAUGAAAGAAAAUAUCUGUAUUUCAACAUACAGCAUAUAAAAACAUACAGCAUUUUGGACAAUAUCUCUAUUUCAUUCAUCCACAUUUUAACUGAAAUUGCCUUUGAUUAUUGAAAAGAAAAUAAACUAUUUAGUAGCAUUACCUCAAAAAAUAUGUUGGACGAUUGAAAGAAAAGCUCCUUUUAACAUUCUCCUCAAACUACAUCUUUGCUCCGCUGAUGUUGGGGGCCAAUAUAUAUGUCAGGAAUGUGAGAAAUUUUGGGCCAAUCUUUACCUUUUUUAUUUUUUUUAAAUUGUUUUAUUUUUUAAAAAAAUCUCUUAAAAUGAUACCAUUAUAAAUUUAAUAACUUACAGAAAAGGGAAAAAAAAUAAGAUUGUUAGUCAAUCCAUGCCAGACAUUUUGCUAAUAAAAACAUAAAACAUGAUGUUUUUAUUGUGGUGUAACAUAUUAUCUUUUCUCUUAAUGUCUGUUUUUUAUCAAAGUACACUCCAAAAAAGAUAUGACUUACAUGUACUCCAAAAAAGAUAUGACUUACAUGUACUCCAAAAUCAUUUUUUAACUUCUGCUUUAUAUGGAAUAAAAACAAUCCAAUCAAAGUUAAAUAAUAAAUAAAAGAUAAAAAAAGUUUUUGAAUUUUUAAUUUUUGGAGAAGGAAAGAGAAUAGAGAAAGAGAUGGGAAUUUUUUUUUUUUUUAAUUUUUGAAGAUGCGGGAAAAGAGAAAAGGAGAAAGGAUGGGGAUUUUAUAUAAUUAAGGGUUUGAUUUAUCUUUGGAAUCAGUUGCAGAUUUGAUGUUGCCAAGCACGUGAAUAAUAAAAAAUCCGUUGCAAAUUACUUACAUAAUUUAAUUUUUUUAAUCCUUUUUAGCAAUGGAUUUUCUAUUACUAAAUUCUUUGUUGAUAUUAAAAAAAUCAUAUAUACACAUUCUUUUGUUAAAUUAGCAAAAGAAAUAUUCUGUUGCUAAAAUUCGAUAAUAAUAGCCCCCUGUCCAAAAGGACUAAGGGUGGUGUGCUGGCAGUUCAAAAUCUGAAGCAUGUGAUGAUCCUCCAGCUCGAUAUAUUGAAACAGAAUAAUGAUUAUUAUUUAUGGAGAUGAAUGAGAGACAAUAGGAAGAAAUUAUCUGUAUUUCAACAUCCAACAAAUAAAAACAAUACAAAAUGGACAAUAUCUGUACUUCAUUCAUCCAAAUUUUAACUGAAAUUGCCUUUGAUUACUGAAAAUAAAAUAAACUAUUCAUCCAAAUAAACUGUUUGGGUAAAUAUAUAUGUAAGGAAUGUAAGAAAUUUUGGGCCAAUCUUUACCUUUCUCCCUUUCACAACUUUCACCCAGCAUAGGACAGCUGUUAAUUACAAGAGAAGAAAGGGAGGAGGGCAACUCUUCUUCUGGCAUUGACCCAAUCAGAGGACAGUAACUUAUAUCCAAUUCUCUAAGAGAGGUGAGGUGUUGAAGCCCCUUGUAGUCAAGAGAUUUCAGGUGUUUUAGGGAAUAGAUGUGAAGAGAUGUAAGACUUGAGGGCAGAAGCAUCUCUUCAGGGAAGGAUUCAACAUUUUCGUUCCAACUAAUUUUAAAGUGUGAAAGAGAAGGGAGCGAUUGCAAGCCCCAUUGCAUGCGGCCUGCAAUGAGUUUGUUGCAAUCCGAAAUCUCAAGUGAUUGUAAUGCGGAGGGAAAACCCCCUUCUGGACACAACUCAACUUCUGAACAACCAUUUAUUCCCAAACGGUUAAGGGAUGGGAGGAGGGAAUGCAUACUCUCAGGCAACAGCUUCAGGUUGCUGCAACCUUCUAAAUGAAGUCCUCUCAAGACUGGAGCAGGUAACCCUCCUUUGGGAAAUGAAACUAAUUUAGGGCACCCAUAGAUUUCCAUAGUAUGGAGAGAGGUGAGAUCAUUGAGAGGUCUUUCAUGUGCACAUAGUGAUUCCAGAUUUGGACAGUCAGAGAUAGAAAGAAAAUUUAACUUGGGGAGCAAGUCCAGUGCGACGCCUUUGAGAGAAGCGCAGCGUUUGAUUAUAAUUGUCCCUAAAUCAGAGGGUGAACAACCCAUUUGAUCAAUUUCCUCGGGUAGGGACUCUAGGGAGUGGGAUCCAGAAACAUCGAGCGAGUGCAACCUAGGAAACCUAGGAAGUGGAGUCGCGAGCUGCUCACAUCCUUCAAUUCUAAGUGAUGUUAAACGGGGAAGGUUGUGACCAGGUAGGGCCUUUGCAAGGUUGGGGCAUUCUUUGAUUGAAAGAAACUCAAGAAGAGGGAAGGCUUCCCGGCUGCCUUCGUGUGAAAUCCACUCGCGCCACUCUAGCAUCCUUCUAAAAGAUAAUGUUUUGAGGGAUUCAAAUGGCUUCUUCAUAGCAGUACAAUUCCCAUAGAACUCGGAGCCCACAGUCACAACUUUAUCGAAUCUUUCAAUGGAGAGACGCUCUAAAGAAGCUAAUUGCCCGAGCGGUGGUAAGGAGGUGCAGUUUGUACAUCUACUGAGCUUUAAGGACACUAUAUUUGAGAAAGAGGACUCUCCUACCCACUCCGGAAACCUUGUACCUCAACCAUCAAUCUCAAGAUCCUUCACCUUUCUAUUUGGCUCUAAUUUCUCAAGUGUGCUUCUUACGUGUUGUGGGUCAUGAGUGUCACCAUCCCAUGUAAACCUCAGCUUAUCAAGGUGCUCUUUACCUUUUAAAUAAGCCUCAGCAGCAUCCUGAGCAUCCACCACAUUUUGAAGGUUCCUAAUAUGAAGUUCUCCCCGUAGAUGUCGUAGCUUUCCCAAUUCUUUAAUUCUAGUCUCACUCUGUCUUCCCACGAGAAAGUCAGUCAACGUUCGGAGCUUUGUCAGUUGACCUAUAUGUGGUGGCAUCUCUUUCAAAGGCGUUUAUGAGAUGUUAAGAUACCGCAAGUUGAUUAACCUUUCCAGAGAUUCAGGCAACCUUCUGAUUCGUGUUCCUUGAAGAUUCAGAUGUCGUAAGUGCUUCAAAUUUCCAAGAUCAGGUAGCCUAGCAAGUUUUCGGCACCUUUUCAAGAUCAACGUUUCCAAAUUGAGAAGAGAACUCACUUCUUCAGGCAACGUUACUAAAAACUGUGAAAAGGAAAGAUCCAAAUACCGCAAAUGCUUCAACUUGCUAGUUGAACAUAACAUCUUAGCUGCAUCUUUACAACCAGACAUGAUUAGCACUCGUAGGCGCCCAAGUGUUGACUGAAAGAUCUCAUUAUAAAUUUCGGGAGGACACCUCAAAUGGCGUGGAAAAGUUUGGAAUGUGCGUAGAAGUUGGGCUUCACGGAAGUUUUCUAAUAUUGUGCUUGAAAAAACACCUUUCGUAUCUCCAUCUUCGGUAUCUUCACCAUCCGUGUCUUCCGUAUCUACUACGAGUGAUAAAUGUCGAGUCCUUCUGCUGGCCUUGGAAGAAUUAUUUUCCCCCAACCUGGAGCUGAAGCAAAAUUGACCGGACACAUGGGUAGCCAAGUCAUGCAUGAGAUCGUGCAUCACAAAUGAUUAGCUUGAUUGCUGGAAAAACGACCCUGACAAGAGAUCAUCAAAGCACUCAGCACCUGUUUUUUCCAUCUCAUCAUCUACGGAGGGGACUAAGAUGCCCUCUGCCAUCCACAGGAGUACUAAUUCAUUCUUUUGAAAUAAAUAGUCUUUUGGAAAUAUGGCACAAUAAACAAAACAUUGCUUCAGAUGUGGCGGGAGAUAAAGAUAACUUAAUCUCAAAGCUGGGAGGAUAUUGUCUUUGGGUAAAUCCCAUAGAUUGCUUUCCAAUAUCUUCUCCCACUCCUCGACAUCUCUUUGGGUGCGUAGCAGACCUCCGAGUGUUUUUGCAGCUAGAGGAAGGCCUUUACACUUUCUAGCUAUUGCUCUACCAAUCUCUAGCAACUCUUCAUGAGCAUUGGGAUUUUCACCACGAAAUGCAUGUUUGGCAAACAACGACCAGCAGCUGUCUUCCGUCAAUUCUUUUAGAUGAUGAGUUGGAACAGUUCUCAUGACUGAUGCUACACUUUCAUUGCGUGUUGUGACAAGAAUCUUACUCCCUUGUGCUCCGUACUUCAGGGGGGUAAGCAACUUCCCACUCAGCAUAAUCUUCAUUCCAAACGUCAUCUAAAACAAGCAAGAAUUUCUUUCCCUGCAAUCUCUCCUUCAACUGAAGCUGGAGCUUAUUCAGAUCAGAACCAGACUUUGACCGACCCCUCAAGGAACCUUGGUUAACUUCAAAACACUGAAAUCUUCUGAAACACAAACCCAAGCUUUGACACCGAACCGCUCUUGUACUCUGCUGUGAUUGUAUACAAGCUGAGCAAGCGUGGUUUUACCAACCCCGCCCAUUCCCCUAAUGGGGACGACACCAGGGUUUUCUCCAUUUGCAUCCUCUGAUAGAAGCAACUUCAGUAUUGCUUCCCUGUCAUCAUCUCUACCAUAAACACCAGAUUCAUCCACGAGAGAAGUUGUUGGUGUUCUAUGCGAUGAUGGAUUUUCUACAUUGCUGUUGUUCAAACCAAGGGCUGCCAUUCGUUCAACUAAGGGAUCUAGAUCCUGCAAGAGGACUUUUAAUUUUUCUUCGAUCUCUCUCGACCCCAAUAUUUCAAGUGGGUUAAUGAAAGAAAGAAGCUUCUGCGUCUGACCUGUGAAGGUUUGAUCUUCAGCUUCCAACUCCUGCCGUAGAGCUUCAUAAGCAAUCUCAUCCAAGAAGUCGUCGGCUUUAUAGACAGCGUCUUUAAGCAGGUCCAGCCAAUCCCGCACAGCUCUGUUUGUUAUCUGCUUCUCCUCGGCAUCGUCAAGCACCACCCUGAGAGAUGUCAUUGCUGUCUCCAACCUCGUUAGCAGCCUAUCGUUGACUUUUUGGCCUCUCAAGAAGGCAACCACCUGGGGAGAGGCCAUCCUGUCGAACAAAACAUUAAGGAAAGAAGAAAGAAAAGCUCCUCCUACUAAAGCCCCGGCCAUGGUUUCUCCUCUUUGCAAAGUAACGAAGGAAGAGUAAACAAACAAGAAGAAGAAGAAGAGGGGAUUUUGUUCAGGUGACAGAAGGGGAAAGAAUUUGCGUAAAGAACUGGCAAAAGCUUUUUCUCUCUCGGCUGUUUAACUCUUAACUUGUUAUGCUUAGGUGUCCAUUUAAGUGGUAGCGGUUGUCUCUUAUUUUUUUUAUUUAAAAAUAUAUUAAAAUAAAAUAUUUUUAGUUUUUAUAAAUUAUUUUUAAUAUUAAUACAUUAAAAUAUCUAAAAAAAUAAAAAUUUAUUAAUUUAAAAUAAAAAAUAAAAAAUUUUAAAAAAAUAUUUUUGAAACACGUAUCCAAGCCGCAGCUGAAAUGAUAUUCUAUCUUUUUCUUUUUUGAAAAUUUACUUGGUUUGUCUUUGAUUUAUUGUCCUAUAAAUUACAUCUUUUUGACAAAGGGGAUUGAUUGGAAAGACUUCACUAAAUGCUAAAUUAAAUAAAUAAAUCAUAAAUGUCUUUAGAGAUACUUUGAGAUAUUCCUAAAUUGUAAUGAUAUUUUUAUUGUUUUUUUUUAUAUAGUUAUAUACCUAUAUGGAAUAUUGUUGAUACAAGAUGAGAACUUCAACUCCAUAAGCCUUUACAUGCAGCAGCUUAUUAUUUGAAUCAUCAUUAUCAUUAUAAUCCUAAUUUUAAGGUUAAUGCCAACAUUAAAAUUAGAUUAUAUCAGUGCUUAGAAAGGAUGGUUCCUAAUGCAAGUGAAAGGUGCAAAAUUGACUUGCAACUUGAAUCAUUCAAAGAUGCAAAAGGGUUGUUUGGCAUUGAGGCUGCUAAGACAGCAAAAGAUUAAAAAACUUCAGCUCAAUGGUGAGAUUCUUUUAGGGAUGAAUGUCUAGAAUUACAAAGGUUUGCAAUCCGAGUUCUAAGCUUGACUUGUACUUUAUUUGGAUGUGAGCGUAACUGGAGUGCAUUUGAAAUUGUGAGUUUUUUAUUUUAUUAUUUUAAAUGUUGACAUAUUUGAUAAAAAUCUUAUAAAUUUGAAUUGUUUAUUUAGGUUCAUACAAAAUGAAGAAAACGGUUGCACCAGAGAAAAAUAAAUGACUUGGUAUUUUUAAUGUGCAAUCUAAAAUUGAAUAAUAAUCAAGUCAAAAAGCAAGCUGAUGAUUUUGGUGUAGAAGAUGAUCUUUCAUCUGAUGAUGAUUGGAUAACCGAGGGAGAAAAACAUUUGAACAUUGAUUUGCUUGGUGCUAUUGACAGUGCAACACGAAGAAAAAAUAGUAAUGAAGAUGAAAGUGAUGAAUAAGAAAUUCCUAAUGAUGUUGAAAUGGAGAGUCAUGGUACUGAAGAUGAUUUAGAGAUUUAAAUUGAUGAUAUUGGUGUUGGUACUAGUAGUAGCUCUAAUGUUUAUAAUAUUGGUGUUGGUACUAGUAGUGACACUAAUAAUCAUCUUGAUGGUAUUGAUAUUGAUGAAUAUCUGAGGAAUAAUGAGGAAGAUGAAGGCAUUGAAGUUGGUUUACAUGACACACCAGCAGAUUGUUUGUUUUAAGCUUGUUAAUUAUUAGCUAAUGAAAAUUUAUUUAAAUUAUGUAUGAAUUUUUAUUUGAAGCAUGUAUUUUAAGGUGCUUGAACUAUGUAUGAAUUUUUAUUUGAAGCAUGAAUUUUUUGUUAAUGUAUUUUAAAAUUCUUUGCAAUUUUACAAUUUUACGAUCCGAGUUUGUAUUGUAUUUUCCGUGCCAUGUCAAAAUCACAAUUUUAACAAAUCCACUCUUUUUGGGAGGUAAAGUCUACAAGAUAGUCUUGCUUCUUUUGAAUAGAUGACAUCUUUUGACAGGACAUUGGAUUUGGGAUCCUGGGAAGGGGGGGAGAAUUCGUUGCCAAGGAGCCUCUCUAUCCUGCCAGGUAAAAGACGUCAGAUACAAAAAGAAGGAAGUUGCUGAUUUUAAAUCCUCAAGCUAUUAAUUCUUGGCUAACACAGCAAUCACAUAAUAAAAGUCUUCUAGAUGGGUUGAAAUUCUAAAGCGAGAGUGUCCAAGUUCCAAACCUGAUCAAACGCUAUAAUUCUACGUCCAGGUUUGUCAAAUAAGGAAACUCCAGGAGAACGUCAGGAAUUGACUGGCGCCGAAUUACUUCACUAAUUUUAUAGGCCAACAGAGACUUAAGGUCAUGCUAAAUUGUAGAAUCGCAUGGAUUUAUCAUGUGAUUAAUUCUUGUCUAUAUUAAAGAAUUCUAAAAGGCGUGGGAAAACACUGUAGCUUCCCAACGCAUUUUAAUUAUACUUAAUAUAAUAAUAAUAAUAAUUAUUAUUAUAUAUAAUAAUAAUUAUUAUUAUUAUAAUUAUAUUAUAAUAUUAUAAUAUAUUUUUUUCCUAUUCUGUAGCAAUUUUUUUUUCCGUUUUUUUCCUCUUUUUUUUCUAUACCUUUUUUUUUCAUUUUUUUUUUGCUUUUGGUUUUUUUUUUUUCUAAAAAAAAACAAUAUGAAUUGCUACAGUGUUUCUCCUACAUGGUUUUUGUUUUGCUGCAGUGUUUGCCCACAUAUUUUUUAAAAAAAUUAUCUUUAUCGAAUUUAUUUUUUCAAUAUUGAGCUGGCUGAUAAUAUAGCUUUAGCUUUUCCCACAUGUUUUUUUAUUUCUUUUUCCUUUUUUCCAAAAUUGUCAUUUUUUACAUAUAUUUUUUUAUAUAUAAUUAUUUUUGUUGAUUUUAUUUUUUUUGCUAUUGAGCUGGUUGAAAUUUUAGUUUUUUUUUCUUUAAAACAUUGUAGAUUGCUAUAAUGUUCUCAUACAUUGGUUUUUUUUAUGAUUUAUUUAUUCUUUUUUUUUUCAAAAUGGUCUUUGUAGAUUUUAUUUUUUUUAUAUUAAGUUGAUUGAGAAUUUAACUUUGUAGUUUUUUUUUUCUAAAAAAAAACAAUAUGAAUUGCUACAAUGUUUCUCCUACAUGGUUUUUGUUUUGCUGCAGUGUUUGCCCACAUAUUUUUUUAAAAAAUUAUCUUUAUCGAAUUUAUUUUUUCAAUAUUGAGCUGGCUGAUAAUAUAGCUUUAGCUUUCCCACAUGUUUUUUUAUUUUUUUUUCCUUUUUUCCAAAAUUGUCAUUUUUUACAUAUUUUUUUUUUUAUAUAAUUAUUUUUGUUGAUUUUAUUUUUUUUGCUAUUGAGCUGGUUGAAAUUUUAGUUUUUUUUUUAAAACACUGUAGCUUUCCCGACGUGUUUUUUUUCUCGCUUUUGUUUCUUUUUUUUACAUUUUUUUUUCUUUUUUUUUUACCCAAAAUUGACUUUUAAAAAAAAACAAUAGGCUUUGUCAGUUUUUGUUUUUAUAUUGAGCUGGUUGAGAACUUAUCUUUGUAGCUUUAAAAAAAAAAAAAACACUAUGGAUUGCUACAGUGUUUCCCUUACAUGGUUUUUGUUUGUCUGCAGUGUUUUCCCCACAUGUUUUUUUUUAAAUUAUUUUUAUCGAAUUUAUUUUUUUAAUAUUGAGUUGGUUGAGAAUUUAGCUUUAGCUUUAGCUUUCCCCACGUUUGUUUUUUUAAUUUUUCCCAAAAUUUUCUUUCUUCUUUAUAUUUUUUUUCAUAAUUUUUUUUGCUGAUUUUAUUUUUUUAUUAUUGAGCUGAUUGAUAAUUUAGUUUUUAAUUUUUUUCUUUAAAACACUAGAUUGCUGUAGUGUUUCUCUACAUGGUUUUUUAUUAAAUAAUUUUUUUUCAGAAUUAUCUUCGUCGAUUUUAUUUUUUUUAUAUUAAGCUGAUUGAGAAUUUAGCUUUGUAGUUAUUUAAAACACUGUAGAUUACUACAGUGUUUUCCCACAUGAUUUUUUCCUUGCUACAGUGUUUCCCCACAUGUUUUUUUUGUCGAUGUUUUUUUUCCAAAUAUGUUUUUGUCAAAUUUAUUUUUUUCAUACUGAACUAGCUAACAAUUUAGCUAUUUUUCCUUAAAACAUCGUUGAUUGCUACAGUGCUUUCCCAUAUAUGUUUUUUUUUAAAUGGUCUUUGUCGUUUUUAUUGUUUUUGAUAUUGAGCUGGUUAAACAUUACAACUGUAGAUUUUCUUAUGAAACACUAUAGAUUGUUAUAGUGUUUCCAUGGAUUUUUUUUUCCUUUCGUUUUUUUUUUUAUAUUUGUCAAAAUUAUCUUUAUUGAUUGUUUUUUAAUACUAAGCUGGUUGAGAAUUGUAGUUAUAUAUUUCCUCACAAACACUAUAGAUUGCUACAGUGUUUUCUUAAAUUAUUUUAAUAAUUAGCUGGUUGACAAUUUAGCUUUAACUUUCCCCACAUGUUUUUUUUCAUUUUUUUAUUAUUUGUUUUUUGCUUUUUUUUCUUCCAAAAUUGUCAUCUUCUUUUUUUCAUUUUUUUUGUUUUUUUUAUAAUUGUUUUUGUCGAUUUUUUUUUUAAUAUACUGGUUGAGAAUAUAGCUUUGUAGUUUUUUCCUUUAAAAUAUUGUGGAUGGUAACAUUUUUUUUUAUGAUUUUUUUCACAAAUCCACAAUAAUGCACAAGCAUGGCACAAGCCCGCGGUAUCGCGCGGGCAUGUCACGCCUUUUACUAAUAUAUUUACUUAUUAAUAUAUUAUAUUAUUAUAAUUAUUAUAUUAUAAUUAUAAUUAUAAAUAUAAUUACAUUGUAUUAUAUUAUAUUAUAUUAUAUAACAUUUUUUUCCCUUUUUUUCUUUUUAAUUUUUUUAAUGAAUUUUUUUUGUUUGAUUUAGUUUGUUAUUUUUUAUUUUUUAAUGGAUCUCGGAUUUGAUGGGUUAGCCUGAUUUGACAAGUUAUUUUUUUCAUUUAGUUUAGUUUGUUAAUUUUUUAUUUUUUAAUGGAUCUCGGAUUUGAUGGGUUAGCCUGAUUUGACAAGUUAUUUUUUUCAUUUAGUUUAGUUUGUUAAAGUUAAUUUUCUUUCUAUUUAAUUACCAGACUUUCAUACUUUCAUGACGCGUGUCCUGAGCUUGACGGGUUAACCCAGUUAAUUCUGGGUAAACCCGUCAUUUGUUUUUCUAUUUAGUUAUCAAACUUUCAUAAUGUGAAUCCCAGGUUUUACGGGAUAACCUAGUUUAAAGGGUUAACCCAAUUAAUUCAAUUUGUUUUCUUUUUCUUCAUUAGUUUUUUCCUUUAUGUUGAUUUUUUUCUUUGUUUUUUUUUAAUCAAUCUAUUUAAUUAUCACACUUUUAUGACACAACCUUAUAUCUAGACCCACAUCCAAUAUUCUUGGGUCCGGUGUUGCAGUCAGGCUCACUUAAACUUGGGUCAUGCAAGUUUAAUUUUAUUAUUAAUAUUAUAAAUAUUAUUCUUAGGUCAGGUGUUGCAGCCAAACCCAAGUUUCUUGGGUAUAACUUUGCAGAAAAACCCAAAAUUUUUAAAUUUUUAUUUUUUUUAAUAUUUUUAUGCAAAAAAAAUAACCCGCGGCAUCGCGCGGGUCAAGUGUCUAGUUAAAGAACUCUAAAAGGCGUGGGGAAAGCAUUGUAGCUUCCCCACGCCUUUUAAUUAUACUUAUAUAUUAUUAUUAUUAUUAUAUAUAAUAAUAAUUAUUAUAAUUAUAAUUAUAAUUAUAUUAUUAUAUUGUAAUAUAUAUUAUUUUUCAUUUUCAUUUUUUUUCUAUAUUUGUUUUGGUUUUUUAUGCUUUUAUGGUUUUUUUUUGUUUCUUUCUUAGUUUUUUUUCCUUUUAAUUUUUUUUGUUUAAUUUAGUUUGUUAAUUGAUCCCGAGUUUGACGGGUUAACCUGGUUUGACGAAUUAACUAGAUAUUUUAUUUUUUUGCUUUUUUUUCUUUUUAAUUAAUUUUUUUCAUUUAGUUUAGUUUGUUAAUGUUAAAUUUCUUUCUAUUUAAUCAGACUUUCAUGACACGUAUUGCAAGCUUGACAGGUUAACCCGUCAAUUUUUUUUUCUAUUUAGUUAUUAAACUUUCAUGACGCGAAUCUAAGGUUUGACGGGUUAUCCUGAUUUGAAAGGUUAAUAAGAACUCUAAAACGCGUAACUUUUUCACUAUAGCUAAAGCUCUUUUGUUUUUUUUUUGCAGUUUCUUUUUUCGUUUUUUCUUUUGUGGCAUUUUUUUUGUCGUUUUUGGUUUUUUUUUCAUGUAGCAUUUUUUUUUGCUUUUGUUUUUUAAAUGUUUUUUCACUGUAACAGCUUUUUUUUCUUUUUGUUUUUCUUUUUGUUUUUUUUAACGCGUGGGUUUUUUACUUUAGCUGCUUUUUUUUUCCACGCUUUUGUUUUUUCUGUUUUUUACAUAUAAUGUAUCAUUGUGCACACAGUGAUACACUGACUUUUUUUUCGUUUUUUUUUUCAUUUUGCCCAUGGGUUUUUUUUUUUUGCUUUUUUCUUUGUGUUUUUUUUUCUUUUAAUGAAUUUUUUUUUGUUUAAUUUAGUUUGUUAAUGUGAAAAAAAAAAUAAUUUCGUUAUCAUACUUUCAUUACACGGAUCUCGGUUUUUUUUAUAUAUUAAGAUGGUUGAGAACUUAGCUUUGUAGCUUUUUUUUAAAAAAAAACACUAUGAUUUUUGUAUAUAAUUUAGGUUAACUUGGUUUGAUGGAUUACUACAGUGUUUUCCUCAUAUGAUUUUUGUUUGGCUGCAGUGUUUCCCCCACAUGUUUAUUUUUUAAAUUAUCUUUGUUAAAUUUAUUUUUUUAAUAUUGAGUUGGUUGAGAAUUUAACUUUAGCUUUCCCCACGUUUUUUCAUUAUAAUUAUUAUUAUAUUGUAUUAUAUUAUAUGAUUGUUUUUUUCUUUUGUUUUUUUUAAUUGUUUUUAAUGAAUUUUUUUUGUUUGAUUUAGUUUGUUAAUGUUAAUUUUUUUUUUUUAGUUAUCAUAUUUUCAUUAUACGAAUCUCGAGUUUGAUGGGUUAACAUGAUUUGACGAGUUAUUUUUUUCAUUUAAUUUAGUUUGUUAAAGUUAAUUUUCUUUCUAUUUAAUUAUCAGACUUUCAUGACACGUAUCCUGGGCUUGAUAGGUUAACUUGGUUUGAUGGGUUAACCCGUCAUUUGUUUUUCUAUUUAGUUAUCAAACUUUCAUGACACAAAUCUCAGGUUUUACGGGAUAAUCUGAUUUAAAGGGUUAACCCAAUUAAUUCAAUUUUUUUUUCUUUUUCUUCAUUAGUUUUUUCCUUUCUGUUGAUUUUUAAUUAAUCUAUUUAAUUAUCACAUUUUUAUGACACGACCUUAUAGCCAGAUCCACAUCCAAUUUUCUUGGGUCCGGUGUUACAGUCAGGCUCACUUAAACUUGGGUCAUGCAAGUUUAAUUUUAUUAUUAAUAUUAUAUAUAUUAUUCUUAGAUCAGGCGUUGCAGUCAAAUCCAAGAUUCUUGAGUAUAACUUUGCAGAAAAAACCCAAUAUUUUUUUUUUAAUAUUUUUUAUACAAAAACAAUUACUCGCGGCAUCGCGCGAGUAUCAAAGCUAGUAUAUAUAUAAAACAAGAAGGGAAAAGUCUGUUAAAAGGAAUGAAGUUUCAUGCUUAGGGCCCUCCAUCUUGAGAAUUAUCAUGAAGCUGUCUUGUAAUCCUUUUGAGAAUUUGAUGAUAAUAGCCCCCUGUCCAAAAGAAUAAUUUGAGAAUAUUCCCAAAUAUUCUAAUAGCUAAGGUUUUUGGAAUUUGACAGCAAAACCGUGUAAGAGAGAAAGAGCGAAGGAAAGUGACAAAGAGCACAAAAGGUCAAUAAAAAUAAUUUGAUCGGUGGUUGAAGUCUCUCUAUCCAGUGUCAGCAACAUAAUAGCUGCGACCACCACAGAAAAAUAUACAGAACUCGCAAAAGCCUUUUCUCUAGAUCAUACAUUUUCCGAGAAAUUCCAUCUUUGAAAAAAGGCUAGAAGAUUAAAAUGUACAUCGUAACCUGGGAUCAUAUCUUAUAAACUGUACCACUACGAAACAAAGUAUUUUUUUUAACUUAAAAAAAGAAUAUUAUGUAAAAACAAUCUGAGAUACGUCUAAUUGGUUCAAAAAAUAUAUAAAAAAUACAACUACAAUAAAUUAAUUAAAAAAAUAACAAUAAAAAAAAUAAAAAACCAGAAUUCAGCUCUCCCGAAUUAUCAAACAACUCAAUAUUAAAGGUGAAACUAUAAAAAAAAUUAAAAAAACACAAAAAACCCUAUUAAACCAGGUGAACUCACCAACUUCACAACCAUGAAUAUAAGAUUGAGAUAGUCUCAUGGAAAGAAAAGUAUGACAAAAAAUUAAAUAAAAAAAUUAAAAUAAAUUGAUUAAAAGAGAUAAAAAAAAUAUCAUCUCAUGUCAACCCAUCGAAACUGAUGAUUUCUUAAAGAUAGUAACCUCUUUAAUCACCACUUAUGAAUUAUUUUAUUUUAAAUACUAAAAUUUUUAAAAUUAUAAUUUGAGUUUAAUUUUUUUUUAACAGUCAUUAUCCAUUACAAAUAUUAUAAUCCAUUUUAAAAAAAUAUUUGGAUAAAAUUUAUUUGGAAAUAGAGACUGGUAAAGAGGUGAAUGAGCCAAUCUCAUAAUUUACCAUUAAAAAAUAUUUUGCUACUACUCGACCCAUAUCUAUCACCCUAAACCAAUACACAUACUUGCCCAUGUAAUACUUGGAAAAAAUUAGCUUUUCAGUAAUGUUCAUUUUAGUCCAUGAGUUUUUAAAACGUUUUUUAGUCAUAUAUUUUUCUAAGAAAACAUUUUUUUUGUUAGAAUUUUUUUUCAAGUUUUUUUUUUUACAAUAAAAAAUGCAUCCAUCCAACAAAGUUAAUGUUUAAACAUGUAAGAUAUACUCAAAAUUAUUUAAAAAGUAAUUUAAUUUAAAAUUAUAUAUUUAAGAAAACUAAAUAGAAGAUGAGCUUCACUUUCAAGCUAUGUAUAUAAACUUAUUAAAUUAACAAAAAUUUAUUGUAAAUUAAAUUAAAUAUCCCAAGAAAAAAUAGGUAUUAAGGAAACUCCAGGAGAACGUCAGGAAUUGACUGGCGCCGAAUUAGUUUACUAAUUUUAUAGGCCAACAGAGACUUAAGGUCAGGCUAAAUUGUAGAAUCGCAUGGAUUAAUUCUUGUGUGUGUCUAUAUAUAUAUAUAUAAACAAGAAGGGAAAAGUCUGUUAAAAGGAAUGAAGUUUCAUGCUUAGGGCCCUCCAUCUUGAGAAUUAUCAUGAAGCUGUCUUGUAAUCCUUUUCUUUUGGAACUAGUCAAGGCCGGCUACCAUCUCAGAAAGGGUCGUCCUAACUACGAUUUUUCUAAUGCCGACGUAUAAGGCAAGCCAGACAAUGCACCGACCGGUGGUGGCACGAUCAUUGUUUUUUUUUUAGAGUUUUGUAUUAGGGGGAUGGAAUCUUUCUAUUAUUGAGUUAAUUAAAAAAUUAAUUUAAAAUAAAAAAUUUAAAAUUCUUAAAAAUUCUUUUAAAAUACAAAAACAAACACUCAAAUAUACUAAUAGCUUUGGUUUUUGGAAUUUAACAGCAAAACCGUGUAAGAGUGGAAAAGCGAAGGAAAGUGACAAACAGCAUAAAAGGUCAAUAAAAAUAAUUUGAUCGGUGGUUGAAGUCUCUCUAUCCAGUGUCAGCAACAUAAUAGCUGCGACCACCACAGAAAAAUAUACAGAAAAAAUAUACAGAACUCGCAAAAGCCUUUUCUCUAGAUCAUACAUUUUCCGAGAAAUUCCAUCUUUGAAAAAAGGCUAGAAGAUCAAAACACAAAUAUUGUAGGCAAGCAGUUUCACGUCCAAUACAAGCAGUUUCAUUUCUAUGAAAUUGCUCUCGCACACCAUUCUAUUCUUCAGCUACAAUUAUUUAUCUGCUGCUGUUAUAGAUGAACAUCAGACAAUCCUCACUAUUGCUCUACCAAUUUCUUGUAACUCUUCAUCAGCGUUGGCAUUUGUAGCUUUACCCUGGUGCAGCAUCCAUGAGUGCAAAGAUUGUCCAGAAAGAAGAUUGUUCAACAAGUGCAAUAAGUUUAUUCAAGGACAAAUAGAAGGAAAACAAGAUCCAUACAAAUUCACUGGAAUCAUCAAUGCAGAGAACUUGCACAACUUUAGAUAAACAGGGCAAAAUCAUUAAGUGCCUGCUCUCGUGAGUGACAUUGGCCACUUUCACUUGCUUCUGAAUUUUGAUUCCAAAACGCGGAUGCUUCCUUGUUAUGAACUAUGGUUAUGUUCACUUGCUUCUGAAGGCUUGGGUUGUAGGUUUCUCAUGUCAAUAGAAGCAAUUCCAAGUAAAUCCAAAGAACAUUGGAUUUUCGUUGCUGAUUUUUCAGUUAUCAGCUUCUUUUUUAUUUAAUUUUUUGUUGUUAAUAAUUCAUAUCAUUUUUUUUAGUAGCCAGUAACCCUUUAAUUGCUAAGCCGGUCAUCCAAUUUAAGAACUUAGCCAUUAGCCAUUCCACUUCUUCUUCCUCUUUCCUUCGUAGAUCCAAACGAACAUAAUUUAUUACAUCUGAAAUCUCCUCAUGGAAAAAUUUAAUUUAUUUAUUUAUGAAACAAGCACGAAAUCCACCACAAACCAACUGGCCAGCUACAAGCACCUAUGCAUCCAAUGUUGCUGUGUUUCUGCCUCGGCUUGGACAGCCCAUUGUCCCAGCCCCAAUGUCAUGGCCAUUUCAGCACCUAGACCUCUAACAAAAGGCUUCAUCCUUUCCCCUUUCCAACCUCUUGGCCAUCCUCCUCUGCUUUAGCUUUCUCUGGUUAGCACCACCUCCUGAAGAAAACACAUGAACAAAUAAAAACAUUUAAUUUAUUUCCUAGAAAAACACAUCAAGAGGUCGUUAGUUUUCUUACCUGGGUUGUUACAAGCAGCAGCACUAAAAUGACUAUCAUCUUCAUCGGCAUUUUGUCAAACAGCUAGGGUGUGUUCUUUAACUGCACUCCUACUCCAUCAUUGCUUGAAAAAGGUAAUCAAGCCAUGUUCAUUUAAAUGAUGUCGAGCAACGAAAGAAGGGAGUGUUGUUGAGAGUUGAAGCAAAACUGGAAUCAAACAAACUAGUAUAAGAUAUGGAAAGCCAAAGCUGUUACUUAAAUUGCCCUCUUCGGUCAUCCACUUCUUCUUUUAAAUUCCUCGGUCUGAGAACAAGCCCUUCUAGCGAAGAUUGGACAAGGCGAGGAAAACUUUCAAGCUAAUAAGCGACUUAAUAAAUAAACUAAUGAAAAAAGGAAGAAUUAAAAAGACAAAGGAAAGAGUUUUUUGAAUCCCUCGUACAUUCCUCCGUGAUACAAGGCUUACAUCUUUGGGAAGAUAUAAUUAUGGUGUUCAUGGAUAAUUAGUUUAAUCUUGUUAGUUAUUUUGGAAAUUUUAUUUAAAACAUAAAGAGAUAUAACUAGAAAAAAAAUUGUAAAUUUUUUAUAUUUUUUUUAUAGAUACUGAAUUUUAUAUUAUCUCUUUAAUUUUUUUUAUUAAAAUAUAUUUGAAGAAUAACUAAUAAGAUAUUACUGGUUAUUUUCUAAACACCAUAAAAUUCUACUAGAAGGCAAGGUAUGCACUCCAAAAUUGUUUUCUAACCUCAGCUUUAUAAGGAAUCAAUUUUUUUUAAUAAAAAAUAAAUAAUAAAAGAGAAGGAUAAAUCAAAAGUUUUUGGAUUUGGAGAAGGGGAAUAGACUAGAGAAAGAGGUGGAGAAAAAAUUUGAAUUUUUGAAGAUGCAGAAAAAGAGAAAAGGAGAGAACUAGAGAAGGGAUAUUUUAUAUAAUUAAAGGUUUAAUUUAUUUUUUGAAUCAGUUGCAAUAAGUUUAUUCAAGGACAAAUAGAAGAAAAACAAGUUCUUUACAAUUCACAGGAAUCAUCAAUGCAGAGAAAUUGCACUAUUUUAGAUAAACAGGGCAAAAUUAGAUUUCCCUUCUAAUUUAAUGAUCAUCUGCAGAUUCAAAGUAAGGAGGCGGCAACAAAUUCAGGCAAAUUCAAAUGAGUGGUUUGGAAUUUAUAAACAUGAUACGUAAUGUUGCUGUUAGUAAUAUAAAGGGACCUUGGGACAACAAAAUUAAAUGUGUUAACAUGAUUUAAUUUCUAUUUGAUUUAUAUCACUCAAAACUAUUCUAUAAAUAAUUUAUUUCAAAAUUAUAUUAUUUGAUAAAAUUAAGUGGAAGAUAAGCCUCAUUUUCAAGCCAUGUAAUUUACACCUUUGCUAGCAAUCAAUUAACCAAGAUUUAGUUUGAUUAUAUUAUUCUCUAAGAAUAAUUUCACUUCCAAUUAAAAACUUCAAUUAUUGAUUAAGAAACUAAAAAUAUUUAAUGUAGAAACCCAUUCAAUUAAUUGUUGAUGAAUGAUGAUAUCACAUGAUAACCCAUAGCACAAAUUCAAUUCAAUUUCACAAAUUCUACAGCUCAAUCACCCACAAUUCAAAUACUACAAAAACUCCAGCAAAUUACGACACUGCAAACACUUGAAGACAUCACCAAGCACCAUUCAUGAAAAUGACCAAAGGCAAUAAGAUUUGAGGGUGAGCUGUAAUUUUAAUGCCAGGAGAAAACAGAGGAAGCAUCUGACUAUGAGAACAGAGUCGGAGGAUUGCAGUCAGCUUCUACGACCGGAGAAUAGACAACGGCGGGAAACAAACGAUGCCACAACCCAAAAGAUACAAGAGGAGCCAGCAGCUGCCUAUGUAACACCAAAUUUAGCAUCAUUCUUUAAAAUGUCUGGCCACGCAAAUUUCUUAACAAAAUUAUUGAAAAUUUCUUUAAGAAAUAUUUUAUUAAUUGAAAAAUAUUUUUAUAAAAUUAUAUUCACUGCAUUAUCAAACAUACACAGCCUAUUAGCCACGGUCUUUGAGCAUUUCCAAAACUAUCCUCCGAGAAAUGCAGUACUGGUAGCUCUGUUCUGACCCGUCGUCUACUUUGUCAAGCAUUGGUCAAGGAUGAAAACGCUGUGAAUCGAAGCAUAGUUUCCGUUAAAGGUAUUUUUAGUUUCUGCCAUGGUUUAUUUCUGUUGCUCAUUGUCACUCUUGGAAAUUAUUUGUUUUUAUGGUGAUAUAAUUUUUUUUAAAAUAAUAAUAAUUUUUUAAAAAAAAUUGUGUUUUUGAAUUUGUUUGUAGGGUGAUACAGUUUUUUAAAAAUAAUAAUAAUUUUUUAAAAAAAAUUAUAUUUUUAGAUUGUUUUAAUAUGUAAUGUGAAAUAUUAAUUUUUAAAAAUAAAAAAAUAAAAAAAUAAAAAUUAUUUAGAUAUAUUUUUAAAUAAAAUAUAUUUUACAAAAUAAUUACCACCAUAAUAUGUUGGGAUGUUUUUAUAAAAUAGGAUGUAAAACUACUGAGAGCCUACAAGGUUUUAUUUUUUAUGGUAAGUUAGAGAUUUUGUAGGCCCAUUUAAAAUUAAUAGGUUGGAUCGUGAUCAUAAAUAAAGAUUGAGAAUUUGGUCUGAUUAUGCAGAUAACAUGCCUUAACUUGUCUAAAGUUAUGUAUGGUGUUACUAAACCCAGCUCAAGAUAAGUUAAGAGCUUGGAUUGGAUUUUAAAUUAAAUUGGAUAGAAUUUAACUGGAUAUAAUUCAACUUAUUUGAUCAAUCAAAACUCAGUUUAAUUUAAAAAAGAUUCACAUCAUUUUAUUUUUUAUUUUCAAAAAAUUCUUUAAGUCAUAUCACUUUGUAUUGAUUUAUGUUAACCCACUACUUGAAUUAUAAUUCGAGUUGGGUUUAAUAACUUAGAUAAUAUUAUUUUCGUUCGAAAGUAAAGGUAUAAAAAUUGAUGAGGUGCAAGUUAGAGAGGGGAAUUAGUGUGAAUUAUGCUGGUGAACUUCAUAAAUUUAUUUAACUUUCGCAUUGCUUAUUUAUCCUCUAAGGCGUGUGAUUUCUUUUUUAUACUGGGUGGAAAACAACGACGUGGGGUAUUGUGUCAUCUAGUGACCGUUGCAAGAUGUUUGAAUCCUACUAAAUGCACCGCAUGGCUGUUAGACGAUUGUAGGGGUAUUGUGUCACAAAACACACCGUUUCAAUUACCACCUAGACACAUCGUUUAAAUGAUGGUGUUUCUUUUAUUUAGAUGAGAAUCUUGCCACGUGUUGGCUAUUGCUUGAUAAUUGGAAGUUGUUCUGUUAUCCGCUCUUUCAGUUAGUAUUUGUAACAGAAUGCCAGCGUGAAAAUAGAAGAAUGAAAAAUGUUGGCUUAACCAAUUUAUGUCCCUCUUCGAGGACUUUGAGGAGUUUGGGAGGCGAGGGCGGAGAGCCAGGAUUUUUCUUCUGUCCUGAACUAUUAAAUAAACAUAUAAUUUUUUUUAAGAUAAAUUAUUAACUAAUGUAUAUGAGUUUUUAAAGUUAAUAGUAAAGUUUUAAUUCAAAUACAUUAUCUAAAAUAUAAAAAAAUAAAUUUGAAAAUAUAUAAAAUUAAAAUGAAAGUAAAAAUAAACUCAUUAUUAAAGUUACAUCUUUCGAUGUUUUGUGGAAUAUAAUUCAUCUAUAAUCGAAUUUGAAUCGAUAUUGUAACAACCCUUGAACUGGGAUAAAAUAAUAAUCUCAUAUCAACUGAAAAAUAAAAUAAUUAAUUUUUUUCCCUCUCUCAAUUCCUCCUUCCUUCAGUUGAUUCUUCCUUAGAUUAGUAUUUUAUAAGUUGGACUUUGUAAGUUUUCAAGGUUAUUUUCUUACUUUUCUUAUCUUUUUUUCUAGGAUUUUUUUUAUGUUUUUCUCUUACUUUUCUCUCUCUCUCUUGCCUUUUCUUUUCUUUCAUUUUCUAUUCUGCUUCUGCCCGGUCGGCAACAUAUAAAGGAAGGAAAAACUGAUUUGUUUUAUUUUUUUAAUGGCAAAUAAUAAUUUUACCCUUAAUGAGUCAUUUUGCUUUUUUUUGACGUUUUUUUUGUUAGCACUACCAAAAUCUGUUCAUUUUAAAAUUUAAACCAGAUUUUAUUCAAUAUAUUUUAAGAUUCCUUGUAAAAUUUCAGCUCAAUCUGAUGGUCAGAUUGAAAAUUACACUCAAUAAUGUAAAUUGGUCAAAUUAUGAUUUUGUUUUUUAUCAAAUUUCUGAAUUUUUCCAAAAAUUCUGAAAUUUUAACCCAAACUAAAGCAUCAUAUUAGAAGGCUCCACGUAAAUUUUCGGAAUUUUUUCAUGCCUCAAUUGAGAAUCAUAAAUUUUCUUUACAUAAAACUAGUACAAAAAUAUUAAUAAAAUCUUGACCUGAGCUAGAGCCCACCCUAGCCCAUUCAUGCCUCCGCCCUUGUUGGGAGGCAAGAAGUAACUUCGGAAGGUUAUGUAGAAGCUUUGCGUGCCAGAUUUAGAGACAAGAGUAUGGUUAUAUUGGAAGAUUGAUUAUAAGGAGAACUGUGUUAAAGUGAAAAAGUAUGACUUGCAGUUUUUUUUUUAAUGGAUGGAAAUUUUGAAGGAAUUAGGAAUUGGCAAAGUGUUCAAAUGGUGUGAUUCAUUUGGAAAUUAGAUGGAGUUUUCAUAAGUGAUGAGAGAUAUUGAUUUAGUUGAAGAUCAAGGAGUGGUUGUGGUAUGGGAUUUAGGGGAAAGUGAGUGGUUGUGACGAGGAAGAAUCGAUCAGUAGUAUUUGAAUGUGGCACACUGACAAAGAGUGAAGAAAUAAUAAGAAAACUAUUAGAGCUUCUCAAGUGUUUUAAUUUGGGAGUCGUUUUCACAGGCCAUAUUGUAAUGUUUUGAAAUUAAUAAGAUAGGAUAUUACAACAAAGCCCUUGGAGGCUUAAAAGUUGGAAUAAAUGAAUAAGGGGUAUUAUGGUAAUUGAACAAAAAUUGAUAAAUAUAAAUAGGAAGUAAAAAAAAAAAAGAAAGUGAUCUGAAAUUAAACCGUGAGAGAGAGAAGGAGAAAGAAGAAGAAGAGAAAAGAAGGGAAAAAGGAAGAGAUUGGAGGAAAUAAGUGAAAAAGGUAAGAUUUAGGUUGUUUAAUGUGUAUAAUAUGUUAAUUAAGCUUUAAUUUCAGUUUUUAUGAAUGUUAGGGUUUUGAGAAUUUGUGUUUGAUUUAAAUUGAUGAAUUAAAUUGAAGGUUAGGGGUUGAUUGUUGUGUUAAUUGAUGAUUUAGUUGAUUAUGGAAGAUUAUGAUGAUUUUGAGUUAUAGUUUUGUGUAAAUGGUGAAAUUGUGUUAGAAAUCAGGGGAGAACAGUGGGGUUUCUGUUAAAAUCUGGACUGGAGGUUGAAGAUGACGAAAAUUCAAUUUGGUCCCUCAAUUUCCGAAAAUUACAGUUUAGUCCCCGAACUUUGGAAAAUUACAAAUUGGUCCCUGGAGCAUAUUCCGAGAUUCUGAACAGAAUAACAUAUGAAUUAUGGACAUAAUUACUGUAUAGAUAAGAGAAUUUAACACUUUCAAUUUAGUCCUCCAAUUUGACAAAAAGUACGAUUUGACCCUAAAAAUUUAGUAAAAUUCCAGAAUGAUCCCUGAAGCAUAAUGAUACAUCCUGGACAGAAUUGAGGAUUAAUUAAGGUCAGAAUUUCAGUAUAUUCAUGGAUUUAUGACAAAUUUCAGUUUGGUCCUCCAUUUGACAAAAGUUACAAUUUGGCCCUAAAAAUAUGGAAAAAUUCCAGAUUAGUCCCUAGCUGUAAUAUUAGCUUUUGCAGAUUAGUUUGAUGAAUAAUUAAGGGUUAUUUAGUGAAUUAUUACCAAUUUUAUUAGUUGUUUUUAUUAUGGAUUAGAUUUCGGGAAAACCGUUAGAUUUUGGGUUUUUAAGAAAAUUGACUAGUUAGUUCAAAAAAAAAAUAUAGGGUUACGGAAUACACCCUUAGUUAAGUGUAUUAAAUAGGUUAAAUGUUCUUUCGAGUCGUUUUUGAAUAUGUCUCCUUUGUAUUCAGAUAAUCCUGAUAUUCUACCGGCAGGACGUCAGUAGAAUUUCCUUCGGUUUCAGCUUGUGUGUGUGUUUGCUUUUGAGUCAGGUGAGUGGAUAAUUUUCCAUAUGCAUGAGAAAUAUUAUAAAUAUUUGAUUUGUUAAUAUGAAUUGGAUCAUGCUUCUUGAUAAUAUAUAUGCUGAUUAUUAUCCUUGAUAUGAUAAAGCAUGAUCAAUUAUUGAAUCUGAUUUCUUGAUAUGAACCAAUAUGAUUUGACUUCUGAAUUGAUAGCUCCUCAUUUGAUGGAUGUCAUGAGUUGAGCUUUGAGAUAUGAAUAUGUUUGUUUGAUUAUGAUUAUGAACCUAUGGUAUGUCAGUCAGAAUACCCAUGCUAACAGGGUAGUGUUAGUCUUUGUGCACAUCGUAUCUGAACCCUAGUUGGUCGGGGGAGUCACCAACAUGUGUGGAUUGAUCAUCCCACAGUACGGAGCCUCAUGCUCAUUGCAUUUUGAUUUUCUGACAAGUUUUACCAUAUGAUAUUCUUGUUAUGGCCUAUUUGAUAAACCUGCGUAUAAGAACUAAAGCCAUACUUGUAUAUAUAUUUCUCAUUGCUAUAUUACCUCAUGUGUGUAUAUUGAACAUUAUCUACUCACUGAGUUGUUGAACUCACCCUCUCAUUAUUUAUCCUUUUCAGGCUUAUAGCUUGAUAGCAUGUCACUUUUGUUGAAUCUUCUGAACCUGCUUUUUGGUUGUAAUUUGUACCUUCCUUUUAUGUCAAGUUAGUGCUCCAAGACUAUGAAUAUAUAUGAACUCUUGUAUUAAGACAAUUGAAUUAUGUUAUAAAGUUAGUUUUGUUGUUACUGCUGCGUUGAACAACUCUGAUUGAGUUUUGAAGGAUAAGUUUGUAUGUAAAUUUGGGUUCGUAUAGGUACACGGAACCUUGGAGGGGAACCUUGCCUAUGUGCCGGUCAUGGAUCCGGGAUUCGGGUCGUGACACAUAUAGCUAUGAAGCUGGUGGAAAUAUGCAGGGAAAGGGCUGCAGGAGGGAAGAAUAUAAUUUUUCUUGGGAACUGAGGGAAGAGUUCAGCGAAUGAAGUUAGGAUGUGGAAAGAGAUGGAGCUUGUGAUGAUAAGAGAAGCUACGCAUAGUGAUUGGUGAUUACGAAAGUCGUGUGGAUUCAUAUCUAAAGAAGCUAUGAAGAAGGUAUCUUUGAAGGCACUUCCCUCCCUUUUCCUUGCAAAGUAGCUUGGAACUGAUGGAAAGAUGCAAAUUUAUUUGUGGAUCAGUUGAUGGGGUGCAAUGUGAUAUCCUCCUUCUUAAAGAUGUUCACACUAUGAGGUAUUUUUUAUUGGAUAUCCAACAGAAAAAAACUUGAUAUUGCUUGGUUUGUCUUCCAUGGAUAUUGAUAAAAAGGUGAUAUGCAUGCCUACUGGAAAAUGUACUUCUUCUUGCUGGGUCUGAAAUUCAAACUUACGUUCACUAGGGACCUUUCAAUAAUGUUGUUGAAGUGAACUGCUAGGUCAUUAAUCACAAGUCAAAAUAGGAGACUGCUGAUGGUGCAUCAGUUAGAGAUACCUUUGAUUCACAUAUUCAGGAUUCAGAGUUUUGGGCCUUUUACUUUGAUUAUAGAUGUACAGCUAUAAAAUAUUGUCUAAUUUUUAUUGAAUAGGUUUUAUUUAUGGUAUUAGGGCACCUAAGUUUCUUUCUCCGGUGACACACUUAUUGGUAAUGUUUGGUUGUGAUCUUGGUGUCAAAUAAUACCAACGAAAAGUGAGAAAGGGAAUCUUCUUUAAAUGGGAUUUGAGAAGGUUUAUGAUCACUCGAGUCAGGGAGGACCAUGAGAAAGUGAUGCAGGUAGCGUUAGAUGUUAUAUCGUACUGUGAAGAAAUUAGUUCCAAAAAGAAGAUAAUUUGCCUUGGUUUUAUUUGUCCAGACUGAAGUUUUCAAAGUGCUCUGUACAUGCAAUGAAGCUUUAGGUCUUACUUCAUCUUAUUGAGAGCAUGCUUUGGGCCAUCUCCUCCUUUUCUUUUUUUAAUUUUGUUGAAAUUUUUAAAUGAAUCAUGCCAAUGGCUUCUACUUUCUAUUUUAUUUUUAACACAAUUUAGAACAUUUUAGUAUUUUCUGCAUGACUCAAUUAAAUAUUUGGUUCCCAACUCAUUGACACUAGCAACUCUCGUACACACACGUGUGCUCAUAUGUGCCCACGCACACCUUACAAGGAACUGAACUGAUUAAUUAGUGUAUUAUUCAGAAUAUUAUGUUGGGAAAAAUAGUCUUGCUAAGUUACCCAGAGAUUAACUUGUGACUGUUUCAUUCUUCUCAUGUAUCCCACAUUUAGUGAUGAUGCUUACUCACUAUCUUUCCAGCUUACGAACAUAAUAUGGGGUGAGGCUGAAGAUAGUGAUGACCAUAUCGUGCCAUAUCCGGAGGCAAGUGAAGAUUAUUGCAAGAAAAAGGAAUCGAGUGAAGAAGCUAGCACCAUUAAAUCUAGUGAGCAGAAGGCACCUGGGGCUAAAGUUGAUACUGAUGGCAGAAAGCUGGAGAGCAUUUCGAAUGUUGACACAAGUGAAGGAACUUCUUCCUUAGGACUUGACAUGGACCGAUGGCCUAACUUGUCCUCACGUAAUGCUGCCAAAACUGAGCAGGAUUCUUUGGAAACUUCAAUCUCUAACAAUCUAACUGAGAUUACCAAACUCGAUUCAUCAGCAGGUGAUGAGAUUUCAAUUACAAGGAAAAAAUGUAGAUAGGGUGACGAGUUGCAUGAUGUUUUCAUAGCAUAGUAUCUUACAUGCUACUGUCUAUUCUAAUUCUUUUUUUAAAAAAACGCAGAGACAGAUCAUCUUGAUAAGGACACUGAGAUUUUUCAAAAUCCUCAUGAAGGUGAAGAGCAAGGUGAUUUUGCUGAUUAUGGCUGGGCUAGCAUUGGAAGCUUUGAUGAUCUUGAUCGAAUUUUUAGGUAAAGCACAGUUACCAUUUCUUACUUUCUGCACCUAAAUGAAAGAUGGUCAGCAGCACCCUGAUAUGGAAGCUUGUAUAUCUCAUUAUUCUGAUAAUUUGAACAAAUUCUUAUUACUGACUGUGAAGUGAAAGUUUCGCGAACAAAAUAAUUAUGCUCACUGUCUAUUUUCAUUUCAGAAGAAAAAAAUCAUGUAGUACAAGAGUGUUGUUGUGAAGGAAAAACAACCAGACUCUUUUAAUAAUUGUAGUUUCUUCUGUGUUGGAUCUAUAUCCUUUUCCAAACAAGUGCUGUCUGCUGAAAGCAACACUAACAAAAAAUGACUAGUUGUUUGAAAAUUUAUGGUUUUUGAUCCUUGGCUUAAUUUUGUUAAUUGGGAAAAGAACCUGAAGGAUGCCAGUUUUUAGCAGCACAAUAUCCUCAAUUACAAGUAUAAAUGGCAGAAAGAAUGUAAUAUAGCAGCACUGGAUUUGUAAGGAAUUGGUGAGCUUGUUCAAUUGUGGAAGGGCUUUCCUGCAUUUCUGUUCUUCACUAAUGUUCUUAUAUUUUAUCUUGAUUCUGUUGGAGAACAGUAAUAACCAUCUGACUCAAUAUCCUCACAAGUGGUGAUUUUGCAGCAAUGAUGACCCAAUAUUUGGCAAUGUAAAUCUUGGUAAUGCUGAUGAGCUAUGGUCUUCUUCAAAAUGUACAACUAACAACUAAUACCUCAAUAUAUUCUGAACAAUAGAAACCCUUCCGAUCAUAAGUUACAGCUAAAAACAAAAUAACAUUGAAUUUAUCCUUACAAACCAUGUACUGAAUUAAAAUACUAACUGUGCCUUAGUCACUCUCCCCUGCAGGGCUAGAUGGUUAAAACGUUGAUCUAUUCUAAGUAAUUUGUCUAUUUAUUAUAGUUCUGUGAUCAGAGUUACAGGCAAAAGAAGAUCUUGAAAGAUCGGGAAAAACUGGAAGAAAAAGGUGAACUGAAAUCAUACCAAGAUUUUUAUGGAAACUGGACUUCAUCUGGAAUCCCAGCCUCUCAACUUAAGGAUCCCAAAUUAUGCAAUCUUCUCCCCCUUCAAUUCUCAGCCAACAGAAGCAGCUACAGGGUUCCGAGCAGUUGCAGUACCAGCAGAUAUCCAAUCCAUUUGUGACCCCUUCUGCAUACGGGAGUAUUACAAAUCCAUAUUCUAUGUUAGUGAUACUGGCAGUACAAACAAUAGUUGCAGGGACUAACAGAGGAGCUGACCUUGAAGUAGAGGAUCUAAGUACACUUGCUUCAUUUGACCCAAACUCACCUAUUGAGCAAGACGAUUCCAAUACAGUCUCCCUGGCAGUUAAUGAUUAUUCAAUGGAGGACACAGUACUCUACAGGCUUCAAGAUAUUAUUUCAAAGGUAUGCUUCACGUACUAUUGCAUUCUUUCCCUGCUAAAUAAUUUGUGCUUGGUUACGAUUCCAAACCAAUGUUUUACAACAGUUGGAUGUCAGAAUUACAACAGUUGGCUCAAAGUGCAAUGCAAAGGCAUUAUGCUAGUGAUACUGGCAGUACAAACAAUAGUAGCAGGGAAGAACAAGUUGCUGCAAAAGAGGAAACCAGCAGUCAAGGAAGGUUGGUUAAGGCAAUGCAUUUCUAAUGCUUCUGUUUUCAAAUUUAAUCUAUCCUCUCUCUUUUUUAACAUUUUUGCUCUAUGGAAAUGUUAAAUUAGGAUCUUUUUAUGCCAUCACCAUUUUCUGUUUUCCAUUCUCAUUCUAGAAAUAAAUAUUGAAAACGGUAUCCUCUAUUUACAAUGGAGGAAUAGUGACUGAAACAAUUCAAUUAAGGCAGCGCUUGUUCUUAGAAGUAGAAGAAAAUCUAAACAGAAAAUUUUAGGGUCCUCUUUCACUGGAUUUCCUUAAAAACUUGACUGAAUUUGACCUUGUUGAUCAAAUAUGUAGUAGUUCGCUUCCACUGGUUCUGUUAUGAUUGUGAGUGCUGGUCAUCAUGUCUUGAUUUAGUUGAGAGAAGCUUUGGUAUUGUAUGUAGGCCAACCUAGGUAGAGGCAGAUAUUAAACUGACAUUUGUAGCUUUACCCUGGUGCAGCAUUCAUGAGUGCAGUGCAGCAAGUAGUCAUGAGUGACAAUUCAAAUAGCAUAAUAUUUAGUAGAGAUUUUCAUUUAAUUAGAAAAGGAAAUUUAAUUUUUCCAAUAUUAACAAAAUCUAUGCAAGUUUUCUGCAAUGUUGAUUCCAGUGAAUUUGUGCAUAAUCACCUUAAUCCGAAAAGAAGAGCUAAACACACACAUCCAAGUCUAAACGAGUGGCACAACAUACAUGAUAAAUUUUACUAGAUUUAACUAAGAGAGAGAAACAAAGAUUGUUCAACAAGUGCAAUAAGUUUAUUCAACGACAAAUAGAAGGAAAACAAGAUCUGUACAAAUUCACUGGAAUCAUCAAUGCAGAGAACUUGCACAACUUUAGAUAAACAGGGCAAAAUUAAAUUUCCCUUCUAAUUUAAUGAUCAUCUGUAGAUUCAUGAUACAUUACAUUUUAAACAAGAAAUUUAAGAACUCAAAUCAUCUUCUAAUCGGCUCAUCAAUGUCUAAAUGGGACACUUCCAGCCAAAACCAUAAGCUGUUUUGAUCUGAAACUCGAUUUUUUGUUGUAAGCGACAAUGUAAUUGUUUCUUGUUCCAAUGGGUUUGUUCCUUUACAUCUCGUCCUUCCCAUUUCAAAUCAUUCAAUUUGUUUGCACAAAAUUAUUAAUCAAGUCUUUAUCAAUUUGUUUAGAGUAUGGCAAUCUCAAACUUGCCUGUCAUUUUCCUCAUGGAUUUUAUGAGUAUACUGCAGGGUGGUUAAGAUGCCUGAGGUGGAAACAGAGACCAAUCCGGUAGACCGGACUGUGGCUCAUUUGCUGUUUCAUAGACCGAUGGAUAUUCCUGGGAAGCAUCCUGAUACACCUGAAUCACCUUUUUCAACUAAGCUCCCGUGUGAGCACAAGACAAUGGGCCUAGCAAAGCUGUCAACGGGAAGCCUGUCUGAGACUCCGAAAGGUAAACCAAACUUUUCGCAAAGGGGGUCUCGACUUUCUAGUCUCUUGACCAAUGCUCAGCCUGUAAGUCAGUGUAAAAGCAAUCCUUGCUUAGACGAUUCAGAGGAUGCAUCAAACAAUGGGCCUGCUGAUGAAGGAGCUAGGGAGGUUAAAGCCUCUCAAUGAGGUAAUUCCUACCUGAAUCUCUUCCAUGCUUGCAGUGACGAUUUACUAGUAAUGCCGAGGUUUUCUUUUAUUGUCAGCUCACUGGAUCAUCAUGAGGAAUAAACACCAGUAUUGAUGGGGAUUUGUAAAUGUCUUUAGCAGCGUAACCAUCAAGAAGUUAAUAUAGCUACGUAUCUACUGCAAAACAAUGAACUCUUUGCUGUGGGUUCUCAAGAUGAUGACUUUCUGUGCUUUAAUCCUUUCUGUUGAUUGUGCGUAAGGAUGAUGCUCCAAUAAUUAUUAGCAGAUUUGCAAGUGCCUACUCUCUCGAGUGAUAUUGGCCGCUUUCACUUGAUUCUGAAUUGUGAUUCCAAUACGCGGAUGAAUUUUAUAUUAUCUUUUCUUUUUAUAUCUAUAAAGAUCUUUGAUGGAAGUAAACUUUAAGAAAAGUUUUUUAAUCAAAGUUAAGUGAUAAUAAAAUAAAUAAAUCAAAAGUUUUUGGAUUUUGAAUUUUUGGAGAAGGGGAAUAGAUUAGAGAAAGAGGUGGGGAAAAGAUUUUGAAUUUUUGAAGAUGCGUAUAAGGAGAAAAGGAGAGAAUGGAGAUUUUAAAUUUUGAAUUUUGAUUUUGUCGCGUCAACAACGAAAAAUCUGUUGCAGAUUAUUUAAAUAUUUUUUAAUCCGUUUCAGCUCUGCUAGGCCCGUUGUCUUUUAAGAUGGACACUUGUUUUUUAAGGGUGGCGCUAGCAGUUCAAAAUCAGAAGCAUGUGAUGUUUAUUUGCCGCAGUUGAUAGAGGAACAAUAGUAGCAUUAAUUAUAGCAAAAAAGAUAUUGAAAUAGAAUGAUGAUUAUUAUUUAUGGAGAUGAAUGAGAGACAAUAGGAAGAAAAUUUGUAUUUCAACAUCAAACAAAUAAAAACAUACAACUUUCUAGGACAAUAUCUGUAUUUCAUUAAUCCAAACUUAUGAGCCGCCCUUGCUUGUAGAGGAAAAUUUGGAUCAGAAUGCUGCAAAGAAACAAUGGAGGAUUUAGACCAAGAGCAUGAAAAGGAUAUGUAAAAUACACAAAUAGCUACGUAAUGAUAUUUGAAAAACAAUCUUGUUUUGUGAAAAUGGGCAAUUGGUAAUACUGACAUGAAAAUGCAAAGGAUUAAUAAUGGUGGAGAAAUACAGAGUAACUGAGAAAGAACAUCAAAUGGAAAAGCUCACAAUGAGUCAAAGCUGAGGGAGCAAGCAAAUCAAUUUUAUCGUUCUGGCAAGAAGGAAGGGCGACAGAGCCUUCAUGAACUGUAAGUAGAAAGAUGGAUUUGGAUCCUGCCAAAAAUAAGCAUAGAAUUAAUAGUGGAACAUCACAAAUUUUAACUGAAAUUGCCUUUGAUUACUUAAAAGAAAAUAAACUAUUUAGUACCUCAAUAUAUUGGACGAUUGAAAGAAUGUGAUUUAUGUAUUAGCUCCUUUAAAAGCUCCGAAUAUGUAUGUAAGGAAUGUGAGAAAUCUUGGGUCAAUCUUCACCUUUCUCCCUUUCACAACUUUCACCUAGCAGAGGACACUUGCGAAUUCGAAGAGUAGAAAGGGAAGAGGGCAACCCUUCUUCUGGCAUUGACUCAAUCAGAGGGCAGUCCCAUAUAGUCAAUUCUUCAAGAGAGGUGAGGUGUUGAAGCCUUGGAAGAGAUUUCAGCAUGGGACAACUGUUAAUUAAAAGAGAAGAAAGGGAGGAGGGCAACCCUUCUUCUGGCAUUGACUCAAUCAGAGGGCAGUUACGUAUUUUCAAUAAUGUAAGAGAAGUUACGUAUUUUCAAUAAUGUAAGAGAGGUGAGGUGUUGAAGCCCCUUGUAGUCAAGAGAUUUCAGGUGUUUUAGGGAAUGGAUUUGAAGAGAUGUAAGACUUGAGGGCAGCAGCAUCUCUUCAGGGAAGGAUUCAACAUUUUCGUCCCAACCAAUAACAAAGCUUGAAAGAGAAGGGAGCAUUUGCAAGCCCCAUCGCAUGCGGCCAGCAAUGAGUUUGUUGCAAUCCAAAAUCACAAGUGAUUGUAAUGUGGAGGGAAAACCCCCUUCUGGACACAACUCAACUUCUGAACAAUCUCUUAUUUCCAAAUGCUUGAGGGAUGGGAGGGGGGAAUGCAUACUCUCAGGCAACUGCUUCAAGUUCCUGCAUUCUAUUAACUCAAGUCGUGUCAAGACUAGAGCAGGUAACCCUUCUUUGGGAAAUGAAACUAAUUUAGGGCACCCCUUGAUUUUCAAAGAAUGGAGAGAGUUGAGAUCAUUGAGAGGUCUUCCAUGUGCACAUAGUGAUUCGAGAUCUGGACAGCCUGAGAUAGAAAGAGUAUAUAACUUGGGGAACAAGUCCAGCGCGACGCAUUUGAGAGAAGCGCAGUACUCGAUUGCAAUUGAGCUUAAAUCAGAACAACCCAUUUGCUCGGGUAGGGACUCUAGGGAGUGGAAUUCAGAAAGCGAGAUAUCGAGCAGCCUAGGAAUCUUAGGAGGUGGAGUCGCGAGCUGCACACAUCCACUAAUAACAAGAUUUGUUACACGUGGAAGGUGGUGACUAGGUAGGGCCUUUGCAAGGUUGGGGCAUUCUUCGAUGAAAAGCUCUUCAAGAAGAGGGAAGGCUUCCCGGCUGCCUUCGUUUGAAAUCCACUCGCGCCACUCUGGCAUCCUUUUAAAAGAUAAUAUUUUGAGGGAUUUAAAUGGCUUCUCCGUAGCAGUACAAUUCCCAUAGAACUGGGAGCUCACAGUGACAACUUUAUCGAAUGCUUGAAUUGAGAGAUGCUCUAAAGAAGCUAAUUGCCCGAGCGGUGGUAAGGAGGUGCAGUUUUUACAUCCAAUGAGCUGCAAGGACACUAUAUUUGUGAAAGAGCGCUCUCCUACCCAAUUCGGAAACUCGACACCUCCAUAACCAUCAAUCCGAAGAUCCUUCACAUUUGUAUUUGGCUCUAAUUUCUCAAGCGUGCUUUUUACGUGUUGCGGGUCAGGAGUGUCACCAUCCCAUGUAAACCUCAGCUUAUCAAGGUGCUUUUUACCUUUCAAAUUUGCCUCAGCAGCAUCCUGAGAAUCCACCACGUUUUGAAGGUUCUGAAUAUGAAAAUCUCCCCGUAGAUGUCGUAGCUUUCCCAAUUCUUUAAUGCUAGUCUCACUGUGUCUUCCCACGAGAAAGAAAGCCAACGUUUGGAGCUUUGACAGUUGACCUAUAUGUGGUGGCAUCUCUUUCAAAGGCGUGUAUGAGAUGUUAAGAUACCGCAAGUUGAUUAACCUUUCCAGAGAUUCAGGCAACCUUUCGAUCCUUGUUCCUAGAAGAUCCAGAUGCCGUAAGUGCUUCAAAUUUCCAAGAUCAGGUAGACUAGCAAGUUCUUUGCACCUCACCAAGAUCAACGUUUGCAAAUUGAGAAGAGCACUCACUUCUUCAGGCAACGUUACUAAACGUGACCAGGAGAAAUCCAAAUACCGCAAAUGCUUCAACUUGCUAGUUGAACAUAACAACGUAGAUGCAACUCUACAAUUAGUCAUGAAUAGCACUCGUAGGCGACAAUGUGUUUGAAAGAUCUCCUUAUAAAAUUCGGGAGGACACUCCACAUAGCGUCCAGUUCGGAAUGUGCGUAGAUGUUGGGCUUCACGGAUGUUUUCGAAGUUUGUGCUUGAAAAACGGCAUCCCGUAUCUACGAGUGAUAAAUGUCGAGUCCUUCUGGUGGACUUGGAAGAAGUAUUUUCCCCCAACCUGGAGCUGAAGCAAAACUGACCGGACACAUGGGUAGCCAAGUCAUGCAUGAGAUCGUGCAUCACAAAUGAUGAGCUUGAUUGCUGGAAAAACGACCUUGACAAGAGAUCAUCAAAGUACUCAGCACCUGUCUUUUCCAUCUCAUCUGCGGAGCUGACUAAGAAGCCCUCUGCCAUCCACAGGAGCACUAAUUCAUCCUUUUUAAAUUCAUAGUCUUUUGGAAAUAUGGCACAAUAAGCAAAACACUGCUUCAGAUGUGACUGGAGAUAAUGAUAACUUAAUCUCAAGGCUGGGAGGAUAUUGUCUUUGGUUAAAUCCCAUAGAUUGCUUUCCAAUAACUUCUCCCACUCCUCGACAUCUCUUUUGGUGCGUAGCAGACCUCCGAGUGUUACUGCAGCUAGAGGAAGGCCUUUACACUUUCUCGCUAUUGCUCUACCAAUUUGUAGCAACUCUUCAUGAGCGGUGGGAUCUUCACCACGAAAUGCAUGUCUGGCAAACAAGGACCAGCAGUAUUCUUCCGUCAAUUCUUUUAGAUGAUGAGUUGGAACAGUUUGCAUGGCUGAUGCUACACUUUCAUUGCGUGUUGUGACAAGAAUCUUACUCCCUUGUGCUCCGAACUUCAGGGGGGUAAGCAACUUGACCCACUCAGCAUAAUCUUCAUUCCAAACGUCAUCUAAAACAAGCAAGAAUUUAUUUCCCUGCAAUCUCUCCUUCAACUGAAGCUGGAGCAUAUCCAGACUAUCAGAAUCAGGCUUUGAACGGAACGCCUCAAGGAUAACCUUGGUUAACUUCAAAAUACUAAAAUCUUCUGAAACACAAACCCAGGCUUUGAGAGUACCGAACCGCUCUUGUACUUCGCUGCGAUUGUAUACAUGCUGAGCAAGCGUGGUUUUACCAACCCCGCCCAUUCCCCUUAUGGGGACGAUACCUAGGUUUUCUCCAUUUGCAACCUCUGAUAGAAGCAACUUCAGUAUUGCUUCCCUGUCCUCAUCUCUACCAUAAACACCAGAUUCAUCCACGAGAGAAGCUGUUGGUGUUCUAUGCGAUGAUGGAUUUUCUACAUUGCGGAUGUUCAAACGAAGGGCUGCCAUUCGUUCAACUAAGGGAUCUAGAUCCCGCAAGAGGACUUCUAAUUUUUUUUCGAUCUCUCCCAACCCCAAUAUUUCAAGUGGGUUAAUGAAAGAAAGAAGCUUCUGCGUCUGACCUGUGAAGGUUUGAUCUUCAGCUUCCAACUCCUGCCGUAGAGCUUCAUAUGCAAUCUCAUCCAAGAAGUCGUCGGCUUUAUAGACAGCGUCUUUAAGCAGGUCCAGCCAAUCCCGCACAGCUCUGUUUGUUAUCUGCUUCUCCUCAGCAUCGUCAAGCACCACCCUGAGAGAUGUCAUUGCUGUCUCCAACCUCGUUAGCAGCCUAUCGUUGACUUUUUGGCCUCUGAAGAAGGCGACCACCUGGGGAGAGGCCAUCCUGUAGAAACCAAACAUUAAGGAAAGAAGAAAGAAAAGCCCCUCCUACUAAAGCCCCGGCCAUGGUUUCUCCUCUUUGCAAAGUAACCAAGGAAGAGUAAACAAACAAGAAGAAGAAGAAGAAGAAUAGGGGAUUUUGUUCAGGUGACAGAAGGGGAAAGGAUUUGUGUAAAGAACUGGCCAAAGCUUUUUCUUUCUCGGCUCUUUAACCCAACUUGUUCAUAAAGCAUCUCUAAAGGGAAAUGUUAUUUGAAGGAGGUAAAUUGAUAAAAUAAUAUUUUGAAUAGUAUAAAUAUAGUUUUUUUUAUUAUGUAUAUUUUAAUGGAAAAAAGUCAUUUGAAAAGCCAAUUCUAUUAGAGUAGAAUAAAGAAGUGUUUUAUUUUUUUUUAUGAUUUUAAUGUUAUUUUUUUUUCACAUGGCUAGAUUUAAUUGGUUUAUUCUUUUGUUGGCCUCACUUGAUUAAUUUUGACUCUUUUAAGAGAUAUGUAGAAAUAGUAUUUGUGGAAGAGAAGAGGCAUUUUAGCAUUUUGUUUGGUUUUUUUCUUGGAGUGUGCAAAACAAGCCAAGAAAAACUAAAAUAUUAAUUUUUUAUUUUUAGCUAUUCAUUUAGCUUCUCCCUCUGCUUAGGAAUCCAUUUAAGUGUUCACUGUUGUUUCUGAUUGUUUUUUAUUUAAAAUAUAUUAAAAUAUUUUUUAUUAUUUUAAAUAAUAACACAUUAAAAUAUUUAAAAAUACUAAAAAUAUAUUAAUUUAAAAUUAAAAAUAUAUUUUUUUUUUAAAUCACUGAUACAAGCUGCAACUGAAACGAUAUUCCAUCUUUCUUCUUUUUUAAAAUUUUACUCAGUUUGUCUUUGAUUUAUUUCCCUAUAAAUUACAUCUUUUAAAAAAAGGGGUUUGAUUGGAAAAACUUCACAAGAUGCGAAGCUUUUCACGUGAUAUGAUAAUGCAGCGGAAGACUUCACUUUAUUUCUUUUAUCUUCUUCCUUCUAUCACUUUUCAUUGAUAAAUUAAAUAAAUAAAUCAUAAAUUAUACUUUAUAUUAUUAUAUUGUAUACAAUUAACUCGCAGGCUUGGCAAAUUAAGCCAGACUAGAUGUUUUUUGAAUUAAUUUUUUUUGAAUUCUAUUAUUUAAUAUUAUAUUUUAUUAAAAUUUAAGUUUCAUGAUUUGUUUUGAUUUAUUUUUAUUAGGUUAUCUUGACCUCCUAAUCUAAGAAUAUUGUUUAACAGGUUGACUCGGGUUGACCUAAAUAUUUUUUGUGUUAUUUUUAAUUUAAAUUUCUAGAAAUUGCAUCGUUCACGUUGGAUUUGAUACUUUUUAAUUUAUUUUUAUUUACUCUUUAAGAGGUUAUCUCAGUCUUGUAAUUAGAGUCACAUAUUUGAUGACUUAAAUUAGGUCAUUGUUUUAUUAUUUUUUUAUAAGAUUAUCUCGAUCUCAUGACGAGUUAUGAGUUUGAUGGAUUGAUUUGAGUUAUUUUUAUGUUUUUUUUUUAAAUUGAUUUUUUUUAAUCUUAUCCUUCCAUGCUUUAUUUGUUUUAAAUUUAUCUUUUAAUAUUUGAUUGGUUGAGAAUUAGACUUUAUAAUUUAUUUUCUAUAGAGUUAUCAUAGUCUCACAACUCGGGUUAUAAAUUUAACAAGUUAACUUGGGUUGAUCAAAAUCAAUCUAAUUUGUUGUUAUCUUAAUAUUAAAAAAAACAUAUCAUCUUGAAAAUUUUUUGAGUUAAAUUAUAUUUUUACUCGUUAUCUAGGUUGUUUUUUAAACUGCAAAUUCAAUCAAGUCACAUGAAAUAAAUCACCAUAUAAUUUUAAAAACAUUUACUGGAAUAAAUUAAAACAUUCACAAUUUGAAUAUUUUUAAGAAAACUUUGACUCGUAUUCAAGUAAAUAAUCCAAUUUUAAAUUAGAUAGCGUACAUUACUUUCAAUAUUUUAAGGAACUCAUUAAACAUUUAAAAUUAUUAAUCUCUCUUGUAUUAAAAACAAUUACACAAAACUUGAAGCUUUGCAUAAUAUUUGCUUAAUUCUAAAAGAAUGGUGGAAGGAAUCAUUAAAAGAUAAUUGAAUUCUUAAAUAUCAAUAGUUUUAUAUAAAUAUAUAUGUGCUUUUUUAAAAAAAUACAUAGACAACCAACAUACUACCCUUCAUAAAAAUAAAAUAAAAAGAUAUUGUUAAAUAUAGUAUAGUACUUUUGACAGCAAAACCGUGCUUGGUUUUUACCGUGUCCACGUGUUUGUGGUGCAGCGAGAGAGAGAGCAUAGGAAAGUAACAAACUUCACAAAAGUCAAUAGGAAUAAUUUGAUUGGUGGUUGAAGUCUCUCUGCUCCUCAUUAUUUGUUUUAAUUUUUUUUUUUAGGUUAUAUAAUACUCAUUGACGAGUAAUAAUAUUUAAUGGGUUAAACUGCAUUGAUCUAACUUAUUUUUUAUAUUAUUUUUUUAAUAUUUUUUUUAUUAAUUACAUUGUUCAAUACUGAGUUUUACAUGAUUAAAUAAAGAUUAAAUUUUAUAAUUUAUUUUUUGUAAAAUUAUCUUGGUUUGAUAAUCAAAUCAUGAAUUUAAUAAAUUAAAUUUGAUUAUUUUUUAUUUGUUAAUAAAAUUAUCUCGAUUUAGUAACGAACUAGUUACAUGCCCCGCGCGAUUUCAUAGGUUAAUUAUUUUUUAUAUUUUAAAAAAAGCCAAGAUCUAAAAGUGUUAGGUUUUUUUGCAAAAUUAUACUCAAGAGUCUUAGGUUUGGUCGUAACGCCUGACCCAACAGUAGUAUUUAUAAUAUUAAUAAUAAAAUUAAACUUGGGUUAACUCUUAGCAUAAAAGUGUUUGAACUGCAAUACCAGACCAAUAGCAUUGGACGUGGGUCUAGCUGCAAGGUCGUGUCAUAAAAAUAUGAUAAUUAAAUAGAUUAGUUAGAAAGAAAAAAAACAAACAGGAAGAAAAAAACUAACGAAGAAAAAGAAAAAAAAUAUGAAUUAACUGGGUUAACCCUUCAAACCAAGUUAAUCAAUCAUACCUUAAAUUCGCAUCGUGAAAGUUUGAUAAUUAAAAACGAAAAAAAAAUUAAUGGGUUAACCCAGAAUUAACUAGGCUAACUCGUCAAACCAGUUUAACCUGUCAAACCCGGAAUCCAUGUCAUGAAAGUUUGAUAACUAGAUAGAAAAAAAAAAUUAACAUUAACAAUUUAAAUUAAACGAAAAAAUUUAAUUAAAAAAAAGAAAAAAAAAACAAAAUGCAUCAGCAUUUUUACUAUAGACUGCAAUGUGCAGUCCAUAGUCAAAGACAUCAGCAUUUUCACUAUAGACUGCAAUGUGCAGUCCAUAGUCAAGGACAUAAAAACAACAAAAAAAAUAAAAAGAAAAAUUAAAGGUAUCAGCCGAGAACUACUUAGAAAUUUUUUUAAUAUUAAUAAACUAAAAUAAAUAAAUAAAAUUAAUUAAAAAGAAAAAAAAACCUCUAAAAAUAAAAAUAAAACACUAAAUAGAAAGAAAUUUAACAUUAACAAACUAAAUUAAAUAAAAAUAAUAAUUAAAAAGAAAAAAAAAUAAAUUCCAGGUUAACUCGUCAAACCAAGUUAACUCGUUAAACCCGAGAUCCGUGUCAUGAAUUAAACGAACAAAAUUAAUUAAAAAGAGAAAAAAAAAACAAUCUGGGUUAACUCGUCAAACUAUGUUAACCUGUUAAAUCCAGGAUCUGUGUCAUGAAAAUCUGAUAACUAAAUAAAAAAAAUUAACAUUAACAAACUAAAUUAAACAAAAAAAAUUUAUGAAAAAAGAAAAGAAAUGACAGGUCAACCCAAAAUUAACUGGGUUCACCCGUGAAACCAGGUUAACCCGUGAAACUCGGGAUAUGUGUCAUGAAAAUCUGAUAACUAAAUAGAAAGAAAUUUAGCAUUAAUAAACUAAACUAAACAAAAAAAUUAAUUAAAAAGAAAAAAAAGCAAAAAAAUAAAAUUCUGGAUUAACUUGUCAAACCAGGUUAACCCGUUAAAUCUGGAAAACGUGUCAUGAAAGUAUGAUAACUAAAUAAAAAAUUUAACAAUAAUAAACUAAAUUAAACAAAAAAUUUUUGUUAAAAGAAAGAAGCAAAAAAAAUAAUCCCGGAAGGCAUAAAAAAACAGCUAAAAAAAAUAAGACAACUUAAAAAAAAAAAACCAUAAAGCAUCAGUGUUUUACUGUGGACUGCAUAGAGGAAAAAAAAGCACAAAAAAAAUAUUUUCGGGUUAACUUGUCAAACCAGGUUAACCCGUUAAAUCUGGAAAACGUGUCAUAAAAAUCUGAUAACUAAAUAAAAAAAAUUAAAAUUAGUUAACUAAAUUAAAUAUAAAAAAAUAUUAAUAAAAAAAACAAAGAAACAAAAAAAAAUAAUCUUGAAAGGCAUAAAAAAAAUAGCUAAAAAAUUAAAACAACUUAAAAAAAAAUCUAAAGUAUUAGGAAUUAGUAUUUUACUAUAAACUGCACUAUGCAGUCAUCGCUAAAACACUACUCGUUUUAGUAUAUGUUACAAUUCCAAUACAAUAAGUGUUUUAUUUUUGUGUUUUUAAAUUGAAUACUAUUCUGAAUGUGCUUGUGUAUGCGUGAACUACGCGUGCCAGGAAAGUGGAGUUAGGUCCCACAUCUUACUCGGUCUGUCCUUGCUUUAUUUGACAAGAGAUCCCAUCGGUUGAAAAAGGAGGUUUGAUUGUAAUAACUUUUAUUAUAUAAUCUUUAUUUUCACGUGAUGUGCAAAUAAUACAGAAGAAGACUUCACUUUAUUUCUUCUCUCCUUUUCUUUUAUCACUUUUAUUUCAUUGAUAAAUAGAUAAAUAAGUUAUAAAUUAGCUGAUGACCAUUGCUAUGAAUAUUAUAAAAACUUCAUUACACAUUCUAGAAUGUUGCGUGGUAUUUGUUUAACUCUAAAAGAAUUGUGGAGCAAGUUAUAAUAAAAAAAUCAUUAUAUUAGAAAUUACAGUUGAAUUGCGAAAAUAAAAAUAUCCUUAAUCAGUAUUAAAGAUACUGAUUGUUUGCUUUGAAUAACAAGAUGCAGUUCAACAGGAUUAGGUCUUAUUGGUUUUAUCUUCCACCUGUAAAAAUGAUCUUGUUUUUCAUGUAGAUGGAUCAUUUUAUUCCAAAACUUCUUUAUAAAUAUAAUUAUUAAACUUCAUUGAUUAAUGUUUUUUUAAUUAAAAAAUAGUUAAGAACACAACUUAAAAACAUGUUCAUCGAUCAAAUGUGUUUGUUUUUUAGCAGUUUUUUCUUUUUUAAUGCAGAUAACAAAAACAAGAUAUUUGAUUAUAUGUGAAUUUGACAGCACAACCGUGUUUAUGGUGCAAAGAGAGAAAGAGCGAAGGAAAGUGACAAAGAGCACAAAAAGUUAAUAAAAAUAAUUUGAUCGGUGGUUGAAGUCUCUCUAUCCAGUGUCAGCAACAUAGCUGGGACCACCACAGAAAAAUAUACAGAACUCGCAAAAGCCUUGUGUCUCACCAUAAAGAAGAAAAGAGAAAAAACACCCAAUCCAGCUAGAAAGCACGGGAUGGAAAUUGAAAGCCAGUGAUAAUUGGGACUCACCAUAAAGAUCAGAUUUUAAUAUUAUUUUAAAUUUCAUUAUUUAUAAUAUGUGUAAUCUAUAUUUACAUGAAUUUUUUCAUAUGAAAUAUUAAAAAUUUAAAUUUUUUUUAAUUUUUUACAGGUUGACCCGAGUUGACCCUUGAAACCCGAGACCCGGCCCCUUGGAAUAUAGAUUACACAUAUGAAAUAUGUGUAAUCUAUAUUUACAUGGAUUUUUUCAUAUGAAAUAUUAAAAAUUUAAAUUUUUUUUAAUUUUUUACGGGUUGACCCGAGUUGACCCUUGAAACCCGAGACCCGGCCCCUUGGCCGGGUCAACCCCGAGCCGGGUUUAAUAACUAUGGUGUCAACAACAUAGUUGGGACCAACACAGAAAUUUCGUAGUUGGUUCCUACUUUUCUCAAGUACAUCCCUCUUACAUCAAUAUUCCAUUUCCCACGAAAUUUUUUUAAUAUUAAUAAUAUUAAACUUAUUUUUUAUUCUAUUAACUUUAUAUGUGUAAUAGACUAACCCAGUUAAUUUUUAUUUAUUUUUAAUUAAUUUUUAUAAAAUUAUAUUAUUUAAUAUUAUAUUUUAUUCGAGAAUUAAACUUUAUAUUUUAUUUUAUAAAUUAUUUAGAUCUCAUCACCUAUAAAUAAUGCUUAACAAAUUAAACGGGGUUGAUCUAACUUAAUUUUUAUAUUAUUUUUUUAAUAAUUAUUUUUUAUAAAUCAUAUUAUUUAAAAUUAUGUUUGAUAUUGUUGAACGAAAAUUGUAUUUUAUAAUUUAUUUUUAUUUAUUUUUUAUAAAAUUAUUUUUAUUUCAUAAGCAUAAGCAUGAUUUUAUAAGUUAAAUUAAAUUAUUUUUUAACUUUUUUAAUGAGGGUUUAAUUAUAAGUUAUUGAGUUAUACAUAUAUAACUCAUAUAAUCUUUCUUUAAUUUAGAAGUUGCAAAUGUAUUUUGUUUGCAGUUUCUUCUUCUCUUUACCCAGGAUCAUGGGUCAAUACACUAGAUUGGAAUAACUUUUAUUAUAUGCCCAAUAUAAUCUUUCUUUUCACAUGAUGUGCUAAUAAUGUAGAAGAAGACUUCACUUUAUUUUUUCUUUUGUACAUAGUUAUUAAACUCAGACUAACCUAGUGUAUUGACCCAUGAUCCAGAGACUACACUGGUCAGGUUUUGUCAAAAGAUUGACCAAUGCAACUACCUAGUCAACCGGCCGGUGACCCGAGCGAACCUGUACGAGACCCGGUUUUUUAUUAAAUGGGAGAUUUUAAACACAUUAGUAUAUAUACACUUUAUGUUCCAAAAAAAAAAUUAUGUUUUUUCAAUAUGGGAUAAAAAACUUUUUGGUUUAAAUAUUUCAACUUAAAAUGAUAACAUAAUAUCUUUUUAAUGUGAGAUUUAAAACCUUUUCGUAUAUAUACUAUAUAUUCGCAAGAAAAAAAUUAUGUUUUUUCAAUGUGAAAUUUAAAACCCAUUAAUAUAUACACUAUAUGUUCCCAAGAAAAAAGUUAUUUUUUCAAUGUGGGAUAAAAAACGUUUUUGGUUUAAAUACUUCAAUUUAAAAGGUUAACAUAGUAUCUUUUUAAUGUACGGUAAAAAACUUUUUAAAAUAUAUUUUUAAACUUUAUUAUUUACAAUAAGAAUAGCCUAUAUUUAUAUGGGUUUUUUUUCUCAAUUUUUACAUAUGAAAUAUUAAAACUUUAAAUAUAUAUUUUUAAUUUUUCCGGAUUAAUCUAAGUUAACCCAUAAAACUUGGGACCCGACUCCCGGACUGGGUUUAAUAACUAUGCUUCUAUCACUUUUCAUUGAUAAAGUAGAUGAAUAAAUUAUAAAUUAACUGGUGACCAUUACUAUGAAUAUUGUAAAAACUUCAUUGCACAUUCUAGAAUGUUGCUUAGUAUUUGUUUAACUCAAAAAGAUUUGUUGAGCAAAUUAUAUAUAAAAAAUUAUUUUAUUAUUUAAAGACUAGUAAUUUUAGAUAAAUGGAUGCGAGUUUUUCAAAAAAAUAUAAAAACAAUCAAUAUAGUAACUCUUCACAGUAAAUGAAAUUAUUAUAAGACAUAAUUGAUUUUUAUCUUCCACCGUUUGACCCUUUACCUUUUAUAUAUAUAUAUAUAUAUAUAUAUAGUUUUUUAACCGUGUCCGUGAUUUGAUUCGACAGGAAGCUAUCAAAUUCAAAUUCUGACAUGAACAAAUUUAAAAUUAAACUAGAAAAAUAUUGAUACGGUGAAAUUAUAUUUACCUUAUUAGAAAUAAUCUUAUUAUUAGAAAAAACCUGAUCUAAACCUAGUUAAAUCAACAUAAAAAGAAUUUAUUUUAUUUUAAAAAAUAAACAAAUAUUAUUUUAAUAAAAUAUUGGUAAAAGACCUAUAAUUUAAUUCAAUAACCCUGUCUAUUCGAUGGCAUUAUACCUCCAAGACAUAUUCCAAGUAAUCAAAUUAUAUGAGAAGCAUGUGCUUUGGUUAUGGUAAUUUUUUUUUCCGGUGCAAGAUAUGGGUUAUAAUUAAUAAAUAGUGACACGAUUGUUGAGAUCAAGUUAAAAUAGGUUUGAUGAUAACUGGAUCCUUGUUUUACACUAAUGUGUUUGGGUUUGAUCGUUUUAUUUAACUUUGUUGGUGCUUAUACUGGUUACCAUAGUGUUUUAUUGUAAGUCUAACAUAUAAACUUGAAAGAAUUGGCCCAGUACUUGAUUAGGAAAUGGUUGUUUCAUGCAUGAAUCUUUAAGGUUGCCUUUGGUUAAAUAUUACUAAAUAAAAACGAUAGACAUUGAAAUGAUAAAAACACGUUUGCUCAAGGAGAUGAAAAUGAAGAUAUAAAAUAAAUAUGUAUUAAUUAAGACGGAUUCUUGUAUUUUCAAGAUAUAAAGUACAUAAAAACAUGUCUGUUUCAAUUUUUUCUGUGUUGAGAUUAAAAUAAAAUGAAUUUAGCUUUAAUUAAUAUACCCAAAUUCUUUUAUGCUGAAUCCUCGAACCGUGCCUGAUUUCAAAGAAUAAUAACAGUUCUGCACAAAAUUACCGAUGAUAAUAAAGCAAAUUAACAAGUCACUUGCACCUACUCAAAGAUGUAAAGGAACCAACGAGGAAAAGGGUAGGAAAGGAGCCUGAAGAGUUUACCAUGGAGUGCUAAACAGCUAAUGUACAUUAAUCAAUCAAGUGGAUGACUUUUAGCCUACCAGAAUUGACUACAACAGUUGGUUGUUAAUGCAGCGUGACAAUCCCAGCUCUUUGAUAAACAUCCUCACAUUUUCGAGACUGAUUAUCCCUAAGUUAAAUAAACAGAAAAAGAGAGAAUAAUUAUCCUAUAAAAAAAAACGUAACAGGUAAAGAUCAUGCUACACUAUCUGAAAUACCCAUAUCAUCCCGCAGAAAGUUGGUGGCAAUUACGCUCAAACUGAUGAAAAGGUACCAAAUCAAGGCCUAUAUAAAUUAACAUUUGAAAUGUAAUAAUAAACAACGCUAAAUAUAAAAAAAUAUAAAUUAUUUGAGAAAAUAAAUAAUUUUUUCCUUAUCACCUAGAAAGUACAAUAUCACGCAUCAACAACAAAUUAAAAUAACAUCGGCACUAUAAUCUUAAAAAAAAUGGGAAAGGUUUAAGAGUUGUUUAAAAAUAUAAUUAUAAUUGUUUUUUAAAGUGUUUUUUAUUCAGAAAAAUAUUAAAAUAAUAUUUUUUAUUUUAAAAAAUUAUUUUUUUAAUUUUUAUUUCAAAAUAUCUAAAAAUAUAUAAAAAAUUAAUUUAAAGUAAAAAAAUAUAUUUUAAAAAAACUUUUAAAAUAUAAAAAUAAAAAAUGAUUAACAGCUAUACUCUUUUCUGGAGGCACUGGAACAGGAAUCUCAAAUUAAUUUGAGUGUGAUAGACGGACACUGGUUGGGAUUUGUUCUGGUGGACGGGUUCACGUCCAGCCAUUGUAGUAAAUCAACACCGAGCAAGGUAUCGAUCCCGUAAGAUCCGUUAUGGCAUGAUCUUCCACAAGCAAGAAACAACCAUGAAAUAAAAUAAUACAAGAGUAGGUUAACUGGGGGCGUGGCUCAGUGGUGUUGGGAGCAACUUUCCUUCCUUCGAGUUCCAGUGGGAGCUGGAAAGUUUGCUCCUUUCCUGUUUCUGGUCCUCCCCCAUGUUAUCAAAAAAAAAGAAAAAAAGAAACAACCAUGAAAUAAAAUAAUACAAGAGUAGGUUAACUGGAUAUGUUUAAGAUUUGUAAAAUUAAUUAAAAUAGAAGCAAACCGACAGUAAAACCACGCUAAUAAAAAAAAAAACAACAACCAUGAAAUCGAUCAUGUGGCUCCCAUUGCCCCUUCCCCCAUCAAUCAGCAAUCAUGCCAUGCCUACGAUCAAGCUAUGAUUGAAAGAAAAAACACAAUAACAGCUGAUGUCACAGCGGGGUCCCAUACAAAAUCAUUCUAAUCACCCUACUCGCGUGGCUUGUGAUAUCGAUAAAACAGCACAACCACCGGUGGUGGAACGACCAUUAUUUUUUUCGAGAGUUUUGUAUUGUGGGAAAGGUAUCUUUCUAUUAUGGAGACAAUUAAAAAAUUGAUUUAAAAUAAAAAACAAUAAAAAAUUCUUAAAAGCUCUUUUAAAAUACGAAAACGACAACUUUGACAGCAAAACCGUGCUUAGUUUCUCCUUUUAAAAUACCAAGUGAUUGUGGUGCAAAGAGAGAAUGAGCGAAGGAAAGUGCCAAACUGCACAGAAAGUCAAUAAGAAUAAUUUGAUUGGUGGUUGAAUAAGUCUCUCUGUACACCAGAACAACGUGGAUCGGCACAUAAACUUCUUCGAGUCCGUUUGUCUACGCAGCCGUAGCCGUUUGGUAAUAACAAAAACUCGAUUUACUGCGCAUGGGACCCACACAACUUUUGCGUUUAAAACGCUGAAAAUAAAAAACCUACUUUUCGUCUACUGUAGCUGAUAAAUAAUAACGAACAGUGCAAUUCACUGCACUAUUCACAAGUGAAUUGCACUGUUCACGCGCACAAUGCAAUUCACUUGUACUUUUGUUUUUUUUUUUAAAAAACUAGUUUAGAGAAUUAAAUUUAUUUGCGAUGUGAACAAUAUUUUUUUUUCGAAAAACUAGUAUAGAGUCAAUUAAAUUUACUCGCACAAUAAUAUUAAUUUUAUAUCUGAUAAUAUUUUAUCUAAUUUUAUUACACGCUUAAAAAAUUAUAAAAAAUAUAGUUCUUAUCGGAUGAAUUUUGUACGUAAUGAAAUUAUAAAUAGUUUAAUGGAAUAAUAACAAAUCUUUUAUAUAAAAUAUUUUUUUUUUCAUGAUGUAAUAGGAGUAAUUAAUUUUACAAUAUUUAAAUUUAAAACCAUCAAUAUUAAAAUAUAUUUUUUAAAAUUAUUUUAUAAUCUCAAUUUCAAAAACAUUUUUAACGAAACACAUUAAACUACUUUUUCUUUAAUCUCAAUUUCAACCACAGUUUUAAUUAAACAUCUAUUUUUUCAAACUAACCUCAACUAAAAAUAUUUUUUAUAAAAUAUUUUUUUUCAAAUCACAACCACAACAGUUACAGGAAUACCAAACACACUCUUCAUCGGACAUCAACCCAUUUCCCAUGAAACAAUGAAGACAAACACUCUAUUUUAAACAACAAAAACGUUGCUGUUUCUCUUCGUACUGGAGACCAGCUAUCUUCCACUCCUGACAACGUGUCACCAUCCCUUGAGUUAUUAGAUUUCAGCCGUUGAUUUGGAUCAUGGUCUUUUAAAAUUACGCUUCCCUGUGUGUAGAUCCAAAGCUCGUUACAGCCUCAGUUUGCAGGCCCAAUAGAAAUUUCCUAGAUCCAGAGGGUUCCUACUUCUUCUUUUUUAUUUCGCUGUCAGGUAAUUAAUUAUACCACAAGUUCUAAUUAAAUAUAGAUAUUAUUUAGUUGGGGGUACUCAUUGUUGAAAACUCGGAGUUUAAGAUGCAGUAGGAUUAUCUGUUUGUGAUAUAAUAUUGUUUGUUUUUUUUAAUAUGUUUUAAAAAUAUAUUUUACUUCAAAAUAUAUUAAUUUUUUUUAUUUAUAUAAAUGUUAUUCCAAAAUAUAGCAAAGUUGUUAAAUUUGAUGAUGAGUUAAUAAAUGGAACUCAUAAUCUAAAGUCUAACCUAGAUCAUAUUUAAAAUUCAACUAGAAAAAACAUUAAUAUGAUAAAAAAAACUAUUUGACUCAACUAGAUUCUUAAUUACCCAAUUGUACUGAUAAAAUCUUAUCUAAAUAUACUUAGGUCAAUACAAGAAAAUUUUGUUUUUUUAAAAGAAAAAAAAUGAAGUAAAAUGAUUGAUCCUAUAACACACGAGUUAACUCAAUAAUCUAAUAACUAUGAUUUCAAAGAAUAAUACCCUCUACACAAAAUUUCAAAUAAUGAAUCAAGCAAUUUUACAAGGCACUUGCACAGUUGCAUCCACUCAAGGACAUUAUAGAACCAGUGAGGAAAAGGGUAGGAAAGGAACCCGAAGUUUUUACCAUGUGGUGUUAAACAGCUAAUGCCCAUUAAUCAAGUGGAUGUUUUUAAAGCAAGUAAAAAUACAUUACAAUAAUUUUUUUUUUUUUUUAAAUUGGUAUGUCAAAAGAUCUAAAAAUAUAACUGGUAAAGCGUAACCGGUAAAGCUCAAAAUGAUGAAAAGGGAGGCCUAACAGCCUGGUGUUCUGCUAAGAGUAAUGUUGCUGAGCUGCCAUAAAACCUCAGGUAAAUCAAGCCAAUUUUAAAAAUAAUAUAAUUCAUAUUCUAUUUUAGAAAGUAAAUUUUUUACUUGAGAUUAACUUUAUUUUAAACAAAUAAUAUAAUUCAUUUUACUUGGAUUAGAAAAUAUAUAUAGAUAAAAUUUAUUUUAAUAUAAUUCAUUUAAUUAAAAUAUAAUUCAUUUAAUAACUUUAUCACCCUAAGCCCAAACUCAUCUCCAUACCUGCAUAUGGAUUCAUAGCCCAUUUUGUUUUUUUGGGAACACGGUGUAAACCGUAUUUUUAAAAUAUUUUAAUUUUUUUUAUAAAAAAUUAAUAUUUUUUAUAUAUUUUCGAUCGUUUUGACGUGUUAAUUUUAAAAAUAAUUUUUUUAAAAAAUAAAAAAAAAUAUUAUUUUGAUAUAUUUCGGUAUAAAAAAUUAUUUGAAAAGUAAUAACAACCACACUUCCAAACAUCCAAAUAAAAAUAGCUUUUCCUAAAUGUUCAUGAAAGUUUUUUGAUCCUUUUAAUUGUUGAUGAAUGAUGAUAUCAGAUGAUAACCCAUAGCACGGAUUCAAUUCCCUCUAAUUCUGCAGCUCAGUCACCCACAAUUCAAAUACUACAAAAACUCCAGCAAAUUACGAUACUGCAAACGCUAGAAGACAACACCAAGCACCAUUCAAGACAAUGACCAGAGGCAAUAAGAUUUGAGGGUGAUCUGUAAUUUUAAUGCCAGGAGAAAACAGAGGAAACAUCUGACUAUGAGAACAGAGUCGGAGGAUUGCAGUCAGCUUCGACGACCGGAGAAUAGACAACGACAGGAAAUAAACGAUGCCAAACCCCAAAAGAUACAAGAGGAGCCAGCAGCUGCCUAUGUAACACCAAAUUUAGCAUCAUUCUUUAAAAUGUCUGGCCACGCAAAUUUCUUAACAAAAUUAUUGAAAAUUUCUUUAAGAAAUAUUUUAUUAAUUGAAAAAUAUUUUUAUAAAAUUAUAUUCACUGCAUUAUCAAACAUACAAAGCCUAUUAGCCACGGUCUUUGAGCAUUUCCAAAACUAUCCUCCGAGAAAUGCAGUACUGGUAGCUUUGUUCUGACCCGUCGUCUACUUUGUCAAGCAUUGGUCAAGGAUGAAAACGUUGUGAAUCGAAGCAUAGUUUCCGUUAAAGGUAUUUUUAGUUUGUGCCAUGGUUUAUUUCUGUUGCUCAUUUUCACUCUUAGAAAUUAUUUGUUUUUAUGGUGAUACAAUUUUUUUUAAAAUAAUAAUAUUUUUUCAAAAAAAUUGUGUUUUUGAAUUUGUUUGUAUGGUGAUACAGUUUUUUUAAAAUAAUAAUAAUUUUUUUAAAAAAUUAUAUUUUUAGAUUGUUUUAAUAUGUAAUGUGAAAUAUUAAUUUUUAAAAAUAAAAAAAUAAAAAUUAUUUAGAUAUAUUUUUAAAUAAAAUAUAUUUUACAAAAUAAUUACCACCAUAAUAUGUUGGGAUGUUUUUAUAAAAUAGGAUGUAAAACUACUGAUGAGCCUAUAAGGUUUUAUUUUUUAUGGUAAGUUAGAGAUUUUGUAGGCCCAUUUAAAAUUAAUAGGUUGGAUCGUGAUCAUAAAUAAAGAUUGAGAAUUUGGUCUGAUUAUGCAGAUAACAUGCCUUAACUUGUCUAAAGUUAUGUAUGGUGUUACUAAACCCAGCUCAAGAUAAGUUAAGAGCUUGGAUUGGAUUUUAAAUUAAAUUGGAUAGAAUUUAACUGGAUAUAAUUCAACUUAUUUGAUCAAUCAAAACUCAGUUUAAUUUAAAAAAGAUUCACAUCAUUUUCUUUUUUAUUUUCAAAAAAUUCUUUAAGUCAUAUCACUUUGUAUUGAUUUAUGUUAACCCACUACUUGAAUUAUAAUUCGAGUUGGGUUUAAUAACUUAGAUAAUAUUAUUUUCGUUCGAAAGUAAAGGUAUAAAAAUUGAUAAGGUGCAAGUUAGAGAGGGGAAUUAGUGUGAAUUAUGCUGGUGAACUUCAUAAAUUUAUUUAACUUUCGCAUUGCUUAUUUAUCCUCUAAGGCGUGUGAUUUCUUUUUUAUACUGGGUGGAAAACAACGACGUGAUGAAUUCAUGAUAGAUUUACACCCUUGACACUUGUGGCAUAAUUUUGAGUAAUCUGUGUCACAAAUUGCUUUUGAGUUUGCAGUAUAACAACGCCCUCGUUCGCCACAGAACGAUCUGCCAAAGAUUUAUCAGAGCCUGGAGUUUUCCCCAGCACUGAAACAGCUGUCUCUGCGGCUAGGUACACAUAUGGUGACUUCUCUCUUCAUGUAUUUUUCAGUCCGAAAAGAAGAACUGAUCUUGGUUACAUAUGGUGAUACCAUUCUAAUUGCUUGCAGCAGGAGGGAGGCAUCUUGCCUCUAAUAUUCAAAUAAACUAAUGGUGAUAGUGUUUCUGUUUCCCAAACUAGGAUUAAAGGAGGUGCCAAAGCAUUGCAGCGAGUUCGAGUCAUUUAUGCUUGAAAUUCUGUUUAUUUCUGGUUGGAUGUGGAUUCUCAAGGAUUGAUCAUCCUGAGCUUGUCUGUACCAUAAUGAGACUAGUGAUAUCAGGUUCCAAAGCAACUGAUAGUAGCCAUUGAAGCUGCAAAUGGACUAAACUAUAAGCAGAAAGGAUGAGGGUACACACCAAGAGUCUUAAUGACACCAUCAUCCGCUAAUCACCAGCCAAAUGUAUCUUCAGAAAUAUAUAUAUAUAUAUAUAUAUAUAUAUCUAUUUAUAUAUAUAUAUAUAUUAAAGAAAAGCAUUAGACUUCCACUCCAACACAUAUUGUAAAGUCCACCUACACUUCGGAUGACAGAGUUUAAAGUGCAGAGUUUCAGUUUCACUCCAACACAAUUGUAGAACUCAUUCCUACUGCAAUUCCUUUGCUACUGUAAUUGAUAGGAUAAUAUUUAAUAGUGAUAGAUGCUAAUAUGAACACUGUAACCCUUCCUUACCUCAUUGUAACCCGUUGUAUAUAAAGCCCUGCUACUGUAACAGUGCUGAUAUGAAUAAGAAGUAUCUUCUUCUCUUUUGUGUCUUCAAUUCUCUUUUGUUUCUUCAAUUCUCUUCCCUUUUGUUUCUUCAUGGUAUCAGAGCAGGUCCUUAAUAACCUGCUAUUUGUUUUUUUUAAAAAAAAAUCUUAUGGAAGACCAGUUUAAGAUAGAUGGUGCUGAUGGCAAUUUUAGAAUCUGCAAUAUGCAAGAAGGAGAGCCAAAUCUUAACCAGCGUUUAGGCUCGGUAUUGUUAAACGAAUUUAACUAUCUUCCUUGGUCAAGAGCUGUGACAAUUGCUCUUGGUGGAAGAUCCAAACUUGGCUAUAUCAAUGGCCAUAUUACACCUCCUGAUUCUUCUUCACAGGCGUAUGAAGCUUGGCAAUGCAAAGAUCAACUUGUGUUGUCCUGGUUACUCAAUUCUAUGGAAAAUCAGAUUGCUGAAAUAUUCAGCUACUCAGAAUCUUCUUUGGCACUAUGGGAAGCAGUGAAAGAGAUGUAUGGAAAUCAAAACAAUGCAGCUCGUAUUUUCCAAAUCAAUAGGAAUCUUGCUAAUCUGCAACAAGACGGCAAAACCUAUGUUCAAUUGCUUGGAACCUUGAAAGGUAUGUGGAGUGAACUUGCUCUUUAUCGUCCUCACACAGUUGAUGCAGCAGAAUUACGGAAAACGUGAAGAGGAGGACAAGAUCUUCCAACUUUUAGCUAGUCUUGGUCCAGACUAUGAAGAUCUUCGCAGCAGGAUCCUUAUGAAUCCUGAUCUUCCAUCUCUCACUACUGUAUGUGCUACCAUUCAAAGAGAAGAAGCUCGUAGAAAGGUUAUGAAUUCUGACUCUAAACUCUCUUUAUCAGAAUCUCGUGUGUAUGCUGUCAACAGAUCAAUGAACAACAACAAACCUUACAAGGGCAAACGACCAGAUUUGAAGUGUCACCAUUGCCAUAAUAUUGGUCAUUCUAUUGGGAGGUGUUGGAUUCUUCAUCCAGAAUUGAAGCCAAACUUUGAAAAAGAGAAGAGAUCUCAAAGGGACUAUGAGCAUAAGGGUCAUGUUGCUGCCGCUGCUCACUUCAGCAAUACUUCCAGUAAUGUUGAAAAUUUUUCAACCAACCCAUCUGCUCUUCUCAAUGACUUCGCUACCUAUCUUAAGGAAAAAGGUGACUCUGCCAUGACAACAUCUGCCUCUGAUUCUAUGGCACUCCUUGGUAAGUUUGGGCUUCCUUGCAAACUCUGCUCACAUUCCGCAAGAAAACACAGAAGGUAUUUUCACUGCAUUUAAAAGUGCCUUGAUAGCUAGUACUGUGUAUAAUUUUUGGGUCAUUAAUUCAGGUGCCACUGAUCAUAUAACUAAUAAAAUGACCAAUCUAUAUGAUUUCGAGGGAUUUUCCUCUCCAACUCAUGUGUCUAUUGCCAAUGGAAAAAAUGUUUCUGUCAAAGGUAAAGGAAAGAUUAAAUUACUAUCUAAUGAUAUAGAAUCUUCAGUCCUAUAUGUUCCCUCCUUUCCAUUCCAAUUACUUUCCAUUGGUAAAAUCUCUCGAACUCUAAAUUGUCGUGUUAUUUUUUACUCUCAACAAGGUCUCUUUCAGGACCUCGCCACCAAGAAGACGAUUGGUGAAGGUUUCUUUUUCGAAGGACUUUAUUAUUUUUCGAGUCAUCCCUAGAAUAACAAGUAUCGUCAAGUUUCUACUUUUUCUUCAUUUCAUCAAGAGCAACAUUUAUGGCACCAACGAUCCCUCAGACAUUGUUCUCACCAAAUUAAUGCCCAAUUUGGAUAUAAAAAAUAUUCCAUGUGAUACAUGUCAUUUAUCUAAGUCUACUAGACUUCCUUUUAUGCUUUCAUCGUCUAAGGCUAAUAAGAUGUUUGAUCUUGUUCAUUCUGAUGUUUGGGGACCAAUUAUUGAAUCUUUUGAUGGCUACAAAUAUUUUGUCUCAUUUAUUGAUGAUUUUUCUCGUGUUACUUGGAUUUAUCUCCUAAAAUCCAAGAGUGAAGUUGUGUAUGUCUUUCAGAAUUUUCACAUGCUGGUCAUGACUCAAUUUUCUACAAAAAUUAAAAUUCUCCGAUCUGAUAAUGGCACUGAAUACAUGUCCAAAAAUAUGACACAAUAUCUAGUUUUUCAUGGCAUUUUACAUCAGUCCAGCUGUGUUGGAACACCUCAACAAAAUGGGGUAGCUGAACGUAAAAACAGAGACUUAUUAGAAAAAACUAGAGCCUUAAUGAUACACAUGCAUGUUCCUAAAACAUUUUGGUCUCAUGGAGUAUUAUCUGCUGCAUAUCUAAUCAAUCGGCUACCUAGCCGAAUAUUGCACUUUAAAUCUCCUCUUGAAGUCUUGCAGAAGCAGCCGCCAAAUCUAUCUCAUCUACGAGUGUUUGGUUGCAUUUGUUUUGUUCAUAUACAAACCUCACAUCGGGACAAACUUGAUCCAAGGGCCGCUAAAUGUGUUCUUGGGAUACUCUGCAACCCAAAAAGGAUAUAAAUGCUACCAUCCUCCUUCAAAAAAAUUGUUUAUAUCAAGAGAUGUCCGAUUUGAAGAAAGCUCUGUAUACUUUAAAGACAUGAAUCAACAAGGCAACAUGGCAGAAUUGUUUCCUCUACCAAAUGUCACUACAGACUUGACACCAUCUGCAGAUACACUUGUUGCUGCAGACGAUUUUCCCACCGUUUCUGGUGAUAUACAUGCGGAUUCAAGAGUUAUCACAAACCUUGAGAAUGAUUCAGCAAAUCAGUCUCUUCAGCCUCCUCUACAGCACCCUCUUGUCAUUUCCAUUACCACAGAUUCUGAGGGAGAUUCUGAGGGUGGUUCAGCUAAUCAAUCUGAUUUUGCCAAUCACUCUUCUCUACCACAGCCUCGUAGAAAUCCAACUCGUCACCGUGCUCCUCCAACAAAGCUACAAGACUUUGUCACCUAUGUUGCUAGACAUCCUAUGUCUAAUUAUCUUACAUAUCAACAUCUCUCAGCUGGACAUACUGCCUUUCUUACUGCUAUCUCUGAUGUGCAUGAACCCCGGAAUUUUCAAGAGGCUGAUUCAAAUAAAGAAUGGCGACAAGCUAUGCAUGAUGAGCUACAAGCCCUUGAUCAAAAUCAGACCUGGAGUGUUGUUAAACUUCCUAAAGAUAAACAUGUUGUGGGUAGUCGCUGGGUAUAUAAAAUCAAGUUCAACUCAGAUGGGUCUAUUGACAGAUACAAGGCGCGUCUUGUGGCUCAGGGCUAUACUCAAACUUUUGGCGUGGAUUAUAAGGAAACCUUCGCACCUGUUGCAAAGAUGAACACAAUUCGUGUUCUACUCUUAGUGGCUGUGAACAACAUAUGGUUGAUGUGUCAAAUGGAUGUCAAGAACGCCUUCUUGCAUGGAAAUCUUGAAGAAGAAGUCUAUAUGAAGCUGCCUCCCGGUCACCCACAAGGUUCAACCCUAACUUAGUAUGUCGGCUUCACAAAUCUAUCUAUGGGCUGAAGCAAUCUCCACGAGCUUGGCAUGCACAAUUGAGUGCUGUUCUUGAAGAAAGUGGCUUCAAACGAAGCAAUGCAGAUUCCUCUUUAUUUAUUCACCUUGGACCAACAACCAAAGUAAUGGUCCUUGUCUACGUUGAUGACCUUAUUAUUGUUGGGAAUGAUAGUGAUGCUAUAUCUCAUCUCAAGGCUACUUUGCAACAACGGUUUCCAAUUAAAGAUCUCGGCAAAUUGAAAUAUUUUCUUGGGAUUGAAAUGGCCACUUCUCACAAAGGGCUAUUCCUAAAUCAACGCAGGUAUAUCCUUGAUCUGCUUAAGGAUGCUAAGAUGAUAGAUGCCAAACCUGCACCUACUCCUUUGGAUAGUAAAUUGAAACUUAACACAACUAGUGAACCUCUUGGUUCUUUCAAUUACUAUCAACAUCUUGUUGGAAGACUCAUUUAUCUUACUAUUACACGGCCUGACAUCACCUACGCAGUAAGCCUUGUUAGUCAAUUCAUGCACACUCCUACAGUUUUUCACCUGAAUCUUGUUAAGCGAAUUUUGCGCUAUUUAAAGGGUUCUGCCGGUCGUGGGAUUGUUAUGACUAAUCAUGGUCAUACUCAGAUUACUGGAUAUAGGGACUCUGAUUGGGCUGGUAAUGCGAUUGAUCGCAAAUCAACCACUGGUUUCUGCAUGUUUGUUGGUGGUAAUCCAGUCUCCUGGCAUAGUAAAAAGCAACAUGUUGUUGCACGUUCUAGUGCUGAAGCUGAAUAUCGUGCGAUGGCAUCCGCGACUUGUGAACUAAUUUGGCUUAAAGGUCUCCUGUCAGAUCUGGGUUUUUCUAGCAAUAUUCCAAUGACUCUGUUUUGUGAUAACCAAGCUGCUAUGCAUAUUGCAGCUAAUCCCGUAUUCCAUGAAAGAACUAAACACAUUGAAGUUGAUUGUCACUUUAUUCGUCAACAAGUUCAAUCGCAGGUUAUCAAGACAUGUUACAUCCGCAGUCACGACCAACUAGCCGAUUUAUUCACAAAGGUACUAACUUCAGCUCACUUCCAUCGUCUACUAUCCAAGCUUGGCUCAAUCAACCCCCUUGAUCCAGCUUGAGGGGGAGUAUUGAAGAAAAGCAUUAGACUUCCACUCCAACACAGAUUGUAAAGUCCACCUACAGUUCGGAUGACAGAGUUUAAAGUGCAGAGUUUCAGUUUCACUCCAACACAAAUUGUAGAACUCAUUCCUACUGCAAUUCCUUUGCUACUGUAAUUGAUAGGAUAAUAUUUAAUAGUGAUAGAUGCUAAUAUGAACACUGUAACCCUUCCUUACCUCAUUGUAACCCGUUGUAUAUAAAGCCCUGCUACUGUAACAGUGCCGAUAUGAAUAAGAAGUAUCUUCUUCUCUUUUGUGUCUUCAAUUCUCUUUUGUUUCUUCAAUUCUCUUCCCUUUUGUUUCUUCAAUAUAUAUCGUGAGUGGUUGUGACGAGGAAGAAUCGAUCAGUAGUAUUUGAAUGUGGCACACUGACAUAGAGUGAAGAAAUAAUAAGAAAAGUAGGUCUUUGUGGAAAACUAUUAGAGCUUCUUCAAGUGUUUUAAUUUGGGAGUCGUUUUCACGGGCCGCAUUGCUACGAAGCUGGUGGAAAUAUGUAGGGAAAGGGCUGGAGGAGGGAAGAAUAUAAUUUUUCUUGGGAACUGAGGGAAGAGAUGGAGCUUGUGAUGAUAAGAGAAGCUGCGCAUAGUGAUUGGUGAUUACGAAAGUCGUGUGGAUUCAUAUCUAAAGAAGCUAUGAAGAAGGUAUUACGAAGGCACUUCCCUCCCUUUUCCAUACAAAGCAUCUUGGAACUGAUGGAAAGAUGCAAAUUUAUUUGUGGAUGAGUUGAUGGGGUGCAAUGUGAUAUCCUCCUUCUUAAAGAUGUUCACACUAUGAGGUAUUUUUUAUUGGAUAUCCAGCAGAAAAAAACUUGAUAUUGCUUGGUUUGUCUUCCAUGGAUAUUGAUAAAAAGGUGAUGUGCAUGCCUACUGGAAAAUGUACUUCUUCUUGCUGGGUCUGAAAUUCAAACUAUGUUCACCAGGGACCUUUCAAUAAUGUUGUUGAAGUGAACUGCUAGGUCAUUAAUCACAAGUCAAAAUAGGAGACUGCUGAUGGUGCAUCAGUUAGAGAUACCUUUGAUUCACAUUUUCAGGAUUCAGAGUUUUGGGCCUUUUACUUUGAUUAUAGAUGUACAGCUAUAAAAUAUUGUCUAAUUUUUAUUGAAUAGGUUUUAUUUAUGGUAUUAGGGCACCUAAGUUUCUUUCUCCGGUGACACACUUAUUGGUAAUGUUUGGUUGUGGUCUUGGUGUCAAAUAAUACCAACGAAAAGUGAGAAAGGGAAUCUUCUUUAAAUGGGAUUUGAGAAGGUUUAUGAUCACUCGAGUCAGAGAGGACCAUGAGAAAGUGAUGUUAUAUCUUACUGUGAAGAAAUUAGUCUCAAAAAGAAGAUACUUCGCCUUGGUUUUAUUUGUCCAGACUGAAGUUUCCAAAGUGCUCUGUACAUGCAAUGAAGCUUUAGGUCUUACUUCAUCUUAUUGAGAGCAUGCUUUGGGCCAUCUCCUCCUUUUCUUUUCUUUUCUUUUUUUAAUUUUGUUGAAAUUUGUAAAUGAAUCAUGCCAAUGGCUUCUACUUUCUAUUUUAUUUUUAACACAAUUUAAAACAUUUUAGUAUUUUCUUCAUGACUCAAUUAAAUAUUUUGUUCCCAACUCAUUGACACUAGCAACUCUCGUACACACAUGUGUGCUCAUAUGUGCCCACGCACACCUUACAAGGAACUGAACUGAUUAAUUAGUGUAUUAUUCAUAAUAUUAUGUUGGGGAAAAUAGUCUUGCUAUUAUUAUGACCAUAUGGUCCAUAUCGUGCCAUAUCCAGAGGCAAGUGAAGAUUAUUGCAAGAAAAAGGAAUCGAGUGAAGAAGCUAUCACAAUUAAAUCUAGUGAGCAGAAGGCACCUGCGGCUAAAGUUGAUACUGAUGGCAGAAAGCUGGAGAGCAUUUCGAAUGUUGACACAAGUGAAGGAACUUCUUCCUUAGGACUUGACAUGGACCGAUGGCCUAACUUGUCCUCACCUAAUGCUGCCAAAACUGAGCAGGAUUCCUUGGAAACUUCAAUCUCUAACAAUCUAACUGAGAUUACCAAACUUGAUUCAUCAGCAGGUGAUGAGAUUUCAAUUACAAGGAAAAAAUGUAGAUAGGGUGAUGAGUUGCAUGAUGUUUUCAUAGCAUAGUAUCUUACAUGCUACUGUCAUUCUAAUUCUUUCUUUUUUAAAACGCGGAGACAGAUCAUCUUGAUAAGGACACUGAGAUUUUUCAAAAUCCUCAUGAAGGUGAAGAGCAAGGUGAUUUUGUUGAUUAUGGCUGGGCUAGCAUUGGAAGCUUUGAUGAUCUUGAUCGAAUUUUUAGGUAAAGCACAGUUACCAUUUCUUACUUUCUGCACCUAAAUGAAAGAUGGUCAGCAGCACCUGAAAUGGAAGCUUGUAUAUCUCAUUAUUCUGAUAAUUUGAACAAAUUCUUAUUACUGACUGUGAAGUGAAAGUUUGGCGAACAAAAUAAUUAUGCUCACUGUCUAUUUUCAUUUCAGAAGAAAAAAAUCAUGUAGUACAAGAGUGUUGUUACGAAGGAAAAACAACCAGACUCUUUUAAUAAUUGUAGUUUCUUCUGUGUUGGAUCUAUAUCCUUUUCCAAAUAAGUGCUGUCUGCUGAAAGCAACACUAACAAAAAAUGACUAGUUGUUUGAAAAUUUAUGGUUUUUGAUCCUUGGCUUAAUUUUGUUAAUUGGGAAAAGAACCUGAAGGAUGCCAGUUUUUAGCAGCACAAUAUCCUCAAUUACAAGUAUAAAUGGCAGAAAGAAUGUAAUAUAGCAGCACUGGAUUUGUAAGGAAUUGGUGAGCUUGUUCAAUUGUGGAAGGGCUUUCCUGCAUUUCUGUUCUUCACUAAUGUUCUUAUAUUUUAUCUUGAUUCUGUUGGAGAACAGUAAUAACCAUCUGACUCAAUAUCCUCACAAGCAGAUAUCCAAUCCAUUUGUGGCCCCUUCUGCCUACGGGAGUAUUACAAAUCCAUAUUCUAUGCCUGGGUUGUCCCACAUUCAGUCUGGGGAUUUUAAGCAUCAACCUUUAGCUUCUGGUUAUGAAGUUUCUUCAGGUAAUGCGAAUCCUGUUAAAGUUUUCUGACUUUCCAACAAAAUUUCUAGUCAUUUAAUCAUCGACCUAAAAUUUCUGGUUAUGAAGUUUCAGGCAAUGCAAAUCCUAUAAACAAGUUAGCUGACUGUCCAGUGAAACCCCAGAGAAUGACACCUCAGGAAAAGAUUGAAAAAUUAAGGAGGCGGCAACAAAUUCAGGCAAUGCUUGCCAUUCAGAAACAGCAGCAGCAGCAGCUUGUUCAUCAAAAGUGUUCCCAAGAAAAUCAAAUUCAGUAUGUUGAAGGAGCUGACCUUGAAGUAGAGGAUCUAAGUCCACUUGCUUCAUUUGACCCAAACUCACCUAUUGAGCAAGACGAUUCCAAUACAGUCUCUCUGGCGGUUAAUGAUUAUUCAAUGGAGGACACAGUACUCUACAGGCUUCAAGAUAUUAUUUCAAAGGUAUGCUUCACGCACUAUUGCAUUCUUAACAAUGCAAAAUAAUUUGUGCUUGGUUACGAUUCCAAACCAAUGUUUUACAACAGCUGGAUGUCAGAAUUAGACUUUGUAUUCGGGAUAGCUUGUUUCGGCUGGCUCAAAGAGCAAUGCAAAGGCAUUAUGCUAGUGAUACUGGCAGUACAAACAAUAGUAGCAGGGACGAACAAGUUGCUGCAAAAGAGGAAACCAGCAGUCAAAGAAGGUUGGUUAAGGCAAUGCAUUUCUCAUGCUUUUGUUUUCAAAUUUAAUCUAUUCUCUCUCUCUUUUUUUAAACAUUUUUGCUCUAUGGAAAUGUUAAAUUAGGAUCUUUUAAUGCCAUCACCAUUUUCUGUUUUCCAUUCUCAUUCUAGAAAUAAUUAUUGAAAACGGUAUCCUCUAUUUACAAUGGAGGAAUAGUGACUGAAACAAUUCAAUUAAGGCAGCGCUUGUUCUUAGAAGUAGAAGGAAAUCUAAACAGAAAAUUUUAGGUUCCUCUUUCACUGGAUUUCCUUAAAAACUUGACUGAAUUUGACCUUGUUGAUCAAAUAUGUAGUAGUUCGCUUCCACUGGUUCUGUUAUGAUUGUGAGUGCUGGUCAUCAUUGUUGGCGUGAGCUGUCAAUAUAGAGAAAUUAGAGCAGGAAUAGGACACUGUUACGUAAAGGAGAUCCCAUAUGUUUAGGGAAACCUUUAUUUCCGCAAUAGAGAUUGUAUUGAAUAGGAAAACUAAAAUCCUUCUCUGUAUAAAACCUAAAGGUACUCUGUUACGUAGGUUAAGAAAGAAAAGACAGAAUAAGAAAAAGAAGUAACUUAUAGACUUCUAAAAUUAUCAUGGUAUCAGAGCGGCGGGUUCCUAGGACCUCUGCUCAACCCACCUUGUAACCAUAAAAAACACUCAAACAACCUAGACUCUAUGGCAGAAUCAACAGAACUGAUGGAACACCUCAACCCCCAGACCGAAUCAAUCCUUACCAGCCUGACGACCAAGAUGACAGAAGUUCUCUCGAGAUCACAGACCUCCCAACACCCACCACCUACUGAUUCUUCGACUACUCCAAUCGGCAUCAAAUUGAAUGACUCAAAUUUUGCCUUAUGGUCCCAAGUUGUUGAGAUGUAUAUCUCCGGCAAAGACAAGUUGGGAUAUAUUAAUGGAGAAUUUCCUAAGCCUCCAGAAACCGACCUAACCUUCAGAAGAUGGCGAACUGAGAAUGCCAUCGUCAAAGGUUGGCUGAUUAAUUCUAUGGAACCUUCCCUAGUUGCUAAUUUUAUUCGCUUCCCUACUGCAAAACAAGUGUGGGAUUCUGCCGCUACAACCUAUUUUGAUGGGACAAAUACGUCUCAGGUUUAUGACCUCCGCCGUCGUGUGACUCGGAUGAAACAAGCUGGCGGAUCCAUUGAAAAAUACUAUAAUAAUCUUCAAGGCUUAUGGCGAGAAAUAGAUUUUCGGCGUCCUAACCCAAUGGAUUGUGUUGUGGACAUUCAGAAAUACAAUUUAAUCUUGCAGGAAGAUCGAGUGUAUACCUUCCUUGAUGGAUUGGAUGACCGGUUGGACAAGACCAGGAGCGAUGUACUUCAGCUAAAACCAUUCCCUACAGUAGAGCAGGCUUAUGCUUAUGUCAGACGGGAAGAAAUAAGGCAGACAGUAAUGACUUCAGGGGCCGAAAGUGCUCCUGGAAUGGUUAUGAAUUCCAAAGGACUCAAGGCAGGACGCCACCACACUCCAAUGAAGACAAGUUUUUUCUCCUUGAACAAUGACAUACCAAAUCCAUCUGAAAAAAUGCCGGCUCCAUCAGAUGGCAUAAAGUGCACUCACUGUGGCAAUGCCAAGCACACCCGUGAAACCUGUUUUAAGUUACAUGGAUACCUAGAUUGGUGGCAUGAACUUCAGACAAGGAAGAAACGAGACAAUCCUAAUGGCAGCACAAGGAGAGCUGUUAUAGUCACUGGGGAACCUUCAUUAUCACUCACCUCCCAAGUAGAAACCACACAGAAUUCAGGUAACAACAAUAACGUUCUUCAUAGCUGUACUCAUACUGCUGAUGACAACUGGAUUCUUGACUCUGGGGCUACAGACCACAUGACAUUUGACUCCAAUGAUUUUUCCCAUACCACUUUGCCAAGAAGAAGUCAUGUUGCUACUGCUAAUGGGGUCCCUUGUCCGGUUACAGGAGCUGGAACUGUGACUCUAUCUCCCUCUUUAUCCUUACCUCAUACGUUACUUGUUCCAUCCCUUUCCCAUAAAUUAAUGUCUAUCAGCCAAGUUACUGCUGAUCUCAAUUGUAUGGUAUUAAUAUACUCUACAUUUUGUCUCCUUCAGGAUAUUCUCACCAAGGAGAUCAUUGGGCGUGGUACUAAGAGGGGGGGGAUUAUACUAUGUCGAUGACCUCAUUUUAAGCAGAGAAAACCUCAUGGAUCAUGUGGUUAGCAAGAAAGAACAACAGAUUUGGUUAUGGCAUCACCGCUUAGGACAUCCUUCGUUUGGUUAUUUGAAGCACUUAUUUCCAGAUUUAUUUUCCAAUGGAAUGCAUUCAAACUUUACGUGUAAUACUUGUAUUCUAGCAAAGAGUCAUAGGGUUUCAUAUCCUGUGAGCAUGAAUAAAAGCAUGAUUUCGUUUGCAUUGAUACACUCUGAUGUAUGGGGACCUUCCCCCAUUACUACUGCUUCUGGACAUCGUUGGUUUGUGAUUUUUGUUGAUGAUUGCACUCGAAUGACAUGGUUGUACUUACUGAAACACAAGGAUGAAGUAUUUAGUAUGUUCAAAGCCUUCCAUAUCAUGGUUCAGACUCAAUUCUCUGUGAAGAUUCAGGUCCUUCGUUCUGACAAUGGAGGGGAAUAUGUUAAUCAGCAGUUUCAAGCAUACUUUCAGAAUCAUGGUCUUCUCCAUGAGACCUCAUGUGCUCGGACCCCACAACAAAAUGGCCUUGCUGAAAGAAAGAACUCACAUAUCUUAGAAAUUGCACGUGCUUUAUUAAUCGGGGCACAUGUGCCUAGUCGCUAUUGGACUGAUGCUGUCGCCACAGCCGUGCACUUGCUGAACCGUAUGCCUGCAAAGGUAUUAACGUUUCAGACUCCUUUAAAGGUUCUAUCUGACCAUGUCUCAUUGCCUACUGUGUUGUUGCUCCCUCCUCUAUUUUUGGUUGCGUUGCCUUUGUACACCUCCAUAAGAAUUAGAGAUCUAAGUUGGAUCCUUGUGCAGUCCGAUGCCUAUUCUUGGGUAUGAGUACAUAAGAAAGGAUAUCGUUGCCUUGAUCCCUCCACCAAACGCACCUACACUACCAUGGAUGUCACAUUCUUAGAGUCUGACACCUUCUUCCCAUCACCAGCAUCCAAUUCCACUCUUCAGGGGGAGCACCGUGAUGAAGAGCAGAAUUGGUUGGGAGAAAAGCAGCACCUACUGGACAGUGAAGGGUUAUCAAGACAGCAGCACCUACUAGCCAAUGAGGUUGAGUACCUGGACAGUGAAGCUGAUGUUGGAAGCAAUCCAGCGUAUCUGCACAAUGAAGCUGAAAGUAUUGAGCCGAAGGAUCAGGCUAAGUCAGUGAUAAAUACAGAAUCUGAAGAUGACUUUCCCCACCUCUUAGUACCUAAUCCCGACGACCCUCCUCCUGAGAAUAAUCCUGAGGUAAGUUCUCCUACUACACCUCUACACACUAAUGACAUGGAUAAUUCUGCUAGUCCUAUUCUACCUUACAGACACAAUCGGGGCAAGCCACCAAACAGGUAUUGUCCAGACAUAGAAGACAGACGGUCCAAAUAUCCAAUCACCAACUAUGUGUCUACACAACGGUUAUCUGGACCCCUGAGAGCAUUUGCACACACCUUGUCCUCGUGUAAAAUACCUUGCAGCGUUGAGGAAGCCUUGACAGAUCCACACUGGGCUAACGCUAUAAAGGAAGAACUGGAGGCGUUGCAGAAAAAUAAAACAUGGGUACUGGUGGAACUACCCGAGGGGAAGAAGACUGUGGGGUGUAAGUGGAUUUUCUCCACUAAAUACAAAGCAGAUUGCUCCAUCGAUCGACACAAGGCAAGACUGGUUGCAAAGGGGUAUACACAGACAUAUGGCAUAGAUUAUCAAGAAACGUUCUCACCCGUAGCCAAACUAAAUACUGUUAGAGUCUUGCUAUCUCUUGCAGCAAAUCUAGAUUGGCCACUGCACCAACUUGAUGUAAAAAAUGCCUUCCUCCAUGGUGAUCUUGAGGAGGAAGUUUAUAUGGACAUUCCGCCAGGAUGCUUGUCUUCCUCAGAGGCACGAGUGGUAUGUAAACUACAACGAGCAUUGUAUGGAUUAAAACAGUCACCCCGUGCAUGGUUUGGUCGGUUCAGUUCAGCUAUGAGAAAAUAUGGGUUUCAACAAAGCAACUCAGAUCAUACACUCUUCAUAGCAGGGACGAACAAGUUGCUGCAAAAGAGGAAACCAGCAGUCAAAGAAGGUUGGUUAAGGCAAUGCAUUUCUCGUGCUUUUGUUUUCAAAUUUAAUAUAUUCUCUCUCUCUCUUUUUUAACAUUUUUGCUCUAUGGAAAUGUUAAAUUAGGAUCUUUUAAUGCCAUCACCAUUUUCUGUUUUCCAUUCUCAUUCUAGAAAUAAAUAUUGAAAACGGUAUCCUCUAUUUACAAUGGAGGAAUAGUGACUGAAACAAUUCAAUUAAGGCAGCGCUUGUUCUUAGAAGUAGAAGAAAAUCUAAACAGAAAAUUUUAGGUUCCUCUUUCACUGGAUUUCCUUAAAAACUUGACUGAAUUUGACCUUGUUGAUCAAAUAUGUAGUAGUUCGCUUCCACUGGUUCUGUUAUGAUUGUGAGUGCUGGUCAUCAUGUCUUGAUUUAGUUGAGAGAAGCUUUGGUAUUGUAUAUAGGCCAACUUAGGUAGAGGCAGAUAUUAAACUGACAUUUGUAGCUUUACCCUGGUUCAGCAUUCAUGAGUGCAGUGCAGCAAGUAGUCAUGAGGUGACAAUUCAAAUAGCAUAAUAUUUUGUAGAGAUUUUCAUUUAAUUAGAAAAGGAGAUUUUCAUUUAAUGGCAUAAUAUUUAGGUGACAAUUCAAACCAUGAAGGACAAUAUGCUACAUAAAGAUAAAAUUAUGAUUUAUACACAUUUCCAUUAGCUUUGAUGGAGAAAGAGCAUUCCACCCGUCUCCACUCAUGCAGCGUGUCACCAUCCCUUGAGUAAUUGGAUUUUUGCCAUUAAUUUGUGCCAUAGUCUUUUGAAAUUAUGCUUCCGUGUCUCCCUCUGUCAUGAGCUCAUUACUGCCUCAUUUUGGAGGCCUAAUUACAAGAGCAUAGAAAUUAUGUAGAUAUUACAGGGUCCCAACUUUUUUUUUUUCGUUGUCAAGGAAUUAUGUCAUAAGUUUUAAUUGAAUAUAGAUAUUGAUUAAACGGGUCUUCAUUAUCAAGGAAAUAUACCAUAAAAUUCCUAUUUUUCUUUUAUCAAAUAAAUUUCAUAGUAAACUAUAUUUCUAGAAAAUAAACUAUUCUAUGGAUUUUAGUAACCAAUUUAACAUCUCUCAAGAAUUUUUAUCGUCUCAUGACACCAUUACAUACCAAAAUCUAAUAGGGACCAACAAUUCAAUGAUAUUCCUCAUCUAGACAUCAAUUUCAUUUUUUAUUUUCAUGGUAGUAAUAUUUUACACAAUCUCAAGAAUCAACACAGGUGCUCCAUGAAAUUUAAAAAGUUAUAAAGAGAUAUUUAAAAAAUAGUUCUACUUACUACAUUAUUCAUCAAUUCACAACAUUUAUUCACAACUAAAUCCCCUAAAUUCUCCUGUCAUUGGCCGGCGACCAACUCUAUUUAAUUAUCAAAAAUUUUACUUCAAUUACAAUAAUUUAAUCACUUCACUUUAAUCUUCACAUUAUUCCCCAUGACAAAUUACAAUAAAUUUUUAUUUCCCUCAAAUUUAUUCAAGAACCCAAACUUUUUAAUUUAAAAAAUGCAAUCAAUUAAGAACUUUAAGCCAUUAAAAUUCAGAUCAAAAAUCUUUAGAAUGCAUUGUCAAGCAAGUAAUUAAACUCUAAACACUUCCCAAAUGAAGCUUUCAACUCCUCCUCAUAUUUAAUCUUGAAUGAACUUUUUCUUUAUUUUUCUACUCACCUUCACUUGAUUUUUAUUCCUUUUAAUUAAUGCUCAAUAAGCUUGGUUAAUGUUCCCUCAAGAUCUUCCCUUAAGAUUUUAUGUUUCCUUUACAAUUAUAUCCCUCUCACAUGUAAAUGGUAGUUUCCCCUCUUUCUUUUUUUCUCCUUUUUUUUUCCGUACCCGAGCACACACAUACUCACUUACAUACACACACACUAACUUUUUACCAAAUUUCCUUUAUUUCUCAAAUAGUAAAUUUCAUGUUACCUCCGGGCCGGUUCGAGUUUAAUAAUAGUGUUUUGAAUAGCUAAAUUGAUAAAAUAGUAUUUUGAAUAAUAUAAAUAUAAUUUUUUUUUUAUCAUAUGUAUUUUAAUGGGAAAAAAAACUAGUUGAAAAACUAAUUGUAUUGGAGUGAGAGAAAUAAGUGUUUUAUUUUUUUUAGUGAGCUUGAUGUUAUUUUUUUUUUCAUAUGACUAUAUUUAAUUGGUUUAUUUUUUGAUGGCCCUACUUUUUUAGUGUUGUUUUUUUUUAUAGAUAUGUAGAAAUAGUAUUUAUAAGAAAGAAAAGAUAUUUUAACAUUUUAUUUAAUACUUUUUUGAAGUGCAUAAAAUAAACAUGAAAGAGUCAAAUUAAUAUUUUUUUUUAAUUUUUAACUUUUCAUUUAACACGCCCUUUGUAGAAGCUCUUAUGAUUUGGACUCAAUUUAAGUGGGUUAAAUAUUGGUGGGAUAUUCCAUCUUUCUCUUUUUUUUUGAAAUUUUACUCUGUUUGUCUUUGAUUUAUUUUGCUAGAAAUUACAUCUUAAAAAAAGAGGGGUUUGAUUGGAAAAACUUAACCAUAUUUGGUUAUUUGGGAACUAGGUAUUAUAAUUUUAUAACCUUUAACAGGUUAACUUAGCUGAACCAAUUUAAUAUAAAACUUUAUUAUUAUUAAAUUUUAAAAAAACAUUUUAAAAUCUUUUCUAAAUAAAAGUAUAUUUUUACGGGAUGUUAAUUAAUUUUAUAAAAUAUUGUUCCGGAUGUGUUUGUGUAUGCGUGAAUUGCGCGGGCCAGGGAAAUGGAGUUAGGUAGCGCAUCAACUCGGUGUGUCCUUGCUUUAUUUGCCAAGAAGCCCCAUCGGUUGAAAAAGUGAGAGGAAAAUGGAGUAACUUGGUUUGUAUCUUCUUUUCACGUGAUGUGCAAAUAAUGCAGAAGAAGACUUCACUUUAUUUCUUCUCUCCUUUUCUUUUAUCACUUUUAUUUCAUUGAUAAAGUAGAUAAAUAAAUUAUAAAUUAUAAAUUAGCUGAUGACCAUUGCUAUGAAUAUUAUAAAAACUUCAUUACACAUUCUAGAAUGUUGCGUAGUAUUUGUUUAACUCUAAAAGAAUUGUGGAGCAAGUUAUAAUAAAAAAAUCAUUAUAUUAGAAAUUACAGUUGAAUUGCGAAAAUAAAAAUAUCCUUAAUCAGUAUUAAAGAUACUGAUUGUUUGCUUUGAAUAACAAGAUGCAGUUCAAUAGGAUUAGGUCUUAUUGGUUUUAUCUUCCACCUGUAAAAAUGACCUUGUUUUUCAUGUAGAUGGAUCAUUUUAUUCCAAAACUUCUUUAUAAAUAUAAUUAUUAAACUUCAUCGAUUAAUGUUUUUUUAAUUAAAAAAUAGUUAAGAAAACAACUUAAAAGCAUGUUCAUCGAUCAAAUGUGUUUGUUUUUUAGCGGUUUUUGUUUUUUUAAUGCAGAUAACAAAAACAAGAUAUAUAUUUGGUUAUACGUGAAUUGACAGCAAAACCGUGUGCACAGAGAGAAGGGGCGAAGGAAAGUGAGCACAAAAGGUCAAUAAAAAUAAUUUGAUCGGUGGUUGAAGUCUCUCUAUCCAGUGUCAGCAACAUAAUAGCAGCGACCACCACAGAAAAAUAUACAGAACUCGCAAAAGCCUUUUCUCUGAAAAAAGUGGGUUUGAUCGGAAAAACAUCACUAAAUGCCAGCUCUUCACGUGAUGUGAUCAGGCAGCAGAAGACUUCACUUUAUUUCUUCUCUCUCCCUCCUUCCAUCACUUUUCAAUGAUAAAGCAAAUAAAUAAAUUAUAAAUUAUAUUAUUAUAUUUUAUACAUUCUGUUUUGUUUUUUUUGUUUUUAAUUUAAUUAUUAAGGUAUUUCACUUGCAUAACCUCUGCGUUUGGCUAUAUUCAAAGGUUUAAGCCGAAAUAAAUUAUAUUAGUAUAUUUGUAUUGAAUUGCUUAAUUAUAUCAUGAAUUAACAUGUUUGGUAUCAAUGUCAAUAGAAAUAAUUGAAUUGACGCAAUUAAUUAAUUCUUGAUAGCAGUUUUAAAGGUAAAUGCAAGACAGUUACCUUUAAUCAUGAAGCAACAACGGAUUUUAUUAUGAUGUAUCACAUUCUCAAAUAUGAUCUAAAAAAAAAUAUAAAAGCGAUUGUAAAGAAUUUAUAAAACAUUCACAGUGUUUGAUAAUCUUUUACAAAUUAGAAAUAAUGAAUCUAGUUUACAUAAUACUUUCUUGACAAAAAAAUCAAAGCAAUCUGAAUGCUUGUAUAUACGGAUCGAUUACAUACAUAAAAAAGGGUCAAGAACAGGUAAAGAAGGUAUACUUCUUCAAAAAAAAUGCUGGGUGGGUACUAGGAUUUAGAACUCCUGCACCGUUCAUGGCCAUAGCUAUUGCUAGCUUCUCUACAGAUUUCAGAGAGCAACGAUUACGAGAAUUUGCCAAGUUUUGGCUGCAUCCAAUCCAUCAUUCAUGCCAGGAUACACCCAAUGCCAGGGAAAGUCGUCCUCUGCUUUAGCUUUCUCUGGUUAGCACCACCUCCUGAAAAAAACACAUGAACAAAUAAAAACAUUUAAUUUAUUUCCUAGAAAAACACAUCAAGAGGUCGUUAGUUUUCUUACCUGGGUUGUUACAAGCAGCAGCACUAAAAUGACUAUCAUCUUCAUCGGCAUUUUGUCAAACAGCUAGGGCGUGUUCUUUAACUGCACUCCUACUCCAUCAUUGCUUGAAAAGGUUAAUGGCCCAAUAUUUGUUCCCGAACAUAACACAAGCCAUGUACAUUUAAAUGAUGUCGUGCAACGAAACAAGGGAGUGUUGAUGAGAGUUGAAGCAAAACUGGAAUCAAACGAAUGAACAAGCCCUUCUAUCAAAGAUUGGACAAGGCAGGGAAAACUUUCAAGCUAAUAAGCGACUUAACAAAUGAACUAAUGAAAAAAAAAAAAAAAGAAUCGAUAAGGAGUCAUGAAUUUUAUAUUAUCUUUUCUCUUUAUGUCUGUUUUUUAUCAAAGUAAAUUCCGAAAAAGAUAUGACUUACAAGUACUCCAAAAUCAUUUUUUAACUUCUGCUUUAUAUGGAAUAAAAACAAUUUAAUCAAAGUUAAAUAAUAUAUAAAAGAUAAAAAAAAAGUUUUUGAAUUUUGAAUUUUUGAAGAAGGGAAGAGACUAGAGAAAGAGAUGGUGAAUUUUUAUUUUAUUUUAAUUUUUGAAGAUGCAGAUUUUAUAUAAUUAAGGGUUUGAUUUAUUUUUGGAAUCAGUUGCAGAUUUGAUGUUGGCAAGCAUCCGCUGCAAAUUAGUUAAAUAAUUUAAUUUUUUUAAUCCUUUUUAGCAAUGGAUUUUCUAUUACUAAAUUCAUUGUUGAUAUUAAAAAAAUCAUAUAUACACAUUCUGUUGUUAAAUUAGCAAAAGAAAUAUUAUGUUGCUAAAAUUCAAUGAUAAUAGCCCCCUGUCCAAAUUAAGGGUGGUGCUGGCAGUUCAAAAUCUGAAGCAUGUGAUGAUCCUCCAGCUCGAUAUAUCGAAACAGAAUGAUGAUUAUUAUUUAUGGAGAUGAAUGAGACACUAAUUAUGGAAGAAAAUAUCUGUAUUUCAACAUACAACAAAUAAAAACAUACAACAUUUUGGACAAUAUCUGUAUUUCCUUCAUCCAAAUUUUAACUGAAAUUGCCUUUGAUUACUGAAAAGAAAAUAAACUAUUUAGUAGCAAUACCUCAAAAAAAUAUGUUGCCUUUGAUUGAAAGAAAAGCUCCUUUUAACUGCUACUUCUUUGCUCCACUGAGGUUGGGGGGAGGGAAAAUAUAUAUGUAAGGAAUGUGAGAAGCUAGCGAACGCUACGGCCCAAGAGCAUUACAUUCUUUGCUGUGCUGAUGUCUAUGUCAGGAAUGUGAGAAAUCUUGAGCCAAUCUUUACCUUUCUCCCUUUCACAACUUUCACCCAGCAGAGGACAAUUGUGAAUUAAAAGAGAAGAAAGGGAGGAGGGCAACCCUUCUUCUGGCAUUGACUCAAUCAGAGGGCAGUGCCAUAUAGUUAAUUCUCUAAGAGAGGUGAGGUGUUGAAGCCUUGGAAGAGAUUUCAGCAUAGGACAACUAUUAAUUAAAAGAGUAGAAAGGGAGGAGGGCAACCCUUCUUCUGGCAUUGACUCAAUCAGAGGGCAGUCCCUUAUAGUCAAUUCUUCAAGAGAGGUGAGGUGUUGAAGCCUUGGAAGAGAUUUCAGCAUGGGACAACUGUUAAUUAAAAGAGAAGAAAGGGAGGAGGGCAACCCUUCUUCUAGCAUUGACUCAAUCAGAGGGCAGUUACGUAUUUUCAAUACUCUAAGAGAGGUGAGGUGUUGAAGCCCCUUGUAGUCAAGAGAUUUCAGGUGUUCUAGGGAAGAGAUGCUAAGAGAUGUAAGACUUGAGGGCAGCAGCAUCUCUUCAGGGAAGGAUUCAACAUUUUCGUCAUCACCAAUAACAAAGCUUGAAAGAGAAGGGAGCGUUUGCAAGCCCCAUUGCAUGCGGCCUGCAAUGAGUUUGUUGCAAUUGCAAAUCUCAAGCGAUUGUAAUGUGGAGGGAAAACCCCCUUCUGGACACAACUCAACUUCAGAACAAUUAAUUAUUCUCAAAUGGGUAAGGGAUGGGAGGAGAGAAUGCAUACUCUCAGGCAACUGCUUCAAGUUGCUGCAUUCUUCUAACACAAGUCGUGUCAAGACUGAAGCAGGUAACCCUCCUUUGGGAAAUGAAACUAAUUUAGGGCACCACCGGAUUUUCAAAGAUUGGAGAGAGGUGAGAUCAUUGAGAGGUCUUUCAUGUGCACAUAGUGAUUCCAGAUCUGGACAGUCAGAGAUAGAAAGAGAAUUUAAGUUGGGGACCAAGUCCAGUGCGACGCAUUUGAGAGAAGCACAGUUAUGGAUUCCAAUUUCCCCUAAAUCAGAAGGUGAACAACCCAUUUGAUCAAUUUCCUCGGGUAGGGACUCUAGGGAGUGGCAUCCACAAACAUCGAGAGAGAGCAACCUAGGAAACCUGGGAAGUGGAGUCGCGAGCUGCUCACAUCUGAAGGAUGUAAGUGAUGUUAAACGGGGAAGGUUGUGACCAGGUAGGGCCUUUGUAAGGUUCGGGCAUUUUUUGAUUGAAAGAACCUCAAGAAGAGGGAAGGCUUCCCGGCUGCCUUCGUCUGAAAUCCACUCGCGCCACUCUGGCAUCCUUUCAAAAGAUAAUCUUUUGAGGGAUUUAAAUGGCUUCUCCGUAGCAGUACAAUUCCCAUAGAACUCGGAGCCCACAGUGAGAACUUUAUCGAAUGCUUCAAUUGAGAGUUUCUCUAAAGAAGCUAAUUGCCCGAGCGGUGGUAAGGAGGUGCAGUUUUCACAUCUACUGAGCUUCAAGGACACUAUUUUUGAGAAAGUGGACUUUCCUACCCACUCCGGAAACGUUGGACCUCCAUAACCAUCAAUCUCAAGAUCCUUCACCUCUCUAUUUGGCUCUAAUUUCUCAAGUGUGCUUGUUACGUGUUGCGGGUCACGAGUGUCACCAUCCCAUGUAAACCUCAGCUUGUCAAGGUGCUUUUUACCUUUCAAAUUUGCCUCAGCAGCAUCCCGAGCAUCCACCACAUUUUGAAGGUUCCGAAUAUGAAGUUCUCCCCGUAGAUGUGGUAGCUUUCCCAAUUCUUUAAUGCUAGUCUCAAUCGGUCUUCCCUCGUUAAAGUCCACGAGAAAGUCAUUCCACGUUUCUUUAAUGCUCUCACUCUGUCUUCCCUCGAAAGAGUGCACCAGAAUGUCAGCCAACCUUUCUUCAAUGUUCUCACUCUGUCCUCCCACGAGAAAGUCAGUCAACGUUCGGAGCUUUGUCAGUUGACCUAUAUGUGGUGGCAUCACUUUCAAAGGCGUGUCUGAGAUGUUAAGAUACCGCAAGUUGAUUAACCUUUCCAGAGAUUCAGGCAACCUUCUGAUUCCUGUUCCUUCAAGAUUCAGAUGUCGUAACUGCUUCAAAUUUCCAAGAUCAGGUAGCCUAGCAAGUUGUUGGCACUUUUUCAAGAUCAACGUUUGCAAAUUGAGAAGAGCACUCACUUCUUCAGGCAACGUUACUAAAUCUGACCGGGAAAGAUCCAAAUACCGCAAAUGCUUCAACUUGCUAGUUGAACAUGACAACAUAGAUGCAUCUCUACAAUAACUCAUGAAUAGCACUCGUAGGCGACAAUGUGUUGACUGAAAGAUCUCCUUAUAAGUUUCGGGAGGACACUCAAAAUAGCGUGGAAAAGUUCGGAAUGUGCGUAGAAGUUGGGCUUCACGGAUGUUUUCUAAUAUUGUGCUUGAAAAAACACCUUUCGUAUCUUCAUCUCCGGUAUCUUCACCAUCCGUGUCUUCCGAAUCUACGAGUGAAAAAUGACGAGCCCUUCUUGUGGCCUUGGAAGAAUUAUUUACCCCCAACCUGGAGCUGAAGCAAAAUUGACCGGACACAUGGGUAGCCAAGUCAUGCAUGAGAUCGUGCAUCACAAAUGAUGAGCGAGAGGCACUUGAUUGCUGGAAAAACGACCUUGACAAGAGAUCAUCAAACCACUGAGCACCUGCUUUUUCCAUCUCAUCAUCUACGGAGGGGACUAAGAAGCCCUCUGCCAUCCACAAGAGUACUAAUUUAUUCUUUCGAAAUGAAUAGUCUUUUGGAAAUAUGGCACAAUAAGCAAAACAUUGCUUCAGAUGUGGCGGGAGAUAAAGAUAACUUAAUCUCAAAGCUGGGAGGAUAUUGUCUUUGGGUAAAUCCCAUAGAUUGCUUUCCAAUAUCUUCUCCCACUCCUCGACAUCUCUUUUGGUGCGUAGCAGACCUCCGAGUGUUACUGCAGCUAGAGGAAGGCCUUUACACUUUCUCGCUAUUGCUCUACCAAUUUCUAGCAACUCUUCAUGAGCAGUGGGAUCUUUACCAGGAAAUGCAUGUCUGGCAAACAAGGACCAGCAGCUGUCUUCCGUCAAUUCUUUUAGAUGAUGAGUUGGAACAGUUUGCAUGACUGAUGCUACACUUUCAUUGCGUGUUGUGACAAGAAUCUUACUCCCUUGUGCUCCGUACUGCAGGAGGGUAAGCAACUUGACCCACUCAGCAUAAUCUUCAUUCCAAACAUCAUCUAAAACAAGCAAGAAUUUCUUUCCCUCCAAUCUCUCCUUCAACUGAAGCUGGAGAUUAUUCAGACUCCCAGAACCAGACUUUGGAUCGACCUCCUCAAGGAUCGCCUUGGUUAACUUCAAAACACUGAAAUCUUCUGAAACACAAACCCAAGCUUUGAGGUUGAACCACUCUUGUACUCUGCUGUGACUGUAUACAAGCUGAGCAAGCGUUGUUUUACCAACCCCGCCCAUUCCUACUAUGGGAACGACACCUGGGUUUUUUCCAUUUGCAUCAUCUGAUAGAAGCAACUUCAGUAUUGCUUCGCUGUCAUCAUCUCUAUCACAAACACCAGAUUCAUCCACGAGAGAAGUUGUUUGUCUUUCAUGCGAUGAUGGUGCUUUUCCAGUGCGGUUGAUCAAACCAAGGGCAUCCUUUUGUUUUACUAAGUCAUCUAGACUCUCCUGGAGGCUUCUUGAUUUUUCUUUUAUCUCUCUCAACCCCAUUAUUUCACGUGGGUUAAUGAAGAUUUGAGCUUCAGCUUCCAACUCCUGCCGUAGAGCUUCAUAAGCAAUCUCAUCCAAGAAGUCCUCGGCUUCAUAGACAGCAUCUUUAUACGCGACCAGCCAAGCCCUCACAGCUGGACUUGUUAUCUGCUUCUCCUCAGCAUCGUCAAGCAGCCCCCUGCCAGGUAUCAUUGCUGUCUCCAACCUCUUCACCGGCCUAUCGUUCAUGUUUCUGGGUUUCAAUUUACUUGAAACUACAUCGACAAUCUUUUGAAUUAAUUUUGAUUCGUGCCUGUGGAUAGAAAAAGAAAGUCAUCACUCAUCGAUGAAAGAUAAUCUUUUGAACUUAAUGCAAAUUUAAAAUACAAAAUGUAAGAAGGGUAAAAGUUAUGAGCCUUUGCUAUUGAUAUAGGGGAAGAAAAGAAGUACCCAUUUGCGAUACUGCGACGAUGCAACCCACAUAAAUUUGCAGCCUCCACAAGAGCUUCUCUCCACUUUUGGACCUUCUCCAUUUCUUCCUUAAAACGUUCUUCAUGCUUAUCAAAGGCUUCAGCAAAACUCCCCGUCUGUUUUCUAAUAGCAGAAGGUUCGAUAUCAUAGAAAACAGGUAGAACAAUCUGACCAGUUGUGUGUCUGCAUUCAAGAAUCUUUUGAAGUUCACCAAGGCACCAAGUGGAGGAAGCAUAGCCCUGAGAGAAAACCACUACAGAAAUCUUGGAUUCUUGAAUUGCUUGGGAGAGUUGUAAGGAGAUUUCUUCACCUAUACGAAGUUCGUUGUCAUCUCGAAAUGCAUGGAUUCGUUCUCGGAGUAAAGCAUUGUAAAGAUGAUCCGUAAAAGUUUUGCGAGUAUCUUCACCUUUAAAACUUAGAAAUACAUCGUAAACCCAACCAGGUCUAGGCAAAGAAGAAGAAGACGCCAUGAUGAACAUCUAGCGGUGAUUGCAAACUGCAAAGUUAUAAUAAAGGUCACCUUCGGUCUUUCUUUUGAAGCGCAUAUAUAUAUAUAUAUAUAUAUAUAUAUAAUCGACUUCUUGCUUUAUUGCAAGUUGCAAACCAGGUACCAUUUGAUUCAGAAAAAGUUAUUUUCACAAAAUCAUUUUAAAAACUUUCUUUUUGUUAAAAAAUUUUGAUGGAAAAUACGUUUUAAUUAUAAAAAAAAUAGUUUUGUUUUUAAAAAAGUAUUUUUUAUUAUUAUUUUAGGUGAAAAAUAUUAUAAAAAAAUAUCUUAUAUGUUUUAAUUAUAAAACAAUUAGUUUUGUUUCUAAAAUAAUAUUUUUUAUUAUUAUUUUGAAUAAAAAAUAUUAUAAAAAAAUAUCUUAUUAUUUAUUAAUUGUAUAAUUUUUUAUCGAUUUACUUUUUAAUUUAAUGUUAAACAGAUUAAAACCUAAAAUUAAAAGAUUUGGAGUUUGAAUGCAAAACUUCAAAAUCGCAAUUUGAAUUGGAAAAAGGAGUCGUUUCCUGGACAACUGUUCACUGCCUUCUUCCACUGUUUCGGCAAUAAAGGCAAUGUUUUCGUUUCGUCAUUAAGGCAUUAAAAGGGUUUCAAUUACAGGGCAUGUCUCACGGCUAUUAUCAAGCCAGCCAUUACCAUCACAAGGCUUUCCCUGGCUUUUUAAAGCCAGGGAAAGGGAACGAACAAAGGGAGGAGAAGGACGGAUGAGAAACAGAACCACGGAAGGAAAACGAGCCAAGCCUAACGCAGACUAAAAUGAGAAAACACAGAGGAGGGAGCUUCUAUUCAACCUGCAGCACCUAACGCCUUCAUCACCAUCGUCUUCGUCCUGAGCAGAGGAACAAGAAAAAAACCCGAAGAGGGAGAAGAAGAAAAACAGGGAGCAUACAGAGAGAGCCAAGCCUCUGCACGACCAUCGGCUUCAUCUUUCUUAAUUACCAGCCUCCAGAAACAGAGGCGACAGAACAAGGAAUUAAAAACAAGGGAAGGGAAACAAAAAUAUUACAAGAAACUCGUCAUCACCAUCGGUUUCCCCUUUUCCAGCACCAGGAAUCAAAAACAAGGGAAGGGUUACAAUGCUUACCUUCGCACAAUUCAUGCACGCGUGAAUAAAUUCACGCGUGCACUCGGUUCUCCAUCCAGGUCAAUCGCUUGGACCACUGAUUAGACCGCACUGGCAGCACGUGGGCUAAGCUGGAUCCUGUCUCUAACGACCCUUUAUUUUAUUUUUUAAAAAAGUUUCAUUUCAGCUUGUUUUCUAUAAUAUUUUUAAAUAUUAAAAAAUAUUUUUAAGAAAAAAAUUAAUAAAAAAAUUAUUUUUCAAAAAAUAAAUAAAUAUAAACGCAUUAUAUUUGGUGUGGCUACUGAGUUGUAAAGCAUAAAAAUUAUUAAGGUAUUUCACUUUCAGAACCUCUGCAUUUGGCUUUAUUGAAAGGUUUAAGCCGAAAUAAAUUAUAUUAGUAAAUUUGUAUUGAAUUCCUUAAUUAUAUCAUGAAUUAACAUGUUUGGUAUCAAUGUCAAUAGAAAGAAUUGAAUUGACGCAAUUAAUUAAUUCUUGAUAGCAGUUUUAAAGGUAAAUGCAAGACAGUUACCUUUAAUCAUGAAGCAACGGACUUUAUUGUGGUGUACGGUGUACCGCAUUCUCAAAUGUAUCUGUUUUGUCUUUGAUUUAUUUUUCUAGAAAUUCCAUCUUUGAAAAAACUUCAUUAAAUACCAAGCUUUUCACGUGAUGUGAUGAUGCAGAAGAAGAUGUUCUUCCAUCACUUUAUUUGCCAGUAAAGUUCAAAGUAAAAAAAAAUAUCUCAAAUUAAUGUUAGUGUAUGCGUGAGUUGCGUGUGCCAGGAAAAACGAGUUAUGGCCCCCAUUUUACUCGGGUUGUCCUCGCUUUGUUUGCCAAGAGAUCCCAUCGUCGAAAAAAUGGGUUUGAUUGGAAUAACUUUUAUUAAAUGCCAGUCUUUAUUUUCACGUGAUAUGCUAAUAAUGCAGAAGAAGACUUCACUUUAUUUCUUCUCUCUUCUUCUUCUUUUAUCACUUUUCCUUCAUUGAUAAAGUACGGGCUUGUGUAUGCGUGGGUUGCGGGUGCUAGGAAAUUGGAGUUAGGCCCCACAUUUUAUUAAUUUUACUUGCUUUAUUUGCCAAGAGAUCCCAAGAUGGUAAUUCACUUUAUUUCUUCUCUCUUCUUCUUUUAUCACUUUUCUUUUAUUACUUUUCAUUCAUUGAUAAAUAAAUUAUGAAUUAUAAAUGAGCUGAUGAACAUUGCUAUGAAUAUUAUAAAAACUUCACUUUAUGUCUUUUAGUAUUUAUUUAACUAUUUUUAGUCUUUUUAUGCUCAAUCCUUGAACAAGGCGCUUGCACCCAUCGAAGACAUCAAGAUCCAGCGAGGAAAAGGGCGGGAAAGGAGCCUGAAGUGUUUGCCAUUAAUCAAGUGGAUGGCUUUUGACAAUUAAAUAAGAUACCCAAUCGUCUCUCACAUCCUCUCCACCUUCACCAGUAUCUUUUGUGGUAAUUUAAGUUAAAACAUCCAUUUUAAUCAUAAUUUCAGUUAACACAUUUUUAAUUAUAAUUUUAGUUAAAUAUUUAUUUAAAUCAAACAAAUCACGAGUGAAAACUAUCUUUUUAAAGUCUCCAUCACCGCAAGAGCUAUCACGAGAACAAAACACUCCAAAAAACAAAUUAAACAAUGAAAACGCUUUGUUUCUUUUCGUACUGAAGACCAGCUGUCUCCACUCAUGCGACAUGUCACUAUCCCUUGAGUGAUUGGAUUUCAGCCGUUGAUUUGUGUCAUGGUCUUGAAAUUACGCUUUCUUGUCUCCCUCUGUCAUGGGCUCAUUAUAGCCUCAGUUUGUAGGGCUCAUUAAAAGGGCAUAGAAAUUACCUAGAUAUUACAGGUUCCUACUUUUUUUUAUUUCGCCGUCAGGGAUAUAUACCAUAAAGUUUUAAUUGAAUAUAGAUAUUGUUUAAUCGGGUACUCAUUGUCAAGGAAAUAUACCAUAAAGUUCCUACUUUUCUUUUAUCAAAUAAAUUUCAUAGUAAGCUAUAUUUCUAAAAAUUAGACCGUUCUAUGGAUUUUAACCAACAACUCAAUGAUAUUUCUUAUCUAGACAUCAAUUCCUUUUUUGAUUUUCAUGGUAAUAAUAUUUCACACAAUCUCAGUAUCAACACAAGUGUUCCAUAAAAUUAUAAUAUUUCACACAAUCUCAAGUAUCAACACAAGUGUUCCAUAAAAUUUAAAAAGUUAUAAAGAAAUAUUCAAAAAACAUUUCUAUUUACUAUAUUAUUCAUCAAUUCACAACAUUUAUUCACAAUUAAAUCCUCUAAAAUCUCCCAUCAUUGGCCGGCCACUAGCUCUAUUUAAUUAUCAAAAAUUUUACUUUAAUUACAAUAAUUUAAUCACUUUACUCUAAUUUUCAUAUUAUUUCCCAUGACAAAUUAAAAUAAAUUUUUAUUUCCUUCAAAUUUAUUCAAAAACCCUAACUUUUUAAUUUCAAAAAUUCAACCAAUUAAAAACUUUAAGCCAUUAAAAUUUAGAUCAAAUGUCUUUACCAAGCAGGUAAUUAAACUCUAAACACUUUUUUAAUAUUGGUGUUUUUGAUAGAUAUGUAGAAAUAGUAUUUAUAAGAAAGAAAAGAUAUUUUGACAUUUUAUUUAAUAUUUUUUAAAAUAUAUAAAAUAAACAUGAAAUAGUCAAAAUAAUAUUUUUAAAAUUUUUAACUUUUCAUUUACCACAUCCUUUGUAGAUGCCGCUAUGAUAUGGACUCAAUAUAAGUGGGUUAAAUAUUGGUGGGCUAUUUCAUCUUUCUUUAUUUUUUAAAAUUUUACUCUGUUUGUCUUUGAUUUAUUUUUCUAAAAAUUACAUCUUAAAAAAAAGAGGGUUUGAUUGGAAAAACUUCACCAUAUUUGGUUAUUUGGGAACUAGGUAUUAUAAUUUCAUAACAUAAAUUAUAAAUCUAACAGGUUAACUAAGCUGAACCAAUUUAAUAUAAAACUUUGUUAUUAUUAAAUUAAAAAAAUAACAUUUUAAAAUCUUUUCUAAAUUAAAGUAUAUUUUAACGGGAUGUUAAUUAAUUUUAUGAAUAUUGUUCCGGAUGUGUUCGUGUAUGCGUGAAUUGCGCGGGCCAGGAAAAUGGAGUUAGGUGGCGCAUCAACUCGGUCUGUCCUUGCAUUAUAUGCCAAGAAGCCCCAGCGUUUGAAAAAGUGACAGGAAAAUGGAGUAACUUUGUUUGUAUCUUUCUUUUCACGUGAUGUGCUAAUAAUGCAGAAGAAGACUUCACUUUAUUUCUUCUCUCCUUUUCUUUUAUCACUUUUAUUUCAUUGAUAAAGCAGAUAAAUAAAUUAUAAAUUAGCUGAUGACCAUUGCUAUGAAUAUUAUAAAAACUUCAUUACACAUUUUAGAAUGUUGCGUAGUGUUUGUUUAACUCUAAAAGAAUCGUGGAGCAAGUUAUAAUAAAAAAAAAUCAUUAUAUUAGAAAUUACAGUUGAAUUGCGAAAAUAAAAAUAUCCUUAAUCAGUAUUAAAGAUACUGAUUGUUUGCUUUGAAUAACAAGAUUCAGUUCAAUAGGAUUAGGUCUUGUUGGUUUUAUCUUCCACCUGUAAAAAUGACCUUGUUUUUCAUGUAGAUGGAUCAUUUUAUUCCAAAACUUUUUUAUAAAUAUAAUUAUUAAACUUCAUCGAUUAAUGUUUUUUUAAUUAAAAAAUAGUUAAGAAAACAACUUAAAAACAUGUUCAUCGAUCAAAUGUGUUUGUUUUUUAGCAGUUUUUGCUUUUUUAACGCAUAUAACAAAAACAAGAUAUUUGGUUAUAUGUGAAUUUGACAGCAAAACCGUGUUUAUGGUGCAAAGAGAGAAAGAGGGAAGGAAAGUGACAAAGAGCACAAAAGGUCAAUAAAAAUAAUUUGAUCGGUGGUUGAAGUCUCUCUAUCCAGUGUCAGCAACAUAAUAGCUGCGACCACCACAGAAAAAUAUACAGAACUCGCAAAAGCCUUUUCUCUGGAUCACACAUUUUCCGAGAAAUUGCAUCUUUGAAAAAAGUGGGUUUAUUUCUUUGCAUCUCUGGAUCAGAAAAACAUCACUAAAUGCCAAGCUCUUCACGUGAUGUGAUCAGGCAGCAGAAGACUUCACUUUAUUUCUUCUCUCUCCCUCCUUCCAUCACUUUUCAUUGGUAAAGCAAAUAAAUAAAUUAUAAAUUAUAUUAUUAUAUUUUAUACAUUAUAUUUUGUUUUCUUUUUUUAAUUUAAUUAUUAAGGUAUUUCACUUGCAUAACCUCUGCGUUUGGCUAUAUUCAAAGGUUUAAGCCGAAAUAAAUUAUAUUAGUAAAUUUGUAUUGAAUUGCUUAAUUAUAUCAUGAAUUAACAUGUUUGGUAUCAAUGUAAAUAGAAAUAAUUGAAUUGACGCAAUUAAUUAAUUCUUGAUAGCAGUUUUAAAGGUAAAUGCAAGACAGAUACCUUUAAUCAUGAAGCAAGAACGGAUUUUAUUGUGGUGUACGGUGUACCGCAUUCUCAAAUGUGAUCUAAAGAAAUGUAAAAGCGAUUGUAAAGAAUUUAUAUUAUUGUUUUUUAAAGUAUUUUUUUAUUUAAUAAUAUAUUAAAAUAAUAUUUUUAAAAUUUUAACAUAAAAAUGGUAUAAAAAUAUAAAUAAUAAUAAUUUUUUUAAAAAAGUUAUAAAACAUAAAUUAUAUGUGAAGAAUCAUAGGUUUGUGAUUGUGGGAUCCAUUACAAUUUAUGGGCCAACCAUGAGCUAAUAAAAAGUAACAUCGACAUGUUUUUACUAAGCUACAACCUCAGUAUUUUCUCAUCCACCGACAACUUCAUAAAAAAAAAUAUCAAUGGUUUUUUUACAAUUACUAAGAUACCCAAUCAUUUUUAAACAUCCACCACCACAAGAGCUAUCACGAGAACAAUUUAAAACAAUGAAAAGGCUGUUGUUUCUCUUUGUACUGGAGACCAGCUGUCUCCCACCCAUGGCAACGUGUCAGUAUCCCUUGAGUGAUUGGAUUUCAGCCGCUGAUUUAAGUCCUGGUCUUCUGAAAUUACGUUUCCCUGUCUGCCUCUAACAUCAACUCAUUUUCCACGAAAUUUCCCAAUCUUCGGACAAUAUGCUACAUAAAGAUAAAAUGAUGAUUUAUACACAUUUCCAUUAGCUUUGAUGGAGAAAGAGCAUUUCCAUUAGCUUUCAUGGUAAGCGAUCCGUACUACCUGUGAACAUAGAAAAAAAGAAAUAAGAUUUCUUAUAAAAUAAAAUGUAAAUAGGCCUUUCCCUUUUCUUUUCUCUCGUGUACAUUUCUUAUAGCUCGUGCUAACCAUACUCCUACAAGAAAUAAGAUAUUCCUUUCUUCGACUUCCUGUUUUUUCGCCAGUUAAAAGAAAAUACAUCUGAAAUUUCCUUAUUUUUUAGAGAGAAAUAUAUUUUCUUCUUCUAGUACUCAAAAGUCAAAACACUUGGAAAGUCAAGUCAGUAUAUCAUAUAAUUGAUACAUAGGUGGUUGUUUCGAUUACUUGAAAAUAUUACAACUAUACUGCCUUUAAAUAUAAGAAAUACUAAAAUAUAAGAAAAAAAUUGGGGUAUUUUUUCUUUUUGAAAAUAACGAGUUUUGUUUUGGAUGAAAUUGUUCUUGACCUUUCAUAGCUACCGUAAUUAUAGAACAAUUAGUUCAAUUGCAAACUUAUGGAUAGAUCUAAUUAAACAUAAUUAAUUAUUUAAUUGAAUAAUCAUACACUCGUUAUGAACAACAGAUAUUCUUAUGAUUAAAGGAAGAUUUAUGGUUGCAAAGUUUAAUCAUGCAGACAUUGACUAAUAUGUUUUUUGUGGAAAGUAUUUAAAAAAAAAAUUAAUUUUUUUUAUUUUAAAUUAAUAUAUUUUUGAUGUUUUUAAAUUGUUUUAAUUUUGAUAUGCUGAUAUCAAAAAUAAUUUUUUAAAACUAAAAAAGUAUUAUUUUAAUAUAUUUUAAAAUAAAAAAUAUAUUAAAAAAUAAUCAUUAUGCCGGGAAUUCCAUUUUACUCGGUUUUGUCUUUGAUUUAUUUUUCUAGAAAUUCCAUCUUUGAAAAGAGUGGGUUUGAUUGGAAAAACUUCAUUAAAUGCCAAGCUUUUCACGUGAUGUGAUGAUGCAGAAGAAGAGGUUCUUCCAUCACUUUAUUUGCAAGUAAAAUCCAAAGUAAAAAAAAAUAUCUCAAAUUAGUGUUAGUGUAUGCGUGAGUUGCGUGUGCCAGGAAAAACGAGUUAUGUCCCCCAUUUUACUCGGUUGUCCUCGCUUUAUUUGCCAAGAGAUCCCAUCGUCGAAAAAAUGGGUUUGAUUGGAAUAACUUUUAUUAAAUGCGCAAUAUAAUCUUUAUUUUCACGUGAUGAGCUAAUAAUGCAGAAGAAGACUUCACUUUAUUUUUUCUCUCUUCUUCUUUUAUCACUUUUCCUUCAUUGAUAAAGUACGGGCUUGUGUAUGCGUGGGUUGCGGGUGCUAGGAAAUUGGAGUUAGGUCCCACAUUUUAUUAAUUUUACUUGCUUUAUUUGCCAAGAGAUCCCAAGAUGGUAAUUCACUUUAUUUCUUCUCUCUUCUUCUUUUAUCACUUUUCUUUUCUUACUUUUCAUUCAUUGAUAAAUAAAUUAUGAAUUAUAAAUGAGCUGAUGAACAUUGCUAUGAAUAUUAUAAAAACUUCACUUUAUGUUUUUUAGUAUUUAUUUAACUCUUUUUAUGCUCAAUCCUCGAAGAAGGCGCUUGCACCCCUUGAAAAUAUCAAGGAUCCAGCGAGGAAAAGAGCGGGAAAGGAGCCUGAAGUGUUUGCCAUUAAUCAAGUGGAUGGCUUCUAGUCCACAAGAAUUGACCACAACAGUUGAUGUUUUGACAAUUAAAUAAGAUACACAAUCGUCUCUCACAUCCUCUCCACCUUUACCAGUUUCUUUUGUGGUAAUUUAAGUUAAAACAUUCAUUUUAAUCAUAAUUUUAGUUAAAUAUUUUAAAUUAUAAUUUUAAUUAAAUAUUUAUUUAAAUCACGAGUGAAGAUAAUUUUUAUAAACUAUCUUUUUAAAGUCUCUAUCACCACAAGAGCUAUCACAAGAACAAAGACACUUCAAAAAACAAAUUAAACAAUGAAAACACUUUGUUUCUUUUUGUAUUGAAGACGAGCUGUCUCCACUCAUGCCACAUGUCACCAUCCCUUGAGUGAUUGGAUUUCAGCUGUUGAUUUGUGUCAUGGUCUUCUGAAAUUAUGCUUUUCUAUCUCCCUCUGUCAUGGGCUCAUUAUAGCCUCAGUUUGUAGGGCUCAUUAAAAGGGCAUAAAAAUUACCUAGAUAUUACAAGGUUCCUACUUUUUUUUAUUUCGUUGUCAAGGAUAUAUAUCAUAAGUUUUAAUUGAAUAUAAAUAUUGUUUAAUCGGGUACUCAUUGUUAAGGAAAUAUACCAUAAAGUUCCUACUUUUCUUUUAUCAAAUAAAUUUCUUAGUAAACUAUAUUUCUAAAAAUUAGACUGUUCUAUGGAUUUUAACCAACAACUCAAUGGUAGUAAUAUUUCAUACAAUCUCAAGGAUCAACACAAGUGUUCCAUAAAAUUUAAAAAGUUAUAAAUAGAUAUUCAAAAAACAGUUCUACUUACUAUAUUAUUCAUCAAUUCACAAUAUUUAUUCACAAUUAAAUCCUCUAAAAUCUCCCAUCAUUGACCGGCCACUAGCUCUAUUUAAUUAUCAAAAUUUUUACUUUAAUUACAAUAAUUUAAUCACUUUACUCUAAUUUUCACAUUAUUUCCCAUGAUAAAUUAAAAUAAAUUUUUAUUUCCCUCAAAUUUAUUCAAGAACCCUAACUUUUUAAUUUAAAAAAUUCAACCAAUUAAGAACUUUAAGCCAUUAAAAUUUAGAUCAAAUGUCUUUAGAAUGCUUUACCAAGCAAGUAAUUAAACUCUAAACACUUUCCAAAUCAAGCUUUCGACUCCUCUUCUUCAAUCUUGGUUGAACUUCCUCUCUUUUUAUCUACUCACCUUCAUUUAAUUUUUAUUCCUUCCAAUUAAUGCUCAUAAAGCUUAGUUACUUUCCCUCAAGAUCUUCCCUUAAGAUUUUAUGUUUCCGUUACAAUUCUAUCUCUCUCACGUGUAAAUGAUAGUUUUCCCUUCUUUUUUUUUUUUUUCUUUUUUCUUCUUACUGGAGCACGCACACAUACGGUAAAAUUUUACCAAAUUCCCUCUAUAUUCCAAAUAGUAAAUUUCAUGUUCCCAGGAUAAAAUUCUUGGAUCCUGGCAUUUGUCUAUAUAAAAAUUUUACCUAGGUGAAUUUGAAUUUUAUUUAAUUAUAUAUUGAUAAUUUUAUUUUCAAAUCGUAUGGACUCUCUCUCAUGCCCCAUCAUCAGCACAGGAGGAGGGAAUGGGGGUGCUGUCUUCCUCGGUGAAAACUAAUGGUGAUAGAGUGCUUCUGUUUCCCAAACUAGGAUUCAAGGAGGUGCCAAAGCUGUCCUGACAAGUAGUGGGGACCUAGCAUUUAUGAUAGUGUUUCUGAUUCCCAAACUAAUGGUGAUAGUGUAUCCUCGAGUCAUUUAUGCUCGAAAUUCUGUUUAUUUCUGGUUGGAUGUGGAUUCUCAAAGAUUGAUCAUCCUGAGCUUGUCUGUACCAUAAGGAGACUAGUGAUAUCAGGUUCCAAAGCAACUGAUAGUAGCCAUUGAAGCUGCAAAUGGACUGGACGAAAAGCAGAAAGGAUGAGGGGACACACCAAGAGGCUUAAUGACACCAUCAUCCGCUAAUCACCAGCCAUAUGUAUCUUCAGAAAUAUAUAUCGCGCACGACUUUUGCCAACACAUGCCUGUGCAGUACAAGAAUAAAAGAUUAUUUUUCAGUUAAAAAAAAUAAAGUUGGAAAGAAUAAAAUGAAUUAGCAGCGCAAGAUAAAUACUUACGUUUCGGAUUUUGGAUAAUGCAUCAUGAUGAUGCAAAUUUAAUUGGCCAUGAUAAUUAUGAUAGGAAGCUGUAACUUCCUCUGUUCUUACAUCAGAUAUUUGUGAUGGCUUUACACACAAAUUAAUCCUUCUCAUUAUAUAAUCACGUUAUUAAAAAUGUAUAUUUUAGUUGUGAUGACUAUAUAUGUGCUAGUGAGAAAGAUAUGUUUUUAAGAUUUUCAUAGAAGAAAAAAAAUAUUGAUAUGAUAUCUUUGCUCCAAAUUUGAAUCUAGUGACCGUUGGAAGAUGUUAGAAUCCUACUAAACGCACCGUAUGGCCAUUAGAAGAUUGUAGGGGUAUUAUGUCACAAAACACACCGUUCAAUUACUACCUAGACACAUCGUUUAAAUGUUGCUGUUUCUUUUAUGACUCUUGCCACGUGUUGGCUGUUGCUUGAUAAUUGGAAGUUGUUGUUAGCCGCUCUUUCAGUUAGCAUUUCUAUCAGAAUGCCUGUAUGAAAAUAGAAGAACGAAAAAUGGUGGCUUAACCAAUUUAUGUCCUUCUCUCCACUCUCUUCUUCUUUAUUCCCUAUCAUCCAGUGUUUCUGUUAAAUGGCCUGCGAGUUUAUUGAUCCCUGUGAUUAGUAGACUCCAUUGUAAACCUCAAAUCAGUGUAGUGACCUAACAGUCCUACUGGAUUCUAUCCUGGUGGGAGAUCAUUCCAUCGUACUUGCUACAAGUGGUAUUAGAGCGAUCGAUCCUCGGAAUGUGAACAAAUGAUCGAUCGCUCCUGACACUGGAUCUCAAGACAUCAAAAAGCUGGAGAGCUCCCUUGAAGCUGUCAGCAAGGAUCAAGCAUAAGAUUAUGGACAAAUGAUGAAAAUGUUGGAGUCUUACAAUCACAAACUGGGUACCACAGAAAGCAACCAUGAAGCUAAGUUUAACGAACUCAAGGGUCUCAUUAGUGGAAUAACUUAUCAACAAACAUCCCUUCUUCGAUCACUAAAACUUUCCACAGGGGAGGCUAAUACCUACCCGAGACAAACAAACAACUCAUAAGUUGCAAUAACUUGAUUACCUAGUGAAGGUGAGCACUCUCGGAUUAGGACGCACAAACCCAUAUGUGACUUUCUCAGCUUUGAUGGGGAAGAUGCCCAUAAAUGGUUUGUAUAGAUGCAAUCAAUAUUUUGAUCUUAAGAAGAUUGGAGAUUCUAAAAAACUUAAGUUAGCAUCAUACUACCUUGAUGGAAUAGCAUUAUAUUGUCACCAGAACUUUGAGGAGUUUGGGAGGCCUAGAAGUAACAUUGGAAGGUUAUGUAGAGGCCAGAAAGACCCAAUAAACGCUCCCAAUCCGCUGCUCUUGCUUUCUUUCUAAACGACCAUGCACUACUACUAGACUUGUUAAUGUUCUCUUUAAUCAAGAUUUUAGCCGUCCUAGAUUUUUUUAUUGUAAAAAAUAAUUAGUUAAUCGGACAUAAGCAUUUUCAAAGACUCCGUUCAUUUAAUUGAAUAAAUUUAAUAAAUAUUUAAGUUAACAUGGGUUAAUAUUUUAAUUCUAAUGAUUAUUAUGAAUAUAAAAUUAAGAUAACCUGUAGAAAGAAAAGUAUAUAAAAAAAAAACAUGAAGAUAAAUUCUCUAUAAAUCAAACAUUGAAGGAUAAGAUUUAAAAAAAAAAAAACAAAACUAAAAAAAAACCGAAGUUAAUCUGUGUUAAUAUUUGAAACUUGUGACUUUGGUAAUGAGCUCAAUAUUAACUCUACAAAAGAUAAACCCUAAAAAAUAAUGAAAUUAAAUUCUUUAUCACAAGAUAAUGAGAGAUAAAACUAGGAAAAAAAUACAACUUAAAAAGGAUUUAAAAAAAACAUAUAGUAAUAAAAAGAAAAUUAAUCAAAUUUUACAUUAAAAUAAAUUGAAAUCAUAUAUUAAGAGAUGAAUUUGAAAAGAAAAUUCAAUUAGAAAAAAGAUAAUAAAUAAAUAAAUAUUAAUUAAAAAAAUAAAGGCUAAACUUGGUAUAAAAAUUGAAUAAAAUCAAAUGAUAAGAAUAAAAUUUUUAAAAAAACAAAUUUACAAAAAAUAAAAAUCAAAUAAAUAACAAUAAAAUAAUAAAAAUCAAAUUCUUCAUAAAAAAAAUAAAAGAAAACUUCUGUAAUUUACCAUAAGAGGGGAAAAAAUACAGAAAAAGAAAUCCACGUACUUGUGGCCCACCACCACCCAGCCCUGAUGCUCUUCUCCAAAGUUCCAAACAACAAACAGAAGUCAGUUUUUGGCCAGCAAAAAGCCGCACGCGCUUCUCCAAAGCAUUUCAGUAAUAAAAACAUUAAAAACUAUUAAUUUUGCCUUAAAUGCAACAUAUUAUACACUUAAAAGAAUUAUGAAAAGUAGCUUAAUUUGUCAGACAUUGAGUUUACUUUCCAAUAAUCACGAGUUUGAGUUUUUUUAAGGUUACCAAAAGUUUAUAUAAUCGUUAACAUUAGAACCCGUGAAAUUAAUCGAGUUACAUACAAACUGGUCUAAACAUUCCCGUUAAUUAAAAAAAAAAGAUUUCCAAAAUAUGUCUUGAGGAUUUGCAAGGAAUUGGUGAGCGUGUUCAAUUGUGGAAGGGCUUUCCUGCAUUUCUGUUCUUCACAUAAUAUGGGGUGAGGCUGAAGAUAGUGAUGACCAUAUCGUGCCAUAUCCAGAGGCAAGUGAAGAUUAUUGCAAGAAAAAGGAAUCGAGUGAAGAAGCUAGCACCAUUAAAUCUAGUGAGCAGAAGGCACCUGGGGCUAAAGUUGAUACUGAUGGCAGAAAGCUGGAGAGCAUUUCGAAUGUUGACACAAGUGAAGGAACUUCUUCCUUAGGACUUGACAUGGACCGAUGACCUAACUUGUCCUCACGUAAUGCUGCCAAAACUGAGCAGGAUUCCUUGGAAACUUCAAUCUCUAACAAUCUAACUGACAUUACCAAACUCGAUUCAUCAGCAGGUGAUGAGAUUUCAAUCACAAGGAAACAAUGUAGAUAGGGUGAAGUUGCAUGAUGUUUUCAUAGCAUAGUAUCUUACAUGCUACUGUCAUUCUAAUUCUUUUUUUUUUAAAACGCGGAGACAGAUAAUCUUGAUAAGGACACUGAGAUUUUUCAAAAUCCUCAUGAAGGUAAAGAGCAAGGUGAUUUUGCUGAUUAUGGCUGGGCUAGCAUUGGAAGCUUUGAUGAUCUUGAUCGAAUUUUUAGGUAAAGCACAGUUACCAUUUCUUACUUUCUGCACCUAAAUGAAAGAUGGUCAGCAGCACCUGAUAUGGAAGCUUGUAUAUCUCAUUAUUCUGAUAAUUUGAACAAAUUCUUAUUACUGACUGUGAAGUGAAAGUUUCGCGAACAAAAUAAUUAUGCUCACUGUCUAUUUUCAUUUCAGAAGAAAAAAAUCAUGUAGUACAAGAGUGUUGUUGUGAAGGAAAAACAACCAGACUCUUUUAAUAAUUGUAGUUUCUUCUGUGUUGGAUCUAUAUCCUUUUCCAAAUAAGUGCUGUCUGCUGAAAGCAACACUAACAAAAAAUGACUAGUUGUUUGAAAAUUUAUGGUUUUUGAUCCUUGGCUUAAUUUUGUUAAUUGGGAAAAGAACCUGAAGGAUGCCAGUUUUUAGCAGCACAAUAUCCUCAAUUACAAGUAUAAAUGGCAGAAAGAAUGUAAUAUAGCAGCACUGGAUUUGCAAGGAAUUGGUGAGCUUGUUCAAUUGUGGAAGGGCUUUCCUGCAUUUCUGUUCUUCACUAAUGUUCUUAUAUUUUAUCUUGAUUCUGUUGGAGAACAGUAAUAACCAUCUGACUCAAUAUCCUCACAAGUGGUGAUUUUGCAGCAAUGAUGACCCAAUAUUUGGCAAUGUAAAUCUUGGUAAUGCUGAUGAGCUAUGGUCUUCUUCAAAAUGUACAACUAACAGCCCGGUAAAGCCCUUUCCAAUAUCUGUGGCUUCGAGAGAAGAGGACCAGCUGUUUGCCCUUGGCUAUGGAAAAAUGAACGACCCUGCAUCUCAUGGUCUGCAUAAUACUCAGGCAAGCCUUGAUCAUGUAGAAUAUGAUGAAGGUAAAAACAAGCCUAUACUGAAGGAGCAGGUAUAGCGACUCAAUUUUCAGUAAUGAGUUCACUUAUUAAUGCCCCAUGCUCAAGUGCAGGAGCUGAGAGAAGCUUAGCAUUAAUUUUUUUUAUUUUUUUUGUGCUUUUGCAGACAGAUUUGGCUGUUGUGGGAAAGAACACGGCGGCUAACUCUCAACUGACAGAGAGGAAUGAAAAUAAACUUGGAUGUUGGGUGAAUAUGGAUUUACAUGAUUUAGUCAUGACUUCAAUAAUGCAUCAAUUAAGUUAUCCUGGAUGUCAAAUCCAUUACUUAACCAUGAUAUCGAUUGCCUAAAGUAAAGCCAUUGUGUGGUUUUCUGUUAGUAGGAAGGAGAAAGGAAUAACAUGUGAAAAUUCAGGGACAUGCAAAUUCUGUUUGCAUGGCAUAGUUUAGCUAAUACCUCGAUAUAUUCUGAACAAUAGAAGCCCUUUCGAUCGUAAGUUGCAGUUCAAAAAAUAAAAUAACAUUGAAUUUGUCCUUACAAACCAUGUACCGAAUUAAAAUACUAACUGUGCCUUAGUCACUCUCCCCUGCAGGGCUAUGGUUAAAAUGUUGAUCUAUUCUAAGUAAUUUGUCUAUUUAUUAUAGUUCUGUGAUCAGAGUUACAGGCAAAAGAAGAUCUUGUAAGGUCGGGAAAAACUGGAAGAAAAAGGUGAACUGAAAUCAUACCAAGAUUUUUAUGGAAACUGGACUUCAUCUGGAAUCCCAGCCUGUCAACUUAAGGAUCAUUUAGCACCCCAAAUUAUGCAAUCUUCUUCCCCUUCAAUUCUCAGCCAACAGAAGCAGCUAGGGUUACAAAUCCAUUUGUGGCCCCUUCUGCAUACGGGAGUAUUACAAAUCCAUAUUCUAUGUCUGGGUUGUCCCACAUUCAGUCUGGGGAUUUUAAGCAUCAACCUUUAGCUUCUGGUUAUGAAGUUUCUUCAGGUAAUGCAAAUCCUAUAAACAAGUUAGCUGACUGUCCAGUGAAACCCCAGAGAAUGACACCUCAGGAAAAGAUUGAAAAAUUAAGGAGGCGGCAACAAAUUCAGGCAAUGCUUGCCAUUCAGAAACAGCAGCAGCAGCUUGUUCAUCAAAAGUGUUCCCAAGAAAAUCAAAUUCAGCGUGUUGAAGGAGCUGACCUUGAAGUAGAGGAUCUAAGUACACUUGCUUCAUUUGACCCAAACUCACCUAUUGAGCAAGACGAUUCCAAUACAGUCUCUCUAGCGGUUAAUGAUUAUUCAAUGGAGGACACAGUACUCUACAGGCUUCAAGAUAUUAUUUCAAAGGUAUGCUUCACGUACUAUUGCAUUCUUUCCCUGCUAAACAAUUUGUGCUUGGUUACGAUUCCAAACCAAUGUUUUACAACAGUUGGAUGUCAGAAUUAGACUUUGUAUUCGGGAUAGCUUGUUCCGGCUGGCUCAAAGUGCAAUGCAAAGGCAUCAUGCUAGUGAUACUGGCAGUACAAACAAUAGCAGGGACGAACAAGUUGCUGCAAAAGAGGAAAUCAGCAGUCAAAGAAGGUUGGUUAAGGCAAUGCAUUUCUCAUGCUUCUGUUUUCAAAUUUAAUCUAUCCUCUUUUUUUUUUGUAACAUUUUUGCUCUAUGGAAAUGUUAAAUUAGGAUCUUUUAAUGCCAUCACCAUUUUCUGUUUUCCAUUCUCAUUCUAGAAAUAAAUAUUGAAAACGGUAUCCUCUAUUUACAAUGGAGGAAUAGUGACUGAAACAAUUCAAUUAAGGCAGCGCUUGUUCUUAGAAGUAGAAGAAAAUCUAAACAGAAAAUUUUAGGUUCCUCUUUCACUGGAUUUCCUUAAAAACUUGACUGAAUUUGACCUUGUUGAUCAAAUAUGUAGUAGUUCGCUUCCACUGGUUCUGUUAUGAUUGUGAGUGCUGGUCAUCAUGUCUUGAUUUAGUUGAAAGAAGCUUUGGUAUUGUAGGCCAACCUAGGUAGAGGCAGAUAUUAAACUGACAUUUGUAGCUUUACCCUGGUGCAGCAUUCAUGAGUGCAGUGCAGCAAGUAGUCAUGAGGUGACAAUUCAAAUAGCAUAAUAUUUUGUAGAGAUUUUCAUUUAAUUAGAAAAGGAAAUUUAAUUUUUCCAAUAUUAACAAAAUCUAUGCAAGUUUUCUGCAAUGUUGAUUCCAGUGAAUUUGUGCAUAAUCACCUUAAUCCGAAAAGAAGAGCUAAACACACACAUCCAAGUCUAAAUGAGUGGCACAACAUGCAUGAUAAAUUUUACUAGAUUUAACUAAGAGAGAGAAACAAAGAUUGUUCAACAAGUGCAAUAAGUUUAUUCAAAGACAAAUAGAAGGAAAACAAGAUCUGUACAAAUUCACUGGAAUCAUCAAUGCAGAGAACUUGCACAACUUUAGAUAAACAGGGAAAAAUUAAAUUUCCCUUCUAAUUUAAUGAUCAUCUGCAGAUUAAUGAUACAUUACAUUUUAAGCAAGAAAUUUAAGAACUCAAAUCAUCUUCUAAUCAGCUCAUCAAUGUCUAAAUGGGACACUUCCAGCCAAAACCAUAAGCUGUUUUGAUCUGAAACUCGAUUUUUUGUUGUAAGCGACAAUGUGAUUGUUUCUUGUUCCAAUGGGUUUGUUCCUUUACAUCUCGUCCUUCCCAUUUCAAAUCAUUCAAUUUGUUUGCACAAAAUUAUUAAUCAAGUCUUUAUCAAUUUGUUUAGAGUAUGGCAAUCUCAAACUUGCCUGUCAUUUUCCUCAUGGAUUUUAUGAGUAUACUGCAGGGUGGUUAAGAUGCCUGAGGUGGAAACAGAGACCAAUCCCGUAGACCGGACUGUGGCUCAUUUGCUGUUUCAUAGACCGAUGGAUAUUCCUGGGAAGCAUCCUGAUACACCUGAAUCACCUUUUUCAACUAAGCUCCCUUGUGAGCACAAUGUUAAUGGUAAUAAGACAGAUGCUCAUGGAAACAAUUCAACUGCAGCUGUAAGCCAGCAACGUGGAAACCAACAUGGAAACGAAUCAGCCCUCAUGGAAACAAAUCAACUGCAGCAGUCAGCCAGCAACAUGGAAACAAAUCAAAGAGACGUUGGCUAAUUAGAAUCACCAGCAACAAUGGAAACAAACCAACUCUCAUGGUAACAAAACACAAACAGAAAGAGACGUUGGCUUGUUAUGAAAAUAAAUCAACAGCAGCAGCAAUGAAGUUUAUGACAGGAACCAGAAAGAGAAAGAGACGUUGGAUUGUUAUAGAAAUAGAUCAGCUAAGAAUUAGGCAAGUCAAUGUAUCCAAAUUAAGCAACUUGUAAUGUUCUAAAAAACAACAGCUCGUAUAGAAUGGCAAGUAGUAUAUUCACGUUAAUAUUCAAAGAAACAGAGAAACCUUUCUUCCAUUGAAACAUUCUUAUCUUUCUUCAAAUUUCCGCUUGGUAUCAGAGCCUGUGUGAAUAUACAUCUUAGCAGAACCACACAACAUGUGAACUCUGUCACUCAAUGUUGGUAAUUUCAUUACCCUCAAGCUCAGCCCCACAAAUUAUCCACUAUGGAGAGAACAAGCCUUAGCUCUUGCAAAAAGUCAAGACUUGGUUGAUCAUCUCAUCAAUGAAGAUUCAAUCCCAAACAAAUAUAUUGUACCAGAUUCUACUACCACCACAGAUUCUUCACCAAGACUAACAGAAGAAUAUAUUGUCUGGAGGAAGGCAGAUUGACUACUUCGUGGCUGGUUGAUUGGUACUCUUUCAGAACAUACAUUAGGCCUUGCAGUAGGCCUAGACACAGCCUUUGUUGUCUGGAGUGCUCUAAAGAAUGAAUAUGCAGAGGACUCCCAAGAACGAGAAUUCACCCUCAGACAACAAGUCACCUAUUUUCUCAAAGAAGAUAACAGAACCAUUGGAGAACACAUUCGAAUCUUCAAAGGACUAUGCGAUGACCUUGCAGCUAUCGGGAAACCAAUUUCAGAUAAAGAAAAAAUCUUUUGCCUCCUCACAAGUCUCGGCCCUCAAUAUGAAACCUUCACUACCACAAUGCUGAAACCACCAAGACCUUCUUACCCGGAGUUGGUCUCUCAAUUACAGAGCUUAGACCAAAGAAGAAACUGGUUCACCAAUCAGACAAAUAACUCAUCCUCAGCUGGCAUUCUACGGGCAAAAGCACCAGCGCCCUCAACAUCAUUUUUCAGGAAACCAUGGCAGCAGACAAGGCUUUAUAUCUACCGGGAGAGGAUUCCAUGCACAACAACCUAAAGAUAAAACUCAUACUUACACUGCCAGAUCCCUUCAGAUUCAAAACAGAAACGACCUCCUCCAUCUGGAGAGCAUCGCAAUGACUCCUGCAGAACGUGAGCUAUACAGAGAAGAAACCUGCCAGUACUGUGGUGUUCCAGGUCAUAUUGCAAAGAUAUGUUGGUGGGUGCCUAAACGAUCAAAUCAACACGGAGACCUACCACAAGCUUUGGCUGCUCUCACCUUGGACAAUACUAUCACUGAAACGGAAUGGAUCUCUGAUACAGGAGCUUCCAACCACAUGACAGGUAAUCCAGGUAUGUUAAAAAAUAUUCGCAAUCACUAUGGUUCGGACUCUGUUCUUAUUGGUGACGGUUCUUCUAUAUCAAUACAUGGUAUUAGAGAUUCCUCCAUCACAUAGGAAAAUAAAAUACUGCCACUUAAUGAUGUAUUGUUAGUACCCGACUUGAAAAAAAAAUUACUCUCUGUAAGUCAGUUAACAUCUCAAUUUCCUGUUAAUUGUGAAUUCUCUGACGUUGAUUUCUGUAUUAAGGAACGACAGACAGGACAACCCGUGAUCACAGGAUGGCGCAAGGGUGACCUCUAUGCUCUAUCCACUAUGCCUGAGCUCUACUUUUCUAAUCGUUUCAGAUCAGGACCAGCAGAUAUUUGGCAUCAACGCCUAGGACAUCCACAUUUUUCUGCUUUACAAUUAUUGCACAAUAAAAGUUUGAUAGAUGUUAAAGGAACCACAAAAUGUGAACAUGUUUGUGACAGUUGUCAAUUUGGAAAACUUAGUCGAUUACCUUUUUUUCGUUCUGAACAUUCUAGUUCUGGUAUUUUUGAAAAAAUCCAUUGUGAUUUAUGGGGACCUGCUCCUGUUUUAUCAAUAGGAAAGUUCAGAUAUUAUGCGUGUUUAGUAGAUGAUUUUUCUAAAUACACUUGGAUAAUCCCAUUACUACAUAAGUCUGACUUUGCUGAUGCUUAUUUUGCCUUUGAGCAUUAUGUUACUCGACAAUUUAACAAGCAUAUCAAGGUCUUUCACUCUGAUGGAGGGGAGAGUUCAUAAAUUCCAAACUAUCAUCACACUUCCUCUCAACAGGAGUGGUUCAUCAGAUAUAUGUCCUUAUACACCUGAACAAACAGGUAUAGUAGAAAGAAGACAUCGAGUAAUACGAGAACUAGGUAUGACCAUGUAUUUCAUAGUGGUGUUCCUUUAUCUUUAUGGGUUGAAGCUUUCACUACUGCUGUUUAUCUUAUGAAUAGAUUGCCUUCUUCCGCACUUAAAUUUGAAUCUCCAUAUUUCAUGUUACAUGGUAAUCAUCCUACAUACUCAUCUCUUAGAGUCUUUGGGUCUAAAUGCUUUCCCUACACAUGGGAUACAAAACAAAAUAAAUUUGACCCAAAAACAGUUCUAUGCAUUUUUGUAGGAUAUAGUGAUAAACAUAAAGGAUACAAAUGCUUUCACCCUUCUAGUAAAAAAAUGAUUAUUUCUCGUCAUGUAGUCUUCGAUGAGUCAUUUUUUCCUUAUAAACAAAAAAUUCAGAACUACAUCACUCCAUCUCCUGCACAUGUUAUGAGCAUUUUUGAUUCAUGGCUGCCACCUACUAUCUCUAACUCUGCUGCAGAAAUACAACCCCCAAUGUCCACUCCACCAUGCUCAAGCUCAUCACUAAACACUUUACCAUUUUCUCUUAAUUUACCUGAUGUUUAUGCAGAACAACAUGCUAGUGCCGUUGAAAUUGCAGAACACCACAAUGCCGAUGGAUUGGCAGAGCAAGUCACUAUACCAUCUUGUCUCAAUUUACAUGAUGAUGUUAUUACUAAUACAAUUGCAGAGCAGCAGGACAAUGUUGAUGUAGUAGCCGAAACACAACAAGAAGAACACAACCAUGCUGUUGGAGUGGGAGAACACAGCAAUGGCGUUGGAAUGUCAGAAAAAGUAAUGUACCAUCUUCUCUUAAUUUACAUGCUGAUUAUGUUAUCACUAAUACAGUUGCUGAAACAGUAGCCGAUACACAACAGGAAGAACACAACAAUGUUGUUGGAAUGGCAGAGCAGCACCUUAGAACUGAUAAUAUAACUGAAAUACAUUUGGUAGAAUCUGACCAUGAAGAUGAAAUGCAUCGACAACACCUCUCUCACUCACAACCCAAUCCUGCUUCUCUGGAAUCAGACUUGCAGCUUGUUUAUUCUCCACGUGCAACCCCUCCUUCACAUACCAUGGUUACUAGAUCACAAAGAGGCAUCCUUAAGCCUAAUCCAAAAUAUGCCUUAAUAUCCUCUAGGACUUCAGCAACCAUUCCACGUGAGCCUUCUAACUUUCGGUCUGCAUUAGCUCACCCUGGCUGGAAAGCUGUAAUGGACGAGGAACUUGAAGCUCUCCAUAGAAAUCAGACUUGGGAACUUGUCCCUCGCACACCUUGUUGUAACCCAUUUUUGGGUCCCCACAUAUAAAAUAAUAAAAUACAAAAAAAUUUAAAAAAAUAUAUUACAAAAAAAAUAUAACAGUGAAAAAUGCCAGAGCGCCAUAAACAUGCUAAAAACAUUGUUUGAGGAUUUUCAAAAAUAUAAAAAUUAUUUUUUGACAGUAUAUCAUUAACUGAUGAGAGCCCUGAUGAUAAGGAAAAUUCAAUGAAAAAUGCAAAAUCAGAAGUUUAUGGACUCAAUUAAAUUUUAUUGAAGGUUUAAUUGAAUUUAUGGAGAUUUUAAUUGCAAGAAAAAUUGAUUUUGGAGUUAAUUUGGGCUUUAAUUAGGAGAAAUUAAUUUUCUGGGGUCAAAUUAUAAUUUUUGGAAGUUAAUUUGGUCAAAUCAGGGGCUUAAUUGCAUAAAUUAUUGAAGUUUAUGGCCAAUUAGGGACUUAAUUGAAGAAAUCCGAGACCAAGGACUACAUUGUAAAACGCGCGACAAUGGAGGGCCGAAAUUUGAAUCUGAUGCUUUUGCGCCUUUUCCUAUUAAAUGAAACGGCGCGUUUGACCAAAACGGCGCCGUUUCAUUCACUGUAGCAAAAAAAAAAAAAAAAGAAGCCCAAAACAGUGAUGUUUUGACGGCACUGUAGCUCUUCUUCCCCUGGACACACGAGGCAGGGGAAGAAGAUUUUUUCUUCCCCUUUUCGCCUAAUUACUUUCCUUCCUUUUGCUCAAAAAGACGCCGAAACAAGGACACCACUUGCCGACCACUUUCCACGUGUUGGACGGGCGGCAGCACACCGGCCACCACCAUGACGUCCCCCCCCCUGUUUUUCGCCUAUAAAAACAGGGGAGGAAGAGGAAAAAAAAGGACGAAGAGAGAAGGGAGAGAAGAGAAGAAGAGAAGAGAAGAAGAGGGAGAGAGAAGAAGAAGCAGAGAAGAAAAGAAGAAAAACAGAAAGAGAGAGAGAGAGAGAGAGAGAGAAGAACCACCGCCGGCCUCCGCCACCAUCGCCUCCGCUGCCACCAGCAGCACCGCCACGACGCCACCGCAGGUAACCUCUGCCCCGUCUCCUUCUCCUUUGCCUGCCUCCUUUUUUCAUGCAGAACGUGAAUUAAUUCACGUUCUGCACUGAAGAGGCUGGUUACUGUGCUUAUGCACAGUAACCAGCCCAUUUAGUUGGGCCGGUUCGGCCCAGCCCACUGAAUGGGCCGGGUCCGGCCCAUUUCAAUUUUUAUUUUUAUUUUUAUUUUUUAGAAUUUUUACAAUUUUUCCAGCACAUGUUUUUAUCAAUUUUGCUUAAUAUCGGUCUAUAUUUUACAUCGUAAAAAAUAUAAAUUCGGUAUUAAAAUACCCGAUUUUCGGUACUAUUCAUACGGUACUGUUCACACAUGCAAAAAAAAAAAAUCAAAAAUAUUUGUUUCAGCAUUUUAUAAUUUUUCCGCGUAGUUUUUAUGUCAUUUUGAUUAAUAUCGGGCAGUAUUUUACAUCGUAAAAAUAUAAAUCCGGUAUUAAAAUACCCGGUUUUCGGCAAAAACUUCCAAAAAUAAUAAAAAAAUUAAUUAAAAAAAAGAUAAAAAAAUGUUUUUGUGCAUACGGCCAAGUGUCUCAAAUCUAAAAAAUCAUAUCGUAUUUUUCAUAUGUCAAAAAACAAUAUUUUAGCAUGCAUUUUGGCUUUAAUAACCAGUUUAUUAAAGUCAAGAGAACAUUGGCCAAAAUCUCAAAAACAACAAAAUAUUUUAUUUUGUUUGAUUUUAGUAUCAGGGAUUAUGAAUUUAUACGUAAAUCGUAUUCCUGAUAUUAAAAAGAUAUUUUCUUUUGACGACUUCGAAUAGUUAGUUUUUUACCCGAUAAAGAUAAGGAUCUCCUUACAGAGGAGGACUUUUCUUAAACCGUAAACGAACCAACAAUUCAAAAAACCACAACACGAUUUUAGAUUUUAUCAGACAUUAAAACAAUGCAGCCUACCUUAGGUAGGGCGUAGUUGGGGUGCUAAUACCUUCCCUUUACGCAACCAGUCUCCGUACCCGAUCUCUAAAGACCAGUUAAGGUUCCUAGUAACCAGAAUACUAGGUGGCGACUCCUAGUCCAUAUUUUCACUUGUAGAGACAAGAAUUCCUUGUCUCUCCCUAUUUUAUUUUCAAGGAAUAAAUUAUUCCGAUUUUUCCUUGAGGGUGGACGAUCGCCGCGCCGCCGCACACGUGCGACACACCUGUCAUGCAUGUUAUUGGGUCUAAAUGGGUUCUAAAAACAAAACUCAAACCUGAUGGUUCAUUAGACCGCUUGAAAGCUCGAUUAGUAGCAAAGGGGUAUCACCAAGUUGAUGGAUUGGACUAUACUGAGACUUACUCUCCAGUUAUCAAAACAUGAACUAUUCGUAUGGUUCUCUCCAUAGCACUAGUUAACAAAUGGUCCAUACGUCAACUUGACGUGAAAAAUGCCUUCCUGCAUGGUUUUGUUUCAGAAGACAUAUAUAUGGAACAACCUCCAGGAACAACUGAUCCACGGUACCCAUCACAUGUGUGCAAGCUCAAAAAAGCUCUUUAUGGUCUCAAACAAGCACCCCGUGCCUGGUUUGAUCAGUUUAGUAUCUUCCUUCUUAAAUAUGGGUUUUUUUGUAGUCUUGCAGAUCCAUCACUUUUUAUUUUUCACUCUAACUCUGAUACUUUAAUCCUUCUUCUUUAUGUUGAUGAUAUACUCCUCACAAGAUCCUCUGUUCCUCUGGUUACGCACCUGAUUCAAUUGUUGAGCUCAGAAUUUGCAAUGAAAGAUUUAGGACCCAUUCAUCAUUUUCUUGGCAUUGAAAUUACUCACACCUCUGAAGGACUCCAUCUCUCUCAAUCACACUAUGCGAUGACAAUCCUGGAACAAGCUGGUAUGGUGGACUGUAAACCAAUGAGCACACCGCUUGAAGCCAAGACAAAAAUGGCAGCAACUGAUACACUAUUGCAAGAUCCACAAUUUUUUCGUGGGCUUGUUGGUGCUUUACAAUAUCUCACACUCACAAGACCUGAUAUCUCUUACAGUGUCAAUUUUAUCUCUCAAUUCAUGCAUGCUCCAACUGUUAUACAUUUCAAAAUGGUUCAUCGUAUUUUAAGAUAUGUCAAAGGCACAAUUGACACUGGAUUAAAUUUUACUUCCCAUUCUACACUUGAUCUUUGUGCUUUCUCAGAUGCAGAUUGGGGAGGUUGCUCUACAACAAGACACUCCAUAACUGGAUACUGCACAUUCCUUGGUAGCAAUCUCAUUUCCUGGUGUGCAAAGAAACAACCCACUGUCUCUCGUUCCAGCACCGAGGCCGAAUAUAGAGCUAUGGCUAACACAACGGCAGAGCUUACAUGGCUAACCUUCAUUCUACAAGAUCUUCACAUAUCACCUUCUUCACCACCUAUCCUCUACUGUGACAAUCUCAGUGCCUUACACAUGACUGUCAAUCCUGUGUUUCAUGCUCGUAGCAAACACAUUGAAUUGGAUUACCACUUUGUGCGUGAGCGUGUUGCCCUUGGUCUUCUCAUCACUCAGCACAUCUCCACCCAUGAACAAAUAGCUGACAUCUUCACCAAACCCAUGUCCAAAGGUGCAUUGGCUUACUUCAAAGACAAACUAUGCCUCCGACUCCGGCCUAGUUUGAGGGAGGAUGUUAAUGGUAAUAACACAGAUGCUCAUGGAAACAAUUCAACUCCAGCUGUAAGCCAGCAACGUGGAAACCAACAUGGAAACGAAUCAGCCCUCAUGGAAACAAAUCAACUACAGCAGUCAGCCAGCAACAUGGAAACAAAUCAAAGAGACGUUGGCUAAUUAGAAUCACCAGCAACAAUGGAAACAAACCAACUCUCAUGGUAACAAAACACAAACAGAAAGAGACGUUGGCUUGUUAUGAAAAUAAAUCAACAGCAGCAGCAAUGAAGUUUAUGACAGGAACCAGAAAGAGAAAGAGACGUUGGAUUGUUAUAGAAAUAGAUCAGCUAAGAAUUAGGCAAGUCAAUGUAUCCAAAUUAAGCAACUUGUAAUGUUCUAAAAAACAACAGCUCGUAUAGAAUGGCAAGUAGUAUAUUCACGUUAAUAUUCAAAGAAACAGAGAAACCUUUCUUCCAUUGAAACAUUCUUAUCUUUCUUCAAAUUUCCGCUCACAAGACAAUGGGCCUAGCAAAGCUGUCAACGGCAAGCCUGCCUGAGACUCCAAAAAGUAAACCAAACUUUUCGCAAAAGGGGUCUCAACUUUCUAGUCUCUUGACCAAUGCUCAGCCUGUCAGUCAGUGUAAAAGCAAUCCUUGCUUCAACGCUUAAGAGGAUGCAUCAAACAAUGGGCCUGCAGAUGAAGGAGCUAGGGAGGUUAAAGCCUCUCAAUGAAGACAAGGGUAAUUCCUACCUGAAUCUCUUCCAUGCAUGCAUUAUGCUUGCAAUGGUGAUUAUAUCGAUUUACUGGUAAUGCCAAGGUUUUCUUUUAUUGUCAGCUCACUGGAUCAUCACCAAAUGAGGGUCAUGAGGAAUAAACACCAGUAUUGAUGGGGAUUUGUAAAUGUCUUUAGCAGCGUAACUAUCAAGAAGUCGCAUUUGUGCAUUCUGGAAGUAUUAAUGUUGUUAAUAUAGCUACAUAUCUACUACAACAUUGAACUCUUUGCUGUGAGUUCUCGAGAUGAUGACUUUCUGUGCUUUAAUCCUUUCUGUUGAUUGUGCGAAAGGGUGAUGCUCCAAUAAUUAUUAGUAGAUUUGCAAGUGCAUGCUCUCUUGAGUGACACUGGCCACUUUCACUUGAUUCUAAAUUGUGAUUCCAAUACGGAUGAAUAUUAUAUUAUCUCCUCUUUUUGUAUCUGCUUCUUUUAUGAAAGUUAACUUCAAGAAUAACCCUGUGCACCAUAAAAUAAAUUUGACUGGAAAAAGCCUUACCUGCACUCCAAAAUUGUUUUUUAACUUCAGCUUUAUAUGGAAUAAAUUUUUUUUAAUCAAAGUUAAAUAAUAAUAAAAAAAAGAUAAAUUAAAAGUUUUUGGAUUUUGAAUUUUUGAAGAAGGCGAAUGGAUUAGAGAAAGAGAUGGAGAAAAAAAUUUGAAUUUUUGAAGAUGCAGAAAAGGAGAGAACGGAGAUUUUAUAUAAUUAAGGCUUUAAUUUAUAUUUUGAAUCAGUUGCAGAUUUGAUUUUGCCACGUCAACAAUGAAAAAUCCGUUGCAGAUUACUUAAAUAAUUUAAUAUUUUUUUAAUCCUUUUUAGCAAUGGAUUUGCUAUUACUAAAUUCAAAAUCUGAAGCAUGUGAUGAUCCAAAUGUUGGGGAUUCCGCCCGGUGAUGUUCUAAUAUUUGCUCAUUGGAAGCUAAACACACUGACAUAAUAUUUAACGUGGUUCGACAAAUCGCCUACAUCCACGAGAGAUGUUCAUUUUAUUAAAGAUAGAGAAAGGAUAAAAUAAAUACAUGGAGGAGGAGGAUUACAUCCACUCCAACUCAACUCACUGCUCAUACACUCUGCUGCAUAUGGCAGCAGCUCCUCUUUCUCUCUUCUUCUCUUCUCUUCACUCUCUCACGUUAUCCCUCACUCUCUCAUUGCUCUCAAAUAAUUAUUCAUGGUCAACAUGGAGGGGCCAAUAAUGCCUUAAAACAUGCCACUAAUUGUGGCACUAGUGGUGCUUCCACUUGCUUGGUGGUGGGGUAUUGCCAUUAAAUGGCAAUAUCCUAACACCAAAGGUAUUGAAUUUAAUAUUUCACUGAGCAUGUCUUUAUUCGCAGCAGAAUUACAGGAUAGAGGAACAAUAGUAGGAUUUGAAUUUGGAUUCAAAGGAAAGAAGCCAAAGGUAUUGAAAUGACCUUUAAAUUGUUUAAAUUGUCCAGUGAAACCCCAGAGAAUGACACCUCAGGAAAAGAUUGAAAAAUUAAGGAGGCGGCAACAAAUUCAGGCAAUGCUUGCCAUUCAGAAACAGCAGCAGCAGCUCCUAUUAAUCAUUCUCCCUGUCUUGUUUAAACUGUUAUUGUUUUUUUAAGAAGCAAUUUAUGUAACGAAUUUGAACCAAAAUCCAGUGAAAAUUACUUUGUUCUAACCACAAAUGUUAGAAUGAGAAAAGUACAAUACUAAUCAAAUCAACUUUAAAAUUUAAUUAUAGCAAAAAAGAUAUUGAAAUAGAAUGAUGAUUAUUUAUGUUGUAUAUGAAGAGGAAUGAGAGACAAUAGGAAGAAAAUAUAUGUAUUUCAUUCAUCCAAACUUAUGAGCCGCUCACGCUUGUAGAAGGAAAUUUGGAUCAGAAUCCUGCAAAGAAACAAUGGAGGAUUUAGACCAAGAGCAUGAAAAGGAUACGUAAAAUACACAAAUAGCUACGUAAUGAUAUUUGAAAAACCUGUUGGUUUGCAUGCAAAGCAAUCUUGUUUUGUGAAACUAUGGUGCUCCACUCUGCAAUGGGCAAUUGGUGAUACUGACAUGAAAAUUUUAUCCUGUGCAUAUUGUUCUGGCAAGAAGGAAGGCUGACAAACCCUUCAUGAACUGUAAGUGGAAAGUUGGAUUUGGAUCCUGCCUUAAAAAAAGCAUAGAAUUAAUAGUGGAACAUGACAAAUUUUAACUGAAAUUGCCUUUGAUUACUGAAAAGAAAAUAAACUAUUUAGUAGCAAUACCUCAAUAUAUUUAGUAGAAAAUAAACUAUUUAGUAGCAAUACCUCAAUAUAUUUAGUAGAAAAUAAACUAUUUAGUAGCUCCUUUUAACUGCUACUCUUUUGCUCCGCUGAUGUUGGGAAAAUAACUACGUGAGGAAUGUGAGAAAUCUUGGGCCAAUAUUUACCUUUCUCCCUUUCACAACUUUUUCACCCAGCAUAGGACAAUUGUUAAUUACAAGAGAAGAAAGGGAGGAGGGCAACCCUUCUUCUGGCAUGGACUCAAGCAUAGGGCAGCGAAAUAUCACCAAUUCUGUAAGAGAGGUGAGGUGUUGAAGUCCCUUGUAGUCAAGAUAUUUCAGGUGUUCUAGGGAAUAGAUUGUAAGAGAUGUAAGACUUGAAGGCAGAAGCAUCUCUUCAGGGAAGGAUUCAAUAUUUUCGUGGCCACCAAUUGUAAAGUGUGAAAGUGAAGGGAGCGUUUGCAAACCCCAUUGCAUGCGGCCUGCAAUGAGUUUGUUGCAUUUCCAAAUCUCAAGUGAUUGUAAUUUGGAGGGAAAACCCCCUUCUGGACACAACUCAAGUUCUAAACAAUCACUUAUUAGCAAAUGGUUAAGGGAUGGGAGGAGGGAAUGCAUGCUCUCAGGCAACCGCUUCAAGUUUCUGCAAUGUCGUAACGUAAGUUGUGUUAAGACUGGAGCAGGUAAUCCUCCUUUGGGAAAUGAAACUAAUUUAGGGCACUGCUCGAUUUCCAAAGAAUGAAGAGAUUUAAGCUCAUUGAGAGGUCUUUCAUGUGCACAGAGUGAUCCGAGAUCUGGACAGUUAAAGAUAGAAAGAGAAUUUAGCUUGGGGAAAAAGUCCAGUGGGAUGCAUUUGAGAGAAGCUGAUGGAAAUAAGUUAAGCUUAAACAAUACAGUUUACGUAAAGAAAAAGAAACAGAUUUAAGAUGGCAGAGUUGAGUAGAAAGAUCAAUAUAUUUCAUUAACUUCAAAUGCCUAUAGGCUUACAUAGAACUUGAAAUGCAUUAGAACUCUCAACAAACUUGAGAGAUUAUUGGAAUUGAAAUCCUAGACUAAGCAGAAUGUUUCUGCUGCAAAUCCUGAAAGAGAUAAACUAUUACAGAAUUCAAAUAUUAAAAAUUGAUCUUAAUUCUAUCUAUCUAAAGGCAAAAUCUCAUAAUUCUAACACUCCUCCUUGAGACUUGCCUUAGACAAACCAAGUUUCAUCCUUAGAAAUUCCAGUCUUGAUCUAGGAAGAGCUUUAGUUAUUAUAUCAGCAAGUUGAACAUCUGUUGGACAGUAGUGUAGCUUUAUAAGCUUGUUCUUCUCAACUUCUCUUAUAGAAUGAAACUUCACAUUGAUGUGCUUGGUUCUGCCAUGUUGAACCGGAUUUAGAGCAAUAGCAAUGGCAGAUUUAUUGUCACAAUGAAUCUCAGUUUGUGAGCUUUGUUCUUGACCCAAAUCAGCAAGCAAUUUGUUCAACCAAAUUGCUUGAUUUGCAGCAGCUGCCAUGGAGAUAUACUCUGCUUCAACUGUUGAUUGUGCCACCACCUCCUGCUUCUUUGCAUUCCAACAGAUUGCACCUGAACCAAUAUUAAAAACAUAUCCAGAGGUGCUCUUCAUGUCAUCAACACUCCCUGCCCAGUCACUGUCUGCAUAACCAAUCAGAUUUACUCCUCCUGUCUUCAAGUACCAGAUGCCAAGAUCAGUUGUUCCUCUGAUGUACUUCAACACUCUUUUAGCAAUUCCCAUGUGAAUGUUGCUAGGUGAGCUCAUAAACCUUGACAGCAAACCAGCUGGAAACAUUAAGUCAGGUCUAGUUGCUGUCAAGUAUAGCAAACUGCCCACUAGGCUUCUAAAUCCAGAGGGAUCUUCAAGUUUCUCACCAUCAUUCUUUGAAACUUUCUCAUUUUGUGCUAAAGGAGUUGCUACUUCUUUGCAUGACUCAAGCUUGAACUUCUUGAGUAUAUCAACAACAUACUUCCUUUGUGAAACAAAAAUACCCGAACUACAUUGAUGUAUUUCCAUUCCAAGAAAGUAGUUCAUAAUGCCAAGAUCAGACAUUUCAAAAACAUCUUGCAUUUCAGUUUUGAACUCUUCCAGCAACUUUGCAUUGCUUCCAGUAACUAGCAUGUCAUCUACAUAGAGUGAUAUCACCAGCUGCAAACCAUCUUCAUCUUGUUUCAGAUAUAGGGUAGCUUCAUUUUCACUUCUUUUGAAUCCUAGUUGAAUCAAAUGAGUAUCAAUCCUGCUGUACCAAGCCCUUGGUGCUUGCUUCAAACCAUAAAGAGCUUUGUGUAGCUUGUAAACUUUGUGUUCAUCACCAAUAACAACAAAGCCUUCUGGUUGCUGAACAUAAAUUUCCUCAAGUAGUAUUCCAUUUAGAAAAGCAGACUUCACAUCUAAAUGAUAAACUUUCCAUCCUUUUUGUCCCGCAAGAGCAAGUAGGAGUCUUAUAGUGUCAUGCCUAGCUACUGGUGCGAAAGUAUCUCCAUAAUCCACUCCAGCAACUUGAGCAAAACCUUUAACAACCAAUCUAGCCUUGUGUUUGAAGAUUGAACCAUCUGGAUUGAAUUUGGUUCUGAAAACCCACUUCACUCCAAUUGCCUUUUUAUCUCUAUGAAUUUCAGUCAAUCUCCAAGUCCCAUUUCUUUCAAUGGAAUCAAUUUCUGAUUUCAUUGCUUCAAUCCAAGCUGGAUCUCCUGCAGCUUCAGAGUAAUUUGUAGGCUCAGCAUGUACAAGGUUACAUCUUUCAUACACAUCAGACAAUUGUCUAACCUUUAGUACUGUUGUAUCUGAAGUUGCUUCAAUGGCUUGUUGAUCUUCAUCAUCAAUACUUUGUACUGGUGAUUCAAAGGCAGCUGUGAUAGUCUGUUGAACUUCUUUUAAGUCCCAAUUCCAGCAGGCAUUUUCAUCAAAUUGCACAUCUCUGCUGACCUGAAUUUUGGCUGAAUUCAGAUUGAAAACUCUGUAACCUUUUGAUUCUGUUGCAUAUCCCACAAGAAUCCCUUUUUCUGCUCUAGCAUCCAGUUUUCCUCUUUUGGCAGAUGGAACAUGAAAAUAGCACAAUGAUCCAAACACUUUUAAAUGUUUGGCAGUAGGCCGGACUCCAGACCAUGCCUCCAAUGGUGUUUUGUUUUGAACAGACUUGGUUGGAAGUCUAUUAAGCAAGUAUACUGAAGUAUUUACUGCUUCAGCCCAUAGAAACCUUGGCAACUUCUUUUCAAACAAUAUACAUCUGGACAUCUCCAUCACUGUUCUAUUCUUCCUUUCAGAAACUCCAUUCUGCUGUGGAGAGUAAGGAGUCGUCAGCUGGUGCACAAUUCCAGCUUCUGAACAAAAGGCAUUAAACUUCUUCGAAAUAUACUCUCCACCAUUAUCAGUUCUCAACACUUUGAUCUUCUGACCACUUUGAGUUUCAGCCAUGCUUUUGAAGUUUUUGAACAUAGAUAAAGCUUGUGACUUGUUUUUCAGAAAAUAAACCCAAGUCAUUCUGCUGUAGUCAUCAAUGAAUAAUAUAAAAUACACAUUAUUAUUCAAAGAAGCUGUGCUCAUAGGUCCACAUAUGUCUGAGUGAACCAGCUCCAGCAUGUGUGUUGCCCUUUUGGAUAUACCUUUAGGAAAUGGUUGUCGAUGCUGCUUUCCCAGUUCACAACUUCCACAUGUAUGAGCAGUAACAUGUAUUGCAGACAUGUUUUCUACCAUUCCAGUAUCAUAGCAACUUUAAUGAAUUAAGAUUGUAAUGACCGAAUCUUUUGUGCCAAAGAAUGCUUUCAUCAAUCUUUGCACUAAACACAUGUCCAUUAACAGCAUCAAGCUUCAAAUAGAAGCUAUUACCAUCCAUUUUGAUUUUUGCUAUCUCUGAAUUAUGUGUAUCAGUGAUAAAGCAAAAUUUCUCUUUAAAAGAGACUUCAUAACCAUUCUUGAGCAUUUGUGCAACACUAAGGAGAUUCUGAUCUAGUUCAGGAAUGUAAAGAACAUUUGUGAUGGUUUUAAUACCUCUAUUUGUGCUGACUGCAACAGUUCCUUUCCCCUUAGCUUGCACAAUAUCUCCAUUUCCCAGCUUAAUCUUCGGUUGAACUGAUCUGUCAAUAGAGGAGAAAAUUGACAGAAAUUUGGACAUGUGACUUGUGCAGCCACUGUCUAUAAGCCAUGUAUUCAGUUCAGAGGUAUUGCUAGCUUGUGUUGCCAUAAACAAAUGCUCCUCCUCAUCUUUGCUUUCUUCAGAAACAUUUGCUUGUUGUUGUAUUUGUUGCUGAGGUUGCUUCUUCUUGAUUCUGCAAUAUUUCUCACUGUGACCGAGAUUAUUACAGAAUAAACAUUGAAGAGAAGGUUUCCCCUUAAACCAGCAAUCUUUCUCAGUAUGGUUAGUUCUUCUGCAAUAAGAACAUGGUGAGAAAGUCUGUCUUUUUGAAGGUAUACUUGAUUUCCUUUUAGCAUACUUGACAGGUUUGUUUCUUGGUAGAUUACCAGCACUCCUUUCCCUGUUGUUUGCUUGGAAAGCCCCUUCAACUGCCUCAUCAUCUCUCAUAUGAACUCUUUGCUCCUGAAUAUGAAGUUUGCUAAUUAACUCAGCAAUAGUCAGACUUUGCAGAUCGCAAGAUUCUUCUAUUGCUGAGAUUUUAGCUUCAAACUUUUGAGGAACAGACAUCAUAAGUUUUUCUACUACCUUAUGAUCUUCAAAUGUGUUUCCAAGAAGCCUCAUUUGAUUUACAACAUCCAUUAAUCUGCCAGAAUAAUCUUUGACAGAUUCAUUGUCUUUCAUCUUCAUCAACUCAAAUUCCCUCUUAAAUGCAAGAAGUUUAACUGCUUUGACUCUGCUGCUGCCUUCAAAUUCAACUUGAAGCUUAUCCCAUACCUGUUUUGGUGUUUCCAGAUUCAUAUUUUUUGAAAAUAUGAUCUGCAAGACCAGAAUGAAGACAGGUAAUGGCUUUGUCCUUCUUGAGUUUUUCUUCUUCAUGUGCUUUCAUUUGAGCAAUUGUAGGAUUUGCAUUCAAUGGUGGAGGAUCAGAAUCGGUUGCCACAACAUUCCAUAAGCCAUGAGAUCUUAGAUAAAAUCUCAUUUUGACAGCCCAAAUAUGAUAGAGUUCUCCACUAAACAUUGGAAUUGCAGAUACAAUAUUGUUUGAAGAAGACAUUGAUAAAAACCAGAAAGAAAAUAACUCUCAAGUGUUUCGCUCACUCUCUCUGUGUUUUCCUCACCUUCUCUUAUUGUUAUCACUCAAAAGAAAGAAAAAAAUGUUUGCCCCACAGCCCGUAGGAUCUAUAUGCUCUGAUACCACUGAUGGAAAUAAGUUAAACUUAAACAAUACAGUUUACGUAAAGAAAAAGAAACAGAUUUAAGAUGGCAGAGUUGAGUAGAAAGAUCAAUAUAUUUCAUUAACUUCAAAUGCCUAUAUAUAGGCUUACAUAGAACUUGAAAUGCAUUAGAACUCUCAAUAAACUUGAGAGAUUAUUGGAAUUGAAAUCCUAGACUAAGCAGAAUGUUUCUACUGCAAAUCCUGAAAGAGAUAAACUGUUACAGAAUUCAAAUAUUAAAAACUGAUCUUAAUUCUAUCUAUCUAAAGGAAAAAUCUCAUAAUUCUAACAGCCACGCCGUCGAUUGCAAUAUCUCCUAUAUCAGUGGGUGAAAAAACCAUUUGCUCGAUUUCCUUGAGUAAGGAGUCUUGGAAGUUGAAUCGAGAAACAUAGAGAGAGUGCAACCCUGAAAGUAAAUCUAAUUCCCUCCAGCCCAGUGUACGAGAAGCAUCGCACAAGUAAAUUGAAUUGAUGAUUGGACACCUAGAAAGUGGAGUCGCGAGCUGCUCACAUCCUCCAAUUGAAAGUGUUGUUAAAUGUGGAAGGUGGUGACCAGGUAGAGCCUUUGUAAGGUUGGGGCAAUUACUGAUGAAAAGAUCCCGAAGAAGAGGGAAGGCUUCCCGGCUGCCUUCGUCUGAAAUCCACUCCGCCACUCUGGCAUCCUUUCAAAAAAUAAUGUUUUGAGGGAUUCAAAUGGCUUCUUCAUAGCAGUACAGCUCCCAUAGAACUCAGAGCCCACAGUCACAACUUUAUCGAAUGCUUCAAUUGAGAGAUACUCUAAAGAAGCUAAUUGCCCGAGCGGUGGUAAGGAGGUGUAGUUUGUACAUCUACGGAGCUUCAAGGACACUAUAUUUGAGAAAGAGGACUCUCCUGCCCACUCUGGAAACCUUAUACCUCCAUAACCAUCAAUCUGAAGAUCCUUCACAUUUCUAUUUGGCUCUAAUUUCUCAAGUGUGCUUGUUAUGUGUUGUGGGUCAUGAGUGUCACCAUCCCAUGUAAACCUCAGCUCAUCAAUGUGCUUUCUACCUUUCAAAUUUGCCUCAACAGCAUCCUGAGCAUCCACCACAUUUUGAAGGUUCCCAAUAUGAAGUUCUUGUUGGCAUGAGUUGUACAAACCGAGAGACAAUAGGAAACUAUAGCUGUAAUAGUCACGUUUAUCUUCUAUUUUUAUGUAAAUCCCGAUUGUCAUGGGAUCGUAAUAGUUUCCUUUCCAAACACAACUAGGAAAGCUGUACAUUGUGAUGUAUAUAUCCCCUGCUUCUUGAAUAAGAAAAUAAGAAAGAAUUCUGCAGAAACCCUACUCAAACUAACAUGGUAUCAGAGCAUAGAUCCUAAAUUAAUCUAUUGCUACAACGAAAGUUGCUGGAACAAAUAGCAACAUACGACCAUGGAGAGAAUAGAAGGAAUGGAAGCAGCACCCGUAGAACUAGAGCAACCAAAUACGGCUGCAAAUCUUGAAGAAUUAUGGCAAGAAUGACUCAAGCCAUAAACCAGAAUCAAACACAGACUCCAACAGUAAUGCAUGAUAUUACUGCAACACAGAUUGGUAUCAAACUCGAUGGUACCAAUUAUGCUUUAUGGUCCCAAAUUGUUGAGAUGUUCAUCUCCGGAAAAGACAAGUUGGGAUAUAUAAAUGGUGAUCUUCCACAACCAGAACCGAAUGACCCUUCGUUUUAGGAGGUGGAGGACAGAAAACUCAGUGGUAAAAGGAUGGUUAAUUGGAUCGAUGAACCCAUCCUUGGUCAGCAACUUCAUCCGAUUCCCUACAGCUAAACAGGUAUGGGAUUCAAUUGCUGUAACUUACUUUGAUGGGACUGAUACAUCUCAGGUGUAUGAUCUAAAGAGGCAAGUAAAUAGAAUGAAACAAUCAGGGGAACCAAUUGAAAAAUACUACAAUGAUCUCCAAGGCUUAUGGAGGGAGAUUGACUUUCGUCGUCCAAACCCGAUGGUUUGUGUUCAUGAUAUACAAAAAUACAACACUCUCUUGCAAGAGGAUCGGGUGUACACCUUUCUCGAUGGAUUAGAUGACAGGCUUGAUAAAAUCAGGAGUGAUGUGUUGCAACUGAAACCAUUUCCAACUGUAGAACAGGCGUAUGCCCAUAUCCGGAGGGAAGACAUAAGGCAGGCUGUGAUGCUGUCCAACAGAGGAAAUAUUCCAGAUGCUGCUGCAAUGAUCUCUAGAGGUAUGAGAACGGGUUCACAAAACAAAUUUACAUUGCAGGUAGCCAAGACUGGAAACUCCUCUUCACACGGGGGGAAAUUUAAUUCUGAAAAAACUAAGGGCCAUGUGGAGGGAGGAUGCUCCCACUAUGGGAACUUGAAACACACCCGUGAGACAUGUUUUAAAUUACAUGGCUACCCCGAAUGGUGGACAGAACUCAAGGCACGAAAACAAAAAGAAGCUGCUGGUGGAAUUGGAAGAGCAUCCAUGGUUAAUUCAGCCCCCAAGAAUCCAGAAGCCACCCUUUCACUCGUCCCACUUGUUGAAUCAAAGGAGGACAUGGCAACCUCUCUUGGUAAUCCAGGUAACAAUUCCAGUAAUGACAGCAGUGCCUUACUUAUGUCUAACCCAGGCAAGAAUGAAGAUUGGAUAGUGGAUUCAGGAGCUACUGAUCAUAUGAUGUUUUGUCAAGAUGAUCUUGUGGAAAUUACAGAGCCAAGGCGAAAUAAUAUAUUCAAUGCCAAUGGGGUUAUGUAUCCGGUUACAGGAGCUGGAACCGUAGAUUUAUCAUCUUCAAUCUCCUUGGCUAACACUCUUUUAGUUCCCUCUCUUUCCAGUAAAUUAUUAUCAGUGGGACAAGUCACCGAAGAACUCAAUUGCUUAGUGCUAAUGUAUCCAACAUUUUGUCUUUUUCAGGAUAUUCUCACGAAAAAGAUUAUUGGGCGUGGUACUAAAAGAGAGGGGUUAUACUACAUGGACGACUUCAGUUUCGACAAAGUCAAUACCAUGAGUCGCACAUCUAGCGCACAUGAAGAACAGAUUUGGUUAUGGCAUGCUCGGUUGGGGCACCCUUCAUUUAGCUACAUGAAACAUUUAUUUCCGCAGUUAUUUUCAACUUUGAGUUACUCAAAUUUCAGAUGUGAAACAUGCAUAUUGGCCAAGAGUCACCGUGUACCUUUUCCAACUAGCAUGAAUAAAAGUGAUAUUCCAUUUACUCUAAUUCACUCUGAUGUUUGGGGACCUUCCCCUAUUACAACUAUCUCGGGUAUACGAUGGUUUGUGACUUUUGUAGAUGAUUGUACGCGGAUGACUUGGCUAUAUUUGUUGAAACGCAAGGAUGAAGUAUUUGGUGUAUUUCGAGCAUUUUCAUGCUAUGAUUCAGAACCAAUAUUCAGCAAAGGUCCGUAUUCUUCGGACGGACAAUGGGGGAGAGUAUAUGAAUCGCGAUUUUCAUGAAUAUUUCCAAAGAACUGGUAGUCAGACGCCACAUGAGUCAUCGUGUAGUCAGACGCCACAACAAAAUAGAGUAGCCGAAAGGAAGAAUCGACACAUCCUAGAGACUGCACGAGCCUUGUUGAUUGGAUCAAAUACACCUAGUCGUCAUUGGGAUGACGUUGUUGCUUCGGCUGUGUAUCUAAUGAACCGUAUGCCCUCUAAGGUUUUAGAUUUUGACACCCCAUUACAGUUUUUGUCAAAACAUGUCACUCUGCCAUCUUUACUUCUCAUCAAGCCACGUAUAUUUGGAUGUGUUGCCUUUGUUCAUUUGCAUAAAAAUCAAAGGACCAAGCUGGAACCGUGUGCCAUUCGGUGCAUAUUUUUGGGGUAUGGUACUAACAAGAAAGGGUAUCACUGCUAUGACCCGAAUAAAAAUCGGGUGUACAUAACAAUGGAUGUCAUAUUUGUAGAAUUGGACAAGUUCUAUUCACCCCAUAUAUCAACUUCUUCUCUUCAGCAGGAGACUUGGGAUGAAGAGUAGAAGUGAUGGACGGGAAAAAUUGAAGAAACUAUGGUGACAACAGCUCCUACUGUAGUGACAGUGGCACCAUCACAGGAGGAGGAAACCACGGUAGCAGCCCUUACCGUGGUGACAGUGGCGCCAUCACAGGAGGAGACAGAAGCAGCUGUUAUACAAAUGGAUGAAAAUAUGAUGACAGUGGAUGCUGCUAGAUAUAUAGAGGAUAUAUGUCAUCCUCCACAGGAAUUGUCUGCAUGUUACAAAGGGCAUUGUAUGGGCUGAAACAAUCACCGCGUGCAUGGUUUGGUCGCUUUAGCAUGGCUAUGAGAAAGUAUGGUUUUCAACAAAGCAACUCAGAUCAUACUCUCUUCCUAAAACGACGACAAGGGAAAAUAACUGCCUUGAUAAUCUAUGUCGACGACAUGAUAAUCACAUGAGAUGAUUCAGAAGAAAUCUAUAGACUAGAGAAACAUUUGGCCACGGAAUUUGAAAUGAAGAACUUGGGUGGACUCAAAUAUUUUCUUGGAAUAGAAGUUGCUAGAUCAAAACAGGGCAUCUUUCUAUCACAACGAAAAUAUGUACUUGAUCUACUGGCAGAAGUUGGAAUGCUCGACUGCAAACCGGCAGAUACUCCAACAAUUCAGAAUCAGAAACUUGGGGAGUAUCCUGAUCAAACCCCAACCGAUAAAGAGAGGUAUCAACGACUGGUGGGUAAGCUAAUUUAUUUAUCUCAUACUCGUCCAGAUAUUUCAUAUGCGGUGAGCAUGGUCAGUCAAUUUAUGCAUUGCCCCAGUAAAGAUCACAUGGAUAUGGUUGUUCGGAUUCUUCAAUACUUGAAAUCAGCUCCAGGAAAGGGGAUUAUGUUCUCUAAGAAUGAUCACUUAGAUGUUGAAGGCUAUACAGAUGCAGACUGGGCAGGAAACUUGGUCGACAGAAAAUCCACAUCAGGUUACUUCACAUUUGUUGGAGGCAACUUGGUUACGUGGAGGAGUAAGAAACAAAAGGUGGUAGCUCUAUCAAGUGCGGAAGCCGAGUUUAGAGGUAUGGCAAAGGGGCUUUGCGAGCUUCUGUGGCUCAGACGCCUGCUCUCAGAAAUUGGCUUUGCACCCAAUUCUGAAAUGAAUUUAUAUUGCGACAAUAAAGCCGCGAUAGAAAUAUCUCAGAAUCCAAUCCAACAUGAUAGAACGAAGCACAUUGAGAUAGACCGGCAUUUUAUUAAACAGAAUCUUGAAGAAAAGGUAAUUCGCUUUCCGUUCGUCAGAUCAGAGGACCAACUUGCGGACAUGCUUACAAAAGCCGUCUCAAACAAAAACUUUCACAGCUCACUUGACAAGCUGGGUAUCAAAGACAUGUCUACACCAACUUGAGGAGGAGUGUUGGCAUGAGCUGUACAAACCGAGAGACAAUAGGAAACUAUAGCUGUAAUAGUCACGUUUAUCUUCUAUUUUUAUGUAAAUCUCGAUUGUCAUGGGAUCGUAAUAGUUUCCUUUCCAAACACAACUAGGAAAGCUGUACAUUGUGAUGUAUAUAUCCCCUGCUUCUUGAAUAAGAAAAUAAGAAAGAAUUCUGCAGAAACCUACUCAAACUAACAGUUCUCCCCGUAGAUGUCGUAGCUUUCCCAAUUCUUUAAUGCUAGUCUCACUCUGUCUUCCCACGAGAAAGUCAGUCAACGUUUGGAGCUUUGCCAGUUGACCUAUAUGUGGUGGCAUCUCUUUCAAAAGCGUGUAUUUGAUGUUAAGAUACCGCAAGUUGAUUAACCUUUCCAGAGAUGCAGUCAACCUUUCGAUUCCUGUUCUUUGAAGAUUCAGAUGUCGUAAAUACUUCAAAUUUCCAAGAUCAGGUAGACUAGCAAGUUGUUUGCAAUAUUCCAAGAUCAACGUUUGCAAAUUGAGAAGAGUACUCGCUUCUUCAGGCAACGUUACUAAAUCUGACCGAGAAAGAUUCAAAUACCGUAAAUGCUUCAACUUGCUAGUUGAACAAAACUUCAUAGUUGCAUCUCUACAACCAGUCAUGAAUAGCACUCGUAGGCGCCCAAGUGUUGACUGAAAGAUCUCAUUAUAAAAUUCGGGAGGACAGAUCCAAUUGUGUGGAUAAGUUUGGAAUGUGCGUAGAAGCUGAGCUUCACGGAUGUUUUCUAAUUUCUUGCUGAAAGAACAAUCUUCAGUAUGUGGCGUACCUGCUACGAGCCUACGAGUGAUAAAUGUCGGGUCCUUCUAGUCGCCUUGGAAUAAUUAUUUGGGCCGAUGCAAAAUUGACCGGACACAUGUGUAGCCAAGUCAUGCAUGAGAUCGUGCAUCACAAAUGAUGAGGGAGAGGCACUUGAUUGCUGGAAAAACGACCUUGACAAGAGAUCAUCAAAGCACUCAGCACCUGCCUUUUCCAUCUCAUCAUCUACAGAGUGGACUAAGAAGCAUAGUUUUGAAACCCGACCCGGUCAUUGACCCGGUCGACCUUCUGGGUCACGGGUCAGGUGGGUUGACCCGGGUUAACCCGGGUCAACCCAAAAAAACCUAUAUAUAAAAAAAACACAUAACUAAUUACAAUAUAACACUUACUUAAACCAAAUUUAAAUUAUAAACCAACAAUAUAAAUUUAAUUCAAUAUCCAAAAUACAAACUAAAUAUAAAUUAUAAAAUAUUUAAAACAAAACAUCCAACCAAAUAAAUUCCAAAAUAUUUAUAUGAGAGGAGGGUGUUGUUAAAGGAGGAGAGCAUGUUUAUUUAUUUAUUUAUUAUUUUUUUAAAAGGAAUAAAGCAUAAUCUCUUUCAAACAAGGAGAAGGCACGAAUAAAGCUAAAGCAUUUAGCUCUGCUUGAAGUUGAAUGGCUAGAGGGCUAAACUAAUGACUUCCUUCAUGGCUUAUGACUACAGCCUCCAGGAACAAUCACUUACAUGUGCAUGUUUUUUGAAUGAGAUUAUAACAUUGGUUUUUUUAUAUUAACAAUCGCUUAUUCUUUACUAUCCUUCAUUAUGUUUUUUUCUUAAAUCUUAUUCAAUCAUUUUAUUACAUGUGCAUGUUUUUAUUAUCAUAUAAUUAUUUGUUCUAAUUAUUUUUUAUUAUUAUUAAAUAGAGGAAAUAUUAUACUAGCAUAUUAUUUAGUUUCAAUGGGAUAUAAAUUAUUAAUUUUGUUAUAAAAAAUGCCUGAUAUCUAAUUAAAUAAGAAAAAUUGAAUAACUCCUCAAGUCACGAGAUUAUAUAUCCUAAUAUGCAUCUAUCUCUCAGUCUCUCAAUUUUAUUUUUAAUUUUGUAAGCAAUUUUAUAUAUUGGCAAGUGUAAUUAUCAACUAUUUUUGUUUCACAGUUAAAAUAUUUUUUUAUGAUAAAAAUAUAAUUAACAAUGCCUAAGGAUUUGUAUUUAUUUUUUUGGGCGUUACAGGAACGUGGAUACGUUAACUAGUGAAUAGUCUAUUUAAGAUGGAUCCAAGUGAUGAGAGAUUUAAUUUUCAUAUAUGAAAACCCAUAAAAAUAACAUGACUAUUAAAUACUAACAAUAAGAAAGGUUUGAGAUAGAUAUGCAAUACACUCACGGGACAUUUUAACAAGAGAGUGUUUAGUGUCCCGAUCCAAGUCAAUCAGUAUGCUCGCCAUUGUUAGCCUGAAAAUUGAGUUCGAAUCAGAAUAGUUGAACGGACGACAGGGAGAAACUUUUGUCCACGGUUCAAUCAAAAGAUGCUGUGGAGAACAUAGAGAUUUUGGGCUGCCUGUUCUUGAUGCGACUCUAAUUCAUGGGAUUUGCUGGUUAGAGAAAAGGGUAAAAAGCACAACCAUAUCCACAAUCCAUGACUGGAACAUACCUGGUACGAGUGGGGAGUUGCGUUUUUGGACUGAAUGGCAGGCACCGCUUCUUUUCCUGCUUCUGGGUCUCGACCUCUGUAUAUAUGGCACUGAUUCUGCUCACCUUGUUGGCUUCUGCUACACCCUGUUCUUCGUUCUUCGUCUGUCUUCGCUCUUCGGUGCUAAGUAUGUUUUUAGAGUCAUUAAACGGCGUCGUUUAAUGACAGGGAGAGUAAAAAAAAAAGUGGCCGGGUCGACCGGGUUUGACCGGGCCAAUUCCCAAGCGGGUUUUGGCCUUCACCCGGACCGGUUCCGUGCCCGGGUCGGCCGGGUCCCGGGUCGACCCGCCGGUCCGGUCCGGGUUUAAAAACUAUGUUAAGAAGCCCUCUGCCAUCCACAGGAGCACCAACUCAUCCUUUUGAAAUGAAUAAUCUUUUGGAAAUAUGGCACAAUAAGCAAAACAUUGCUUCACAUGUGGCAAGAGAUAAAGAUAACUUAAUCUCAAAGCUGGGAGGAUAUCGUCAUUGGGUAAAUCCCAUAGAUUGCUUUUCAAUAUCUUCUCCCACUCCUCGACAUCUCUUUUGGUGCGUAGCAGACCACCGAGUGUUAUUGCAGCUAGAGGAAGGCCUUCACACUUUCUCGCUAUUGCUCUACCAAUUUCUUGCAACUCUUCAUAAGCUUUGGGAUUUUCACCUCGAAUGCAUGGGUGGCAAACACGGCCCAGCAGCUGUCUUCCGUCAAUUCUUUUAGAUAAUGAGUUGGAACAGUUCUCAUGACUGUUGCUACACCUUCAUUCCGUGUUGUGACAAGAAUCUUACUCCCUUGUGCUCCGCACUUCAGGGGGGUAAGCAAAUUGUCCCACUCAGCAUAAUCUUCCUUCCAAACGUCAUCUAAAACAAGCAAGAAUUUCUUUCCCCGCAAUCUCUCCUUCAACUGAAGCUGGAGGGGAUCCAGGUUAUCAAAAUCAGGCUUUGAACCGAACCCCUCAAGGAUAACCUUGGUUAACUUCGAAACACUGAAAUCUUCAGAAACACAAACCCAAGCUUUGAGACCGAACCGCUCUUGUACUCUGCUGUGAUUGUAUACAAGCUGAGCGAGCGUGGUUUUACCAACCCCGCCCAUUCCCACUAUGGGAACGACACCUAGGUUUUGUCCAUUUGCAUCAUCUGAUAGAAGCAACUGCAGUAUUGCUUCCUUGUCAUCAUCUCUGUCGCACGUGUGCGGCGGCGCGGCGAUCAUCCACCCUCAAGGAAAAAUCGGAAUAAUUUAUUCCUGGAAAAUAGGGGAGAGACAAGGAAUUCUUGUCUCUACAUGUGAAAAUAUGGACUGGGAGUCGCCACCUAGUAUUCUGGUUACUAGGAACCUUAACUGGUCUUUAGAGAUCGGGUACGGAGACUGGUUGCGUAAAAGGAAGGUAUUAGCACCCCAACUACGCCCUACCUAAGAUAGGCUGCAUUGUUUUAAUGUCUGAUAAAAUCUAAAAUCAUGUUGUGGUUUUUUUGAAUUGUUGGUUCGUUUAUGGUUUAAGAAAAGUCCUCCUCUGUAAGGAGAUCCUUAUCUUUAUCGGGUAAAAAAACUAACUAUUCGAAGUCGUCAAAAGAAAAUAUCUUUUUUUUUUUUUAUCAGGAAUACGAUUUACGUAUAAAUUCAUAAUCUCUGAUACUAAGAUCAAACAAAAUAAAAUAUUUUGUUGUUUUUGAGAUUUUGGCCAAUGUUCUCUUGACUUUAAUAAACUGGUUAUUAAAGCCAAAAUGCAUGCUAAAAUUUUUUUUUUUUUUGACAUAUGCAAAAUACGAUAUGAUUUUUUAGAUUUGAGACACUUGGCCGUAUGCACAAAAACAUUUUUUUUUUAAUCUUUUUUUAAUUUUAUUUAUUUAUUUUUGGAAGUUUUUGCCGAAAAACGGGUCUUUUAAUACCGGAUUUAUAUUUUUACGAUGUAAAAAUAUUGCCCGAUAUUAAUCAAAAUGGCAUAAAAAAAACUACGCGGAAAAAUUAUAAAAUGCUGAAACAAAUAUUUUUGAAUUUUUUUUUUUAUGCUGUGUGAACAGUACCGUAUGAAUAGUGACGUGUGAACAGUACCGCGGGACGAAAACCGGGUAUUUUAAUACCGAAUUUAUAUUUUUACGAUGUAAAAUACAGACCGAUAUUAAGCAAAAUUGAUAAAAAAAUAUGCCGGAAAAAUUGUAAAAAAAAAUAAAAAUGAAAUGGGCCGGGUCCGGCCCAUACAGUGGGCUGGGCCAACCGGCCCAAACUAAAUGGGCUGGUUACUGUGCAUAAGCACAGUAACCAGCCUCUCAGCAGUUGCAGAACGUGAAUUAAUUCACGUUCUGCAUGAAAAUAAAGAGAGGGCAGCAGCAAAGGAGAAGGAGACGGGGCAAGGGUUACCUGCGGUGGCGUCGAGGCGGUGCUGCUGGUGGCGCGGAGGCGAUGGUGGCGGAGGCACGUGGCCGGCGGUUCUUCUCUUCUCUCUCCUCUGUUUUUCUUCUUUUCUUCUGCUUCUUUUUUUUCUUCUUCUCUCUUCUCUCUCUUCUCUUCUCUCUCUUCUCUCCUCUUCUCUCUCCCUCUUCCUCUGUUUUUUCUCCUCUUCCUCUCCCCUGUUUUUAUAGGCGAAAAACAGGGGACGUCAUGGUGGUGGCCUGUUGGCCGCCCGUCCACUAUCCAAGUGGAAAGUUGGCAAGUGGCCUUUCGGCGUCUUUUUGAGCAAAAGAGGGAAAGUAAUUAGGCGAAAAGGGGAAGAAAAAAAUCUUCUUCUUCCCCUGCCUCGUGUGUCCAGGGGAAGAAGAAGAGCUACAGUGCCGUCAAAACGGCACCGUUUUGGGCUUCUGUUUUUUUUUUUUUUUUUUUUUUUUUUGCAACAGUGAAUGAAACGGCGCCGUUUUGGUCAAAACGCGCCGUUUCAUUUAAAAGGAAAAGGCGCCAAAAAUCAGAUUCAAAUUUCGGCCCUCCAUUUGCGCGCGUUUUACAAUUUAGUCCUUGGUCUCGGAUUUCUUCAAUUAAGUCCCUAAUUGGCCAUAAACUUCAAUAUUUAUGCAAUUAAGCCCCUGAUUUGACCAAAUUAACUUCCAAAAAUUAUAAUUUGACCCCAGAAAAUUAAUUUCUCCUAAUUAAAGCCCAAAUUAACUCCAAAAUCAAUUUUUCUUGCAAUUAAAAUCUCCAUAAAUUCAAUUAAACCUUCAAUAAAAUUUAAUUGAGUCCAUAAACUUCUGAUUUUGCAUUUUUCUUCCACAAAUUGAAUUUUCUUUAUCAUCGGGGCUCUCAUCAGUUAAUGAUAUACUGUCAAAAAAUAAUUUUUAUAUUUUUAAAAAUCCUCAAAUAAUUUUUUUAGCAUGUUUAUGGCCCUCUGGUAUUUUUCACUGUUAUAUUUUUUUGUAAUAUAUUUUUUUUUUGAAUUUUUUUGUAUUUUAUUAUUUUAUAUGUGGGGACCCAAAAAUGGGUUACAACAAUCUCUACCAUAAACACCACGUUCAUCCACCAGAGAAGUUGUUCGUCUUUUAGGCGAUGAUGGUUCUUUUCCAGUGCGGUUGAUCAAACCAAGGGCAUCCUUUUGUUUUACUAAGUAAUCUAGACUCUCCUGGAGGCCUCUUGAUUUUUCUUCUAUCUCUCUCAACCCCAUUAUUUCAAGUGGUUUAAUGAAGGUUUGAGCUUCAGCUUCCAACUCCUGCCGUAGAGCUUCAUAAGCAAUCUCAUCCAAGAAGUCGUCGGCUUCAUAGACAGCGUCUUUAUACUCGGCCAGCCAAUCCCGCACAGCUUUAUUUGUUAUCUGCUUCUCCUCAGCAUCGUCAAGCAGCCCACCGCCAGAUAUCAUUGUUGUCUUCAACCUCUUCAGCGGCCUAUCGUCAAACAAAAAUCUGGGAUUCAGCGUUUACUAGAAACUUCUUCAACAAUCUUUUGAAUUAAUUUUGAUUCAUGCCUGUGCAUAGAAAAAGAAAGUCAUCACUCAUGGAUGAAAGAUAAUCUUUUGAAUUUCAUGCAAAUUUAAAAUACAAAACGUAAUAAGAGUAAAAGUUAUAAGCAUUUGCUAUCGAUAUAGGGAAAGAAAAGAAGUACCCAUUUGCGAUACUGUGAGGAUCCAGCCCAGAUAAAUUUGCAGCCUCCACAAGAGCUUUUCUCCACUUUUGGACCUUCUCCAUUUCUUCCUUAAAACGUUCUUCAUGUCUAUAUCAAAGGCUUCAGCAAAACUCCCCGUCUGUUUUCUAAUAUCAGAAGGAUCGAUAUCAUAGAAAACAGGUAGAACAAUCUGGCCAGUUGUGUGUCUGCAAUCAAGAAUCUUUUCAAGUUCAUCAAGACACCAAGUGGAGGAAGCAUAGCCCUUAGAGAAAACCACUAUAGAAAUCAUGGAUUCUUGAAUUGCUUUGAGGAGUUGCAAGGAGAUUUCUUCACCUCUACGAAGUUCGUCGUCAUCUCGAAAUGCAUGGAUUCUUGCAUGGUGUAAAGCAGUGUAAAGAUGAUCCGUAAAAUUUUUGCGAGUAUCUUCACCUCUAAAACUUAGAAAUACAUAGUAACCCCAACCAGGUCUAGACAAAGAAGAAGAAGAAGAAGACGCCAUGAACAUCUAGUAAGGGUUGCUGGCAGUGGCGGAGCCACGUAGGAGCAAAAGGAGGCAAUUGCCCUCUUAAUUUUUUUAAAAAAAUAUUUGACCCAUACUGACCCAUCAAGGAUAAGAGAAAGACGAAAAAUCUAAAGUAUUUUUACUGCACAUAUUUGAAUGCAAUUUCUUUGGAAUUAGAGGAACCUGAUACGGAGUACAUUAGAAUAUUAAUAUAAUAAUAUGGUGAGGGGUUGAUAUUGUUGACUUGUGUCUUAAUAUAAUAAAUAAUAGAUAUAUAUAUAAUAUAUAUGCAACACCCCAGCUUAUUUCCCCAAACUUUUCCUUUUUCUUUUUUUUUUCCCGCUAACUAUUCAAGAGCUUUUUUACUCUUUUUUAGUUGCUCUCUUCCUUAUACAAUUUUUUUUUUCUCAGUUAGGCAACUUUAGGUAACAAAUUUUCAUUUUUUUUAUUCAUUUUAUUAUUUAAUUUUAGUUUUAUUUUUUAUAAUUAGUUAUUGAAAAUGUUAGGGUUUAUAAUAAUUUAGAGGUUUUGAUAUAUAUAAUAUUUUGAAUCAAUUAAAGAUAAAUAGUAGUGGAUUAGACUGCAAGAUUUUGAACAAUAGGUAUUUAUUUGAUUGUUUUGAACUAAUUAAAGGUUAUAUCAUUUCUAAUUGAAUUGAUUAUGAUAUGGAACUAAACUUUUUCAUGAGAUGAACAAUCAAACAUUCAAAUUGUUAUCAACAAGUAAAGAUUGAUAUUUACAAAAUUAAAAUUGUUUUAGCUUGAGAUUGGUCCUUUUUAUGAUGUUAAUUUCCUUUUUAUGAUUAAAUAAUUCAUAUUUUAUUUGUUUUUUUUUCUCUUUUUUGUUUUCGUCAGGCAAUUUGUGUUUUGCUGGAGAAGAAUUAACACGUGCGUACAAGCUUGAUUUUAAUCAGUGCAUGAUGGUUUUUUCUUAAAAAAGAAAAGAAAAAAACAUUUUUUUUUGUUUUUAAAAAUAAUUUAUCAUGAUAAAUUUAGACUAUCAAUCCUGAUCCAUAUCCAUGCAUUAUAUAUAGCAUGCUACAUGGUAAUGAGGUGUGAAAUGGAUUUUGAUGAAUUAAUGUGUAUUUUACUAUGAAUUUUAUAUGAAAAGUUUACAAUUAUUAUGUAACUCAACUGAAUUUUGUUAUUAUGAAAACCCAAAGAAAACAAUUAUAAUGUAAGUUUUUUUUAUUUUAAAAGUAUUUUUUUAAAUUAAUUUUGCUUUAUAUGAGUUAAUAUAUUUGUUUCAAAUUAAUUUCUAAUGCAAGUCUAUAUAAUAUAAUAUUUAUUAAUAAUUUAUCCCCUCAUUUAUAAAAUUCUGGCUCCUACCACUGGUUGCUGGCUUGCUGCAGGUAGGAGAGAGAGGAUCGAGGGGCAGUAAACUGUCACCUUCCCUCUUUCUUUUGAAGAGCCCAAUAUUUAAGUAUUGCUUUACAUAUGGAUGUUCGGUAAAACAAAAUUAAAAAAUUAUAUUUUUAAAUUAUUUUAAUAUUUAUAUGUAAAAAAUAAUUUUUAAAAAAUAAAAAAUAUUAUUUUAAUAUAUUUUUAAAUAAAAAAUAUUUAAAAAAAGCUACUAUAUUUUUAAAUAAAAAAACCUAGCACAUCUCUUUUAAUAUAGUUAAUCUCUAGUUUUCAUACAAUUAAAUGAGAUCAAAAUUGUUAAGGUCCUUUCACUUUCAUAACCUCUCUGCAUUUGGCUAUAUAUAUUCAAAGGUUUAAGCCGAAAUGAAUUCUAUUAGUAAAUUUGUAUCGAAUUACUUGAUUGUAUUAUGAAUUAACAUGUUUGGUAUCGAUCAAUGUCAAUAGAAAGAAUUGGGUUGCGGGUGCUAGGAAAAUGGAGCUAGGCAUGUUGGAAUAACUUGCUUUAUUUGCCAAGAGAUCCCAUCGUCUAAAAAGUGGGUUUCAUUGGAAUAACUUUUAUUAUAUAUGCCAAUCUUUCUUUUCACGUGAUGUGCUCAUGAUGCAGAAGAACACUUCACUUCAUGUCUUCUCUCCUCUUCUCUUAUCACUUUUCAUUGACAAAUAAAUUAUAAAUUUGUUGAUGACCAUUGCUAUGAAUAUUAUAAAAAACAAAGAAUUGUGGAGCAAAUUACAAUAGAAAAAAUCAUUAUAUUAGAAAUUAAGUACAGGUUAAAUUGCGAAAACAAAAAUAUUCGUAAUCAGUAUUAAGUAUACUAAUUGUUUGAUUUGAAUAAUAAGAUGCAAUCCAAUAGAAUUAGGUCUGAUUGGUUUUAUCUUUCACAUGUGGAAAUAACCUUUUUUUAAAUAUAAAUGGAUUAUUUUAUUCCAAAUUAAACCUCUUUAUAAAUGUAAUUAUUAAACUUCAACUAUUAAUGAUUUUUUAAAUAAAAUAUAGUUAAGAAAACAUUUUUAAAACAUGUUCAACAAUCAAAUGUGUUUGUUUUUUUAGCGGCUUUUGCUUUUAACACAAAUAACAAAAACAAGAUAUUUGGUUACAUAUGAAUCAUAGUUUUGUGAUUGUUAGACCCAUUACAAUUUACGGUCCAACCAUAAGCUACAAAUUUAGUAUUUUCUCAUCCACCGACAACUUCACCAAAAAACAAUUUAAGUUAUUUUACAAUUACUAAGGUACCCAAUCAUCUUUCUCAUCCUCUCCACCUUCACUUUUAAAAUAUUACAACAUCAGGUCAUCAACUUUCAUCAUAAUUUUAAUAAAAUAUCUUUUAUUAAACAACAUUUUUAAUUAUAAUUAUAAUUAAAUAUUUAUUAAAAUUAAAAUCAACUAUCAUUAAUUUUUAGAACUGAUGAUUCUAGUCAUGAACUCAGGGCUAAUCUCAUAAAAAUCAAACUAUUAGAAAUAACAAAGCAAUACUAAAAAAAUAAUAAAAAUAUAAUAUCAACUUAAAAAAAAACCAAGUAAACUUGAACGAAUUUAUUAAACCUGGUUUAACUCUAAAACUUGCAACCCGUGUAAUACUAGGCUCAGGAUCAAUAAAAAAAAAUUUCUAAAGCAAAAAAUAGAGAUACAAUUUUAUAUAUAUAAAAAAAAAACCUAAGGAUGAAAUUGAAAAAAUAAAUAACAAUCAAAAGAAUAAAAAUCAAAUUUGAAAGAUUAAAAAAUCAUGGGAUGAAAUUAAAAAAGAGAGUAAUUUGAUAGAUUUUCUUAAGAAUUUUCUUAAUUUGAAAACAAUUUGUAAAUUAAAAAAACAUAGAGGAUUAAAAGGUUUAAUGGUUAAAAGAAAGUUUUAUCACAAUCAUGGUAAACAGUAAUUUCUUUAAGAGAUUUAGUUUUUUUAUUAAAUUUAAUUAAUAAAAAUACGGUACCAUUCUCUUUAACCAUGCCUUUGAUUUUAGAUUAAAAAAAAACAAUAACUAUAAUUAUAAGAGAAGAAAUAUUUUCUUAAAAAUUAAGAGAAAUGAGGAAAUUAAUUUGUUAAUGUAUUUAAAUAAGAUCAUAUAUUCUCUUACAAAUUAGAAAUAAUGAAUCUAGUUUACAUAGUACUUUCUUGACAAAAAAUCAAAGCAAUAUGAAUGCUUGUAUAUACGAAUUACAUACAUAAAAAAUAAAGAAAACAAAAUAAAAUCAUUUCACACCAUGCCAGAGUCACAUUUUUAAUACCAAUGUUUCUCACUCUUAAAAUUUUUACUCUCAAUAUAAUUUUAGUCGGUGUAAAAAAAAAAAAAAACAGAGCAAUACCAUGAGUCGACUCAACCCGACGCCUUGAAGGAAGCCGUGACCGAGUUCAUUUCCACCCUUAUUAUUGUCUUUGCCAAUGAAGGGUCCGGCAUGGCCUUCGCUAAGGUCACCGACAGUGCUGCCAACAUACGCGCUAGACUCAUCGUUGCAGCCAUCGCCCAUGCUUUCUCCCUUUUUGUUUUUGUUUCUGUUGGUGUCAACAUCUCUAAAAAGUAUUGGUUUUUGGCAGCAGCAACCAAAAACCCAGUUCCAAAAAACGACCCCAGCUGCAAGAUUCAUCCUUUUUCCCCAUCAUCCCCGCAUGCUAGAACAUUCCAAAAUCCCAUCAGCCUCAAAAACACAACUGUUUUUCUUUUCUUUAAAAAUAAAAAACUAAAGAAAAGAGACGCAACUUGCUCGUAGAGUUAGGCCAAUCACAAAAAAAAAUAUCCCAUCUCCUCAUUUUACUUGCUAAAGAAGAAUUCAGGAAAGGAAAGAAAAGAGAUAUCAAAUGACAAUAAUAGCAAACAGCCCUCUGUUCCUUUCUACCAGCCUUGCAAAAGUAGUUUACAAGGGGACCAACAACUCCAUCGCUGGAAGUAAUUUUCACCACCUGCCCCUUCUGCAGUCCAUAGUAUCGCACAAUGGCAUCCGAUUCUAGCAAUCUUCGGCUGUAGAACAUGCAUGGUAAUGUUCACCAGCAGGUCAGUGAUCUGAAUGCAAAUCAAACCGUGAAGUGAUUGUCGAAAGCUUAAAUGGGUAACCUUUCUAAAUAUAAGCUACAAGGACAAUAUGAUACAUAAAGAUAAAAUGAUAAUUUAUACACAUUUCCAUUAGCUUUGAUGGAGAAAGAGCAUUCAAAAAGAUCACCGCUAGUAUCACAGACAUGAUCAAAAAGUGACUAGCAUGACCUCUUGUGGCUAGAAAUUAGCAUCGUUCUUUAAAAUGUCUGGCCACCCAAAGUUCUUUCUAAUUGUCUUACAACAAAUCUGCAGUAUGAAAAUUUAUUUAGACAACAGGGGGGUGUACUUGAAAAACCUCCACUUUGAAUGGAAACUUCUCCGGCUCUUUCUUGGCAAAGUAGUUCAUUUUGCUUUGCAAAAUCAGUAUUGUCAAAGAACCAUCUCAAUUCAAUAGCUUAAGCUAUUAGGUGAGGUCCCAGGAUAUGAUUUAUAUUAUUCUCUAACACACCCUCUCAAGUGAAAGCUCUUUGGGCUUGAAACUUGCACAGACCCACAUUACCUUGUGCUUAUUUUUUUUAUCAAAUAAAUGGGGAUAGUGAGAUUCGAACUCGUGACCGCUUGAUCGUCAAGGCUCUGAUACCAUGUCAAAAAACCAUCUCAACUCAAUAGCUUAAGCUAUUAUGUGAAUUUCUAGAAUAUGAUUUAUAUUAUUCUUUAACAAGUAUCAACCCUUGUAUACUCUCUUUGCUAAGAAUUUGACCAUAUACAGCCCUGAUAUUUGCUGUUCUAAUUUCAUCAGUUCCCAUGAAGAUGACCAGGUUCUGCAGACCAAGUUAAAAAAAAUAAAAUUAUGACUAGGAUUUCCAUACAAAUUUCCAUAUAAUUUUUAUUAAGAAAUAUAGACCGGUAAAGAGGUGAAUGAGCCUAUCUCAUAUCUUACCAUUAAAACAUAAUUUGCUCCUACUCGACCCAUACCUAUCACCCUAAACCCAUAUCCAUACCUGCCUAUGUAAUAACCAGCCCAUGUCGAAAAAAAAAUAGCUUUUCAGUAAUGUUCAUUUUAGUCCAUGAGUUUUUAAAACGUUUUUUAGUCAUAUAUUUUUUCUAAGAAAACAUUUUAUUUGUUAGAAUUUUUUUUCAAUUUUUUUUACAAUAAAAAAUGCAGACAUUUAGUUUCAAAUUAUUGGUUUGGAAUGCAUCCAACAAAGUUAAUGUUUUAACAUGUAAUUAAGAUAUACUCAAAAUUAUUUUAAAAGUAAUUUAAUUUAAAAUUAUAUAUUUAAGAAAACUAAAUAGAAGAUGAGCUUCACUUUCAAGCUAUAUAAACUUAUUAAAUUAACCAAAAUUUAUUGUAAAUUAAAUUAAAUAUCUCAAGAAAAAAUAGCUAUUAAGAUAUAGUAAAAGCAUUGUCACAGUUGUUUUGUAAUAUUGACAGGAGUAUCUGAUUUUGAAAAUGACCAAAGGAUAAAACAAAGGAAGCAUCUGACUAUGAAAACAGAGUCGAAGGAUUGCAGUCAGCUUCGAUGACCGGAGAACAGACAACGGCAGGAACCAACGAUGCCAAAACCCAAACGAUACAAGGGAUGGGGGGACAACAUUUCUAUUAAAUCAAGAGCCAAAAAGCAGCAGCACCGUGGAACACCAAAAGACUAAAAGGCAGCAACAAAGCCAUAGAACACCAAAAGGCUUGAAGAUCAAAUUACAAAUAUUGUAGGCAAGCAGUUUCACGUCCAAUACAAGCAGUUUCAUUUCUAUGAAAUUGCUCUCGCACACCAUUCUUUUCUUCAGCUACAAUUAUUUAUCUGCUGCUAUUAUAGAUGAACAUCAGACAAUCCUCACUAUUGCUCUACCAAUUUCUUGUAACUCUUCAUCAGCGUUGGCAUUUGUAGCUUUACCCUGGCCAUGCAAGUUUUCUUCAUUGUUAACUCCAGUGAAUUUGUGCAUAAUCACCUUCAUUGGGUGCAAAUCUUGUUUUCCGUUACAUUUGUCUUCCACACUUGUUGAGACAUCUCUCUCUCUAGUGGCUAAAUCUAGCAAAAUUUCGUAUGUUGCGCUGCUUAUUUAUGCAAGCUCCUUGUUAAACUUAACUACAGUGCAAGUUUAUGUUUUAUUCCUCUUUGAAUUUAGGAUUUGUAGUUUUCUCCGCAAAAAAAAAAAAAACCCAGUAAUACUGGUAUCACACCUGUAUUGUUUCCUAUACUCUCACCCAGGGAGAUGAAGGCCGCCACAACCUUACAUAGCUUUCCAUCUUUCUGAAAUUUGCCGUAAAAUUUCCUGAUCAACUUUACAUUGAUUUAUGUAAAUUGCCUGCUUGAACUUCGACUCUUGAAUACAAAAGCACAAAAGAAAUUGAAAAGGAGAGCUAAACACACACAUCCAAGUAUAAAUGAGUGGCACAACACAAAUGAUAAAUUUUGCUAGAUUUAACUAAGAGAGAGAGAGACAAAGAUUGUUCAACAAGUGCAAUAAGUUUAUUCAAGGACAAAUAGAAGGAAAACAAGAUCUGUACAAAUUCACCAGAAUCAUCAAUGCAGAGAACUUGCACAACUUUAGAUAAACAGGGCAAAAUCAUUAAGUGCCUGCUCUCUUGAGUGACAUUGGCAACUUUCACUUGCUUCUGAAUUUUGAUUCCAAAACACGGAUGCUUCCUUGUUAUGAACUAUGGUUAUGUUCACUUGCUUCUGAAGGCUUGGGUUGUGGGUUUCUCAUGUCAAUUGAAGCAAUUCCAAGUAAAUCCAAAGAGCAUUGCAGUGGCACAAAAGCCGGCUUGUGGUUGCUGAUUUAUUUGCUGAUAAUCCGUAACAAGCAAUGGAUUUUCGUUGCUGAUUUUUCAAUUAUCAGCUUCUUUUUUAUUUAAUUUUUUGUUUUUAAUAAUUCAUAUCACUUGUUUUAGAAGCCAGUAACCCUUUAAUUGCUAAGCCGGUCAUCUAAUUUAAGAACUUAGCCAAUAGCCAUUCCACUUCUUCUUCCUCUUUCCUUCGUAGAUCCAAACGAACAUAAUUUAUUACAUCUGAAAUCUCAUGGAAAAAUUUAAUUAAUUUAUUUAUGAAACAAGCACGAAAUCCAAAUAUCCCUCUCUCAGAUCAAUGGUUUACGAAUGGUCCGUAAAGAUUUAAAUCCCUAUUUUUCCUUUGAAAUUCCGUAUCUGAUGAAAGAAUUUGCUUUGCUUCUUAAUAAUUUUACCAAAAUGAUCUCUCUGUAUGUAUGCAAGUUAACUAGAGAGCGCAAAUGGCGGAUUAUAUGAAAAUGAUCAAUUAUUUGUCCUGAACAACAGUCUCCACAAUGGAAGGUGUCACGGGGUCUUUUUUUCACUCAAAUUUUCAACCCAAUGCGAAGAAAAUUUGUAUUUCAACAUCCAACAAAUAAAAACAUACAACUUUCUAGAACAAUAUCUGUAUUUCAUUAAUCCAAACUUAUGAGCCGCCCUUGCUUGUAGAGGAAAUUUGGAUCAGAAUGCUGCAAAGAAACAAUGGAGGAUUUAGACCAAGAGCAUGAAAAGGAUAUGUAAAAAUCACAAAUAGCUACGUAAUGAUAUUUGAAAAACAAUCUUGUUUUGUGAAAAUGGGCAAUUGGUAAUACUGACAUGAAAAUGCAAAGAAUUAAUAAUGGUGGAGAAAUACAGAGUAACUGAGAAAGAACAUCAAAUGGAAAAGCUCACAAUGAGUCAUAGCUGAGGGAGCAAGCAGAUCAAUUUUAUCCUGUGCAUAUCGUUCUGGCAAGAAGGAAGGGUGACAGAGCCUUCAUGAACUGUAAGUAGAAAGAUGGAUUUGGAUCCUGCCAAAAAUAAACAUAGAAUUAAUAGUGGAACAUGACAAAUUUUAACUGAAAUUGCCUUUGAUUACUGAAAAGAAAAUAAACUAUUUAGGAGCAAUACCUCAAAAAAUAUGUUGGACGAUUGAAAGAAAAGCUACUUUUUUGCCCCGCUAAUACUUAGGACACAUGCGAAUUUCAAGAAAAGAAAGGGAGGAGGGCAACUCUUCUUCUGGCAUUGACUCAAGCAUUGGGCAGUUACUUAUUUUCAAUUCUCUAAGAGAGGUGAGGUGUUGAAGCCCCUUGUAGUCAAGAGAUUUCAGGUGUUCUAGGGAAGAGAUUUCAAGAGAUGUAAGACUUGAGGGCAGCAGCAUCUCUUCAGGGAAGGAUUCAACAUUUUCGUCCCUACCAAUUUCAAAGUGUGAAAGAGAAGGGAGAUUUUGCAAGCCCCAUUGCAUGCGGCCUGCAAUGAGUUUGUUGCAAUUACGAAUCACAAGUGAUUGUAAUGUGGAGGGAAAACCCCCUUCUAGACACAACUCAACUUCUGAACAACCAUAUAUUGCCAAAUGGAAAAGGGAUGGGAGGAGGGAAUGCAUACUCUCAGGCAACUGCUUCAGGUUGCUGCAAUCAUCCAACACAAGUCGUGUCAAGACUGGAGCAGGUAACCCUCCUUUGGGAAAUGAAACUAAUUUAGGGCACGUUUCGAUUAACAAAGAAUGGAGAGAGGUGAGAUCAUUGAGAGGUCUUUCAUGUGCACAUAGUGUUUCGAGAACUGGACAGUCAGAGAUAGAAAGACAUUUUAACUGGGGGACCAAGUCCAGGGCGACGCCUUUGAGAGAAGCGCAGCCGUAGAUUCUAAUUUCCCCUAAAUCAGAGGGUGAACAACCCAUUUGAUCAAUUUCCUCGUGUAGGGACUCCAGGGAGUGGAAUCCAGAAACAUCGAGCGAGUGCAACCUAGGAAACCUAGGAAGUGGAGUCGCGAGCUGCCUACAUCCCUCAAUUCUAAGUCUUGUUACACGUGGAAGGUUGUGACCAGGUAGGGCCUUUGUAAGGUUGGAGCAUCUCUUGAUUGAAAGAAACUCAAGAAGAGGGAAGGCUUCCCGGCUGCCUUCGUCUGAAAUCCACUCGCGCCACUUUGGCAUUUUUGUAAAAGAUAAUAUUUUGAGGGAUUCAAAUGGCUUCUUCAUAAUAGUACAAUUCCCAUAGAACCCGGAGUCCACAGUCUCAACUUUAUCGAAUGCUUCAAUUGAGAGACGCUCUAAAGAAGCUAAUUGCCCGAGCGGUGGUAAGGAGGUGCAGUUUGUACAUCUACUGAGCUUCAAGGACACUAUAUUUGAGAAAGAGGACUCUCCUACCCACUCCGGAAACCUUACACCUCCAUAACCAUCAAUCUCAAGAUCCUUCACAUUUCUGUUUGGCUCUAAUUUCUCAAGUGUAACAAACUCAAGAUCCUUCACAUUUCUGUUUGGCUCUAAUUUCUCAAGUGUGCUUGUUACGUGUUGCGGGUCAUGAGUGUCACCAUCCCAUGUAAACCUCAGCUUAUCAAGGUGCUUUUUACCUUUCAAAUUUGCCUCACCAGCAUCCCGAGCAUCCACCACAUUUUGAAGGUUCCUAAUAUGAAGUUCUCCCCGUAGAUGUCGUAGCUUUCCCAAUUCUUUAAUGCUAGUCUCACUCUGUCUUCCCACGAAAAAGGCAGUCAACGUUUGGAGCUUUGUCAGUUGACCCACAUGUGGUGGCAUCUCUUUCAAAGGCGUGCCUUUGAUGUUAAGAUACCGCAAGUUGAUUAACCUUUCCAGAGAUUCAGGCAACCUUUCGAUUCUUGUUCCUUCAAGAUUCAGAUGUCGUAAAUGCUUCAAAUUUCCAAGAUCAGGUAGACUAGCAAGUUGUUGGCAAUAUUUCAAGAUCAACGUUUGCAAAUUGAGAAGAGCACUCACUUCUUCAGGCAACGUUACUAAAUCUGACCGAGAGAGAUCCAAAUACCGCAAAUGCUUCAACUUGCUAGUUGAAC
rnacentral:lncRNA from 1 species